rnacentral:lncRNA from 1 species
UUCAGAGUUAACCAGAGACAUUUGAGAAAUUUGAUUCAUAUACAGAAAUAAGCAUGACACUGAAUCCAUUCGAGCAUUUCAACAAACACACAGCAGACUGCAUCUCCGAUAUCACACCUGAACCCGUACAGCCACCGAACUGACAAAAAGAGCAGAAAUCCAUCAUCAGUGCUUGGACCUCGGCGAGGUCCUCCUUGCCGCCGGCGCCUCCGCAGCCUUCCUCUUCGGUGAGGUCCUCGCUGCUGUCACAGCCGCCGGUGCCACCGCCUUCCUCUUCAGCGACUUCUUCGCCGGCGCCUCAGCGGCCGGAGCAGGAACGGCCGCAGCACCAGAAGCCUUCUUCCUCAGCGGCGCCUUGGCCGGAGCCGCGGCCGCGGGCUUCUUCUUCCCGCCCCACUCCAGCUGCGCGGCGGCGAUGCGGUCGAACUCGUCGGAGAGCUUCCUGACGCGCUUUCUCUUGGCGGCGGCGGCGAUGGUGACGAGCGGCACCCCCUCCCCCUCCGACUCGCCGGACUCGGAGUCCUCAUCAUCCUCCACGACCUCGCGCCGCAUCGCCUUCUCCUGGGCCGCGACCUCCGCCUCGUCCUCCGAAUCGUCGUCGUCGGAGCCGAGCGCGUCGUCGAGGGUGGCAGGGGCUGGCCCGUGACCGGCAGCACGGACCUUGGCCUUGGCGGACUUGGCGGAGACCCUGGCGUCGCGGCGCGCGGUGCGGCGGAGCUUGACGAGGUUACCCUCGAUGCGGCCCUGCAGGCGGAGGCGCUUGGCGGCGAGCCCGCCCAUGGACCAGUGCGCGUCGCGCGCCCAGCAGAGGAGCGCGUCCGUGACGGGCGCCGGCGGGUCGACGCGGUCGCCCGGGAAGACGCGCGGGCGCGGGAGGCCGCCGCCGUAGAACCUGCCGGGACCGAGCGCGACCACCAUGGUGACUUGAGAUCCGGCUGGCUGAACUUCUUCCUCGGCCUGAUGCUCCGGCGAUCUCUCUGCUGCUCUGUGGAUCUGGAUGACGGUGGGGAGGGAGGAUUGCGGCGGAGGGGAUGGAUGAGAGAGAAAGGGGCCGGUGAGGGUGUUUAUAGGUGGAAGAGAGGCGCGCGUGGCAGAGAGAGGUGGGAUUGGCGCCAAGAAAAUGGCGGUAAAAAAGCUUGGCGCCAAAUGGAAAUGGCGGGAGCCCCCUUGACAGGCCGUUCCCGUUCCCACUCCUGUCUAUGGGCCUGGGCCCCGCUUCGGAAGCUUUCCUUCACCUAUCCAGCUAUCUCUCCCUGCAGGUGGGCCCGCUGUCAUAUUUUUUUUUCUUACCCAAAUCGUGUAUUCAUUUGUGGUAGACAAAAAAAAUGUUUACCUUUACUUUUUUAGUCUCUACUCCUAAUGCACGAGUUAGUGAAUCGUCUCCGUGGUUUAUUUUCCCUGGUUUUUUUGUCUCUCCUCCCACCAUCCCCUCCCGCCCUGGUCCGCGGUUUAUUUUCGCUGGUCUUUUUCGUCUCUCCUCCCACAACCCCCUCCCACCCUUGUCCAUCGGUUUAUUUUUCUCUCCACUCUUUAUUACAACCAGAACUUUCCUAACGUAUAACAAAUCACGGAUCUAACUUCCUUAAAUUAUGCAAAUCAAUCGAUUCCUUUUAUUGGUUCAAUUUGUCUUGGAAAACAAAUAACAGAUUUUCAGGAAACAAAUAGUACAUUUUAAUCUAACUUUCUUAAAUUAUGCAAAUCAAUCGAUUCCUUUUAUUGGUUCAAUUUGUCUUAGGAAAAAAAUAACAGAUUUUCAGGAAACGGAUAAUACAUUUUAAUUUAACUUUCCUAACUUAUCUAAAUCAAUCGAUUUCUCUUAUUAGUGAAAUUUGUUUUAGGAAAUAAAUAACAGACACGUCACAACUUUCCUCCCAAUAAAUAGUUUCUUAACAUUUGCAAACUUUCCUAAUCAGACACGUCACAAACGGGCAGGUACUGAUAUCACGUUACCAAACAAUAAAACCCCAUUUGCAUAGAAAUCAGUUCAAAAAUCCUAACUUUCCUUAAUUUUUACCUUUCCUUGAUAACAACCAAUAUUUCCUAUGUUUUCCACCUACUGAAAGAAAUCACCCCUACAUUGAUAUUAGCAUUUUUUUGAACUGAGAUCUCCGGGUUAUCAUUUUUUUGUGUGAUUCUUUCUAAUUGUGACCUCUCCUUCCACUCCGGCUCCUUCUCACAUAAACACCUCCACCACAGCCAGGUGACACCGCCCCAGACCUUCUGCCUCUCCACACCUUCUCCGCCACCUCCUUCUCGUACUCCAUUAACAAUCCCUCCGCCACAUUUGUCCACGGCGGUGUCGAGGGCAUGGCGCAGUAGCGUACUAGCGGUAGAGCAGCGCAUAGCAGCAGGAAGCAACACGCAGCAGGCGAGGCGAACGGUCGACGGUGGAGGGCAGAGAUGCGGCCGACGUGGCUGAGGGGGUGGCCGGCAAAAGAUGGCGACGACUGGAGGCGGCGCGAGGCAGGGGCACGACAGCGGGGCGAGCAAAGGAUAGGCAGCAGCAGACGGGGCGAGCGCAGCCAGCGAGAGUGUGGCGCGCGACCAGGGUGUGUGUCGCGCGGGGGCACAAUGGUGCGGUGGCUGCGGCAAGCGCGACGGCAGCGGCGGGUGCGACCAACGCGGUGUAGCAUGGGCGUGCGCAUGGAAAGGGAGUGGCCCCGCGGGCGCGAAAGAAGAGCGGUAGGCUCGGGCAUGGGCGUGCAUAGGAGCGGGCAUGUGCCACGGGGGCACUCCGAGGAGCUCGGUGGCUACCCCUGCAAUGGCCAUGGCGGACGGCGGUUCUCGGCCACGGCGAAAUACCUAAUGAGAGCAAACGAGAGGGGAACACAGGGGAACGGCAAGAGAUCAUGGCGGUGUCAAUGGCGCCCUAGGGGAAGACAUGGGAGCUCGGGGCGGUGCGGAUUGAACGACAAUGUCGUGGUGGCCCAAGGUUGAGGAAGACGGCAGCGACGUCGAUGCGGGGGUGCUGGACUUGAUCUCAUUGGCGCAGACGAAGUAGCAAAGGCGUUCAGAGCUGCUCGAUAAGCUCCUAGCCCGCAGGGAGGGCAGUGGCCAUGUGGACGGGGUCGGUCAUGGUGGCCGUGGCGUCUGACUUCGUCCAAAUCGACGGGAUCGAGCGAGCGAGAAGGAGAAGCGGAUUUGGGAGGGGACGUCGAGGAGGAGUGAGGCCAUGGGAGCAGGGAAAGAAGGGCGUCACCCUUAUCCAUUCCCCUUCGAUGCCAGCGAGGUGGUCGGGCGGGAGCCCGGCUCUAUAGCGACGCGGCUCAGGGAACAGGAGAAGACGACCGCGCGGGGACUGGACCCCUGAGCCAGUUCGGUGGCAAGGCUCGGGGGGCAGGGCGAAUCCCCUUUUACAUCGUCCUUUUGGUUCUUCAAUGUAUUCUAAUCUGUUUCUCCUUUUUAACACCGUUUUCUAUUUAUUCUUAUCAACUAAAUGAUCUCUACUCCUAAUGUCUCAGUUGGUAGUCUCCGUUUCGGGUUUAUUUUCGUCCCACCUCCCGAGUGAGGGAGAGGGGGAGAGAGAGUGAGGAAGAGGGAGGGAGAGGGUGUGUGUGAGAGAAUUUGAUGGUAAAAAAGGUCGUCAAUGUCACUUAAUAUGUAUGAGAAUAUUAAAUGUAAUAUUAACAGAAUUGAUAUUGAACUUUUAAAGUUAAUAUGGCCCCGUUGCAACGCACGGGCGUUCUUCUAGUUACUAGCAAAAUGCGCGUGUGUGGGGACAAAUAAUUGAUAUGUCUAUCAAAACAUGUAUUGGUGCGUCAUGACAACAUCGGGAGAGAUAAUUUUGAAGUUAAUUCUCCACCAUGUCUUUCUUUCUAUUCUUUUAUUGGCAUGUGCAGCAUUGGGCAUCAUGAUUUGUGGAGUUGAUUUCUCCAUCGGGUCUUUUUUCUUUUACACGCAUAUUGUAGAGUGGAUUCCUUUGUUUCUUGAAUAAACUAGUAAAUGUGUAUGUGCAAUGCACGUUGAUAUUAGAUAUAUUAAUUACACGUAAAUGUUAGGUAGAAUGUUAUUUGCGUACUAAUUAUGUAAUUAGCAUUGGCAUUAAUAUUUGGUAUGAUAUUAAUUGCACAUUAAACAUGUUGAGCGCUUAUCAUUGGAGCAACCUGGGUCGUUGGAUUGACCUGAUUUGACGGCUGCGGUUUGUUGGAUCUGCCUCUUUAGGUCUUUUUAUAUUGGUAUAGAUAUAGAUGAGCCACACUUUACCCUCUUAUGUAGUUGGCUUGAUGAUGUUUAGGCAACUCAUGGAUGUAUAUAAAUUGGAGCUAAAUGGUAAUUUAGUUAUAUAAGGAACCAACUGUCAACCAAGAGCAUUGGCUGGCUUACGUGGUUGGAUGCGAGUUCGGGAGUUCAAACCCACCCUGAACGAGUUUUUUGUAGAUGGAAUUUGACGGGAAGAUAAGUGCGGUGUAAUGGUUAUGUGAUGUUUUGAGGGGAUUGGGGGGGCAUUCAUAAGAGGGGGUUGGGGGAACAAGCGAGUAGAUUUGAAGGCACUAGUUCAGGUGAUGUUUUGAGGGGAUUGAGGGGCAUUCAUAAGAGAGGGUUUGGGGGAACAAGAGGGUAGUUUCGAAGGCACCAAUGCAGGUGAUGUUUUGAGGAAAUUGGGAGGGAAUUUAUAAGAAGUGAUUGGCAGGAAUAAGAGGGUAGUUUCAAAGGCAUCAACGUAGGUGUGUUUUCAGGGGAUUGGGGGCAUUUAUAAGAGGGGGUUUAGGGGAACAAGAAGGUAGUUUAGAAGGCAUCGAUGUAGGUGAUGCUUGGAGGGGAGUUGGGAGGGAAAGCAAACUCAUUUAGUGAUGCGGAUUUUGGGGGGGAAAUUGUGUGUUCUUGUGUUCAGUUUGUAAUUUCAGAUAAUGGAGUGACAUUUAUUCAGUUAUAUGCAUAUUGGCACCGAGUGGAUUUUGAUUUUGAUUUUGAUUUUGCUAUAAUAUGAGAAAAGAGUGGAUUUAAUUGUUGUAAUAUGAGGAAAGAGUGUGUUUCAGGUGAUGCUCAAUGCAUGGUUCAGUUUAGUGCUUUUGUCAGUGCAUUGUGAGUUAUGGAGAUGCGCAGUUCAUAUCGGAACUGGAUUUUUGUUUAUAUAUCUGUUGACCGCAUUGUCAGUUAUAAUAAUUUGCAAUUCAUAUGUUUGAAAUAUGCUUAGUGCAUUUUCAUAUGUUGAUACAUUGUAGUGUUUUACAAGAGAUGUUGGGGUACAUGUUCAUAUGUUCAUAUGUCGAGCACAUUGUAAGUUCACAAACUGGGCUUUGUUGUAGUGAUUUACAUUACAUGUUGCACUAAGAAGUAACCGUUAUGUGAACUAAGAAGUACAUCUUCCCAAUUUGUGCAUUGCCUAAUGGAGAAAAAAGACAUAUAUUUUUUAGUUGAGUUUGAGCAUAAUGAACUUUUCAUAGGACAAGGGACAAACAAAUCAUACAUUAGAUGCCCACAUGAUGUGUUUGACUACUGUCAUGCAGAGACAUGGUCAGUGGGGGCGGUUAAGGUACUUGUCUAGGUUAGACUAUGACCCUACAUAUCACUUAAUCAAGGUGUACUGGUGCUUGCUUGGGAAGGACAUAGUCGAUGGUCUUGUAUGUGUGGACAAUGUUGAUGCAAUGGUUGCAAUGGUGAGUGCAAGCUCAGAAGUCAACGAUGGCAUACUUAAUGGGUAUCUAUUAAUGCCAAGGGUUAUGACACUUAGAAAAAAUGCCAAGGUUUUGUCAAGCUAGAGAGGGAACUUCUUAUGGCAAUGGUGUAAAUGCAAGCGAGAUAGAGGAACUAGGGGAUGCAGAGGAAGUGGUGGAAACAUGGGAAGGAGGAGAAGCAGCGGGAACAGAGGAAGUACAAGAUGACAAUGUAACUAACUCAGAUUUGGAUUUCUAUUACAGUGACUAUGAUUGUCAAGAUGGGGAUGAUGACCUAUUUGCUUAGAAUGUGGAUGCAAUACUGAAUGAUAAAAAUGAACAACAAAGAAAAUAUAUUUGAGGAAGAUGAGCCCUUAGAUGAUAAUGACCUAAACCUUUCCAAAGAGGAGCGUGAGAAGUUGUAAUGUAGAUCCAAGGCAUUUAAUCCAGAGAUGCAUGGCAGUAACCAAUCUUCAUGGUAAGGUUAGUAUUUGGAUAAAUGAGAAAGUUAAGAGAUGCACUUGUUGGAUACAUAGACAAAAACGAAGUGAAGAUUUACAUCCCAAGAAAUGAGGUAGAGAGACUGAAUGUUGUGUGCCAAGAAGAUUGUCCUUGGAAGCUCAAAGCUUCAAAAUACAAUAGAACUGGAAGCAUUGUUAUAAGGGGGUACAAUGGAGAACACACUUGUUAGUUAGAUAUCUCACAGAAAUGUUCCUACAAUAAUUCAAAGAUAAUAAUAUAGUGAAUUUGGGAACAUUUGGAAGGAAAUUUUAGAAGCAGUUCAAUCUCUGUCUUAUCAUAAUGAAGCUAGGCAGGGCUAGGAGAGCAACACUGAGGAAACAUGGCAUACUAUGUUAUGGUGUUAUGGACAGGAAUUGAGGAGAAGCAAUCUAGUGAGAAAAUUCACUGCUUACACAACCAAGACAAGGAAAAGGCCGACCCAGUUCCAAAGGAUCACAUGACAUCAUAAUAUUGGUCCUAUGAUGCUUGCAAAAGAGGUUUAUUGGAGGGACGCAUGCCAAUUAUUUGUCUUGAUGGGUGUCACCUGGAGAGCAAGUACAAAGGUGUGUAUCUUAUAGCUGAUGGAAUAGACCCAAAUGAUUGCAUCUUCCCAAUUACAAUGGGUAUGGUAGAGGUGGAGUCCACAUUUUCUUGGGAUGGUUCCUCACUACUCUCAAGCAUGACCUGAACAUCAUUAACACAUCACCAUUUUACUAUCAUGGGUGAUAAGCAAAAUUGCAAAAGGUGUGUGCCACUUGUGUGUAGCAGCAUCCAUGGGAGGAUCCGGUGUGGGAGUCAUGGGGGUCAUGGCCCCCACAAAGAUUUUGUAAAAUGUUUCUCACUACUGUAUGCAUAUGCUAACAUCCGUUAUACUAAUUCUGGUACAACCUAAUUACUUCAAAAACCUCAACACUUUGUAUUGUUGCCCCCACAUUAGUCGAAUUAUAGAUCUGCCAAUGGCUGCAUCUCAUUACAUGAACUGUUUGUGCUAAUUGGUGUGUGCCAAGUUCUCUAUCUUAAUCAGUGUCUUAAUAAAUUUAUAGGGUUUAAACAAAGCUCUUGAGAAGGGUUGGCCAGAUGCAGAACACAGACUUUGUGUUAGACAUCUAUAUCAAGACUUCCAUCAAAAGUUUAGAGGUGAGAUAGUGAAGAAUCUUUUGUAGGCCAUCGCUAGGUUAACAAAUUUGGAUAAGUGGAACUUGAACAGGGACAUGCUCAGGGAUCAAACCUUAGAAGCUUACAACUGGUUGGAUGGCAAGGCCCCAAACUUGUGGACGAAAGAAUUUUUCUCAAAUUUCCCCAAGUGUGACAUACUUUUCAGUGCUUCCUCUUAGCUAGGAAGGUGUUGAGCCCCCAAGUACAAGGGUUUCACUACAAAAAAAGACACAUCCGUGACAUUUUGGGCCGAAUGAAUUUUUUUUCUGUCAUACGUAUGACACUUCUAUGAUGAUAAUUAUGACUAAACCCGGUAUCAUCAUAGAUGUGGUGGGCUCCUACUUCUAUGACAAAAAAUCAUGACAAAAAAUGGGCUUUUCGUCCUGGGCGGGCCGGAGACGCAGCUGCAUGACAUUCUUUGGGCCGUCCAUGACAGAAAAAACCGUGGUAGAAGUGAGGGGGAGGAAAAUUUCGGGGAGUUGCCGGUUACGGUGGGAGGUCGGGGGCCGAGCGAUGCGUGUUUCUCUUGUACACGUACGCGUGUGUGUGUGAGGCGUUGGCUCUAACUGAACCCGAGCGAGGCGUUGGGCUCUAACUGAACCCGAGCGAUUGCACUACAGGCUACACAUUACUGAACCCGAGCGAUCGAUCGAUGGCUGUUAACUGAAACCGAUGGAGCAAUUCCUUCGCUACUGCUGCUAACUGAAGCCGAUCGAUUGGAUGAACAGUGAGCGUUGCGGGGGGGUGGAUGAACAGUAGAUGGUGGAGGGGUGGCCGUGGAGGGGUGGUUGAACAGGAUCCUGUGGUGUGGAGGGUUGGAUGAACAGUAGACAAUGUAGGGCUGGAUGAACAGUAGACGGUGGAGGGGUGGUUGAAUAGUAGCCGGUGGAGUAGCGCGCGGUGGAGCCUGGAUGAACAGGAGCCCGUGGAGGCUGGAGGAGGUCGACGGUAGCCCGUGGAGGCUGGAGGAGGUCAACGGUGGAGAUGAACAGUAUCUCGUGGAGUCCCGUUUUGCGGUACGCCACACCCCUCUCGAUGAACAGGACCCCCGUUUCGACCGUAGGAGGUCCGUUUCGUCCGUUUUGCCGUAUGCCACACCCCUCCCGAUCAACAGGACCCCCGUUUCGACCGUAGGAGGUCCGUUUCCUCCAUUUUGCGGUACGCCACACCCCUNNNNNNNNNNNNNNNNNNNNNNNNNNNNNNNNNNNNNNNNNNNNNNNNNNNNNNNNNNNNNNNNNNNNNNNNNNNNNNNNNNNNNNNNNNNNNNNNNNNNNNNNNNNNNNNNNNNNNNNNNNNNNNNNNNNNNNNNNNNNNNNNNNNNNNNNNNNNNNNNNNNNNNNNNNNNNNNNNNNNNNNNNNNNNNNNNNNNNNNNNNNNNNNNNNNNNNNNNNNNNNNNNNNNNNNNNNNNNNNNNNNNNNNNNNNNNNNNNNNNNNNNNNNNNNNNNNNNNNNNNNNNNNNNNNNNNNNNNNNNNNNNNNNNNGUUUUCUCCGUUUUGCGGUACGCCACACCCCUCCCGAUCAACAGGACCCCUGUUUCGACUGUUGGAGGUCCGUUUCCUCCGUUUUGCGGUACGCCACACCCCUCCCGAUCAACAUGACCCCCAUUUCGACCGUAGGAGGUCCGUUUCCUCCGUUUUGCGGUACGCCAGGCCCCUCCCGAUCAACAGGAUCCCGUUUCGAACGUGGUCGGUCGAACACAAGGCCGUUUCCUCCAUUGUGCGGUACGCCAGGCCUCGUUUCCAUGCCUGUUCCGUCCAAGCCCUCCCGAUGAACACGACCAUGCAUUCUGUUCCGACCCACCCGGUUGGCUCCCCAUGAACACGACGAUGACGUUGUUUCUCCGUUCUGACCAAGCCAUGUAUGUAUGCGCGAGUAGGCGUUCGAGACCCUGCCCGUAUGUACGUACAUGGCCGUAUUUUCUUUCUUGCACCCUCGCUGCUGUACAUACGUAUACAUGCUACGUGCGCGCCUCUACUACGACACAUGCGCGCCUCUACUAUGACACGUGCGUGCCUCUACAUCGACCAGUAUGUACGUACACUUUCGCGACCAGAAUGACAAUGCUACGUACGCUUCGACCAGGUGGGUCCCGACUGUCAGGCACUUCCUUGCUUGCGAAGAUGUAGCUGGUGGGUCCCAGCAGUCGGGGGGCAAAUCAUUUUGGUUUUUUUUGCCCGGACGCACUUCCUUGCGUGCGAAGGUGUAGCUGGUUGGUCCCAACAGUCAGGAGGGAAACGUUUUUUUUGCGAAAUACAGUGGUCGUCCGGUGGGUCCCUGCUAUCAGGUGGAGGAAUCAUUAUUUUCCGCGUAAUAAGAAGGCACUUCCUUGCUGCGGCCGUGGACCCAGCUGUCAGCCUCUCGACAUACAGUCCACGUCCGAUGGAAGUCGUUCCUUGACCACGUUGACCACGCCACGCCGAGAGCACCAGGGCGGUGGACGACGGCGAGGCCUAUGAAGGGGACGACGCGGAGCCGGUGAAGACGCGACAGUGGAUGCCCAUGCGGAGAGGAGUAUGAGUAUUCACUCGUUCGGCUGCGGUGUGAGGCUGCCGUCGCCGCAGGGCCUGGCCUAAGGUGGGAAUAGUAGGGGGCGGUGAGGCCUCCGCGGCAGCAGAACCGGCCAUGGGAGGUAGGAGCAGGCGACAUGACCGGCGCUACUUUGGGCGGCUGGAGCAAGAAGACCAGAGGUUGAAGAAGCACUACGGCCGUUGGAUGGACAUCGUAUGGUCACUGGAGCUAGAAUCGUUCAUAUUGACUAAGUUGACAAAGCCCUCCGUCCCCGUCAACUUAGUAGGCCGACAAGUCAGCUUCCCACCAAGGUGAGUCCCAGCUAGCAGGGGGAGUAUUCAUUUUUUUUAUGCGUAAUAAAGAGGCACUUCCGGUGGGUCCGAGCUGACAGCGGGGGGAAUGUUUUUUUCGUGAAAUACGGUGGCCCGUUCGGUGGGUCCCAGUAGUCAGGGGGGAAACGUUUUUUUUCGCAAAAUAAGGUGGCCCGUCUGGUGGGUCCCUGCUGUCAGGUGGAGGAAUAAUUAUUUUGCGUGUAAUAAGGAGGCACUUCCUUGCGGCCGCCGUGGACCCAGCUGUCAGCCUCUCCACGUACAGUACUCUUCCGAUGAAAAUCGGUCGUUGACCACGCUGCGCCGAGAGCACCAGGGCGGUGGACGAUGGCGACACCUAGGAAGGGGACGACGCGGAGCUGGGGAAGACGCAACAACGGAAGCCCGCGCGGAGAGGAGUACGAGGGUUCACUGGUUUGGGUGCGGUGUGAGGCUGCCGUCGCCGCAAAAUAAUAGGGGGUAUGGGUGAGUGGAGGGAUGGCCUAGCCAGCGGUGGGAGUAGUAUGGGGCGGUGAGGCCUCCGCGGCAGCACAGCCGGCCACGGAAGGGAGGAGCAGGCGGCACGACCGGCGCUGCUUUGGGCGGCUGGACCAAGAAGACCAGAGGUUGAAGAAGCACUGCGGCCGUUGGAUGGACAUCAUACGGUCACCGAAGCUAGAAUCGUUUAUAUUGACUAAGUUGACAAAGCCCUUGGUACGCUCCAACUUAGUAGGCCCACAGGUCAGCCUCCGAAACGGUGCACCCCAGAUGUCAGGGGGAGGAAUCAUUUUUUGGGCGGCCGAAGCUAAGAAUAUCCGAGAUUGAAGAAGAAGCACGGCAUCCGUUGGAUAGAUAUCCAACGGCCACUGCUGCUAGAACCGCGUGUUGACUAUAAUAAGUUGACAAAGCCUUGCAUACGCGUCAACUUAUUUUUUUAGGGGACGCGUCACUUAGUAGGCCCACAAGUGUGUGGCAGAGAACUUAUAGCCCAUUUGCGUUUUGUAAGAAUGUACAGUCCAUUUUUGAAUUCUAAUGGAAUUUACAACAGCCCAUUUACAGUUUGUUAAAAAUACAGCUAAUUUUCUAGCUAGGACAACGAUUAAUAAUUUCAACCAACCGUUGAAGACAGAAUUCAAUAAAAUUUCCCACAUUUUGAUGGGAUCCGAAAUAUUUUUAUCCCGAAAUUUCUAGUCAGAUUAAAUAUAAAUUUGUAUUACAUAAAAAUCCAAAGAAACAUUGCGCGCGCAACAAUGAAAAUUUAAGACUUUCAAAAUCCAUAAAUAAUAUUUUAUAAACUAAUUUCGUGUUUGGUGCAUUUUUUUAUAGUUACAGCCCAGUUUUUAUAAUUACAUCCCAUUUAUUAUUUUUAAAGCCCAUUUUCCUGUUAAGCCUAAUGCAUCCCUCCUAGGAAAGAUUUGCAGCCCAGCGGGGCGGAGAAUAACAAGUUGACCUUGCCUGGGUAUUCCUCAAAAAGACGUAUAGCUGGGCUAGCAAUUUUCAUCUUGAAAAAAGUAGUCUCUGGGCUGGAUAUCUGGCCUGGGCUAGACGGGCCACAACCUGCCCAGUUAAUACCCUGCUCUCCUCUGACCAACAACGAAAUCAUCGCCAAGAAAAACUAUGUAGUGCUCACACCUCAAAAACACAAAUACUGCUCGAGCUGCUUGGUCCCAGCUGUCGGCCGCACCUUGUGCAAUUCUCUCAUUUAUAUUGACUACAUAGGUUGACAAUGGUGUAGGACCAUGAUGUCAAGAAACCAGGAGAAAGCAAAAAAAAUAUAGUUGUACAUAAUAAGGAGGCACUUGCGUACGUAUGGCUAUGGCCCUAGUGGGUCCCUAGUGUCAUCCAGUCAAAAUAAAGUCAUCUCCUGAAUCCUCAUGUUCGUUGACCAUGUUAACAAUGCUCGACGCCAUGGCGAGCGCAACAACUCGAAGGACAGCGGAGAGGGCCUCGCGGGCCCUACGGAGGUCUGAUACAGCACCCGCUGCUCAUUCAGGAAGCCAGGAUCAUCGGACACCUAUGAGCACCUUCGAGAAACUGAGACGGCAUGAAACGGUAAAGCCGCGCUUGGGAGCUCUGGUUUAUUUCAAACAUGUAUUAACAUACAAGUGUAAUUUAGUCAUCAUCGGAAGGCCCGAGGUCUGUAAGUAAAACCGGCGGGUUACGCGUGUAAUUUGAGAGACCAAUGUAUAUUUUACGAACACUGCUAUAUGGACGACAUUACCAGAUGAUACAUGCACGACAUGUGUAUCAUGCCAUCCAUGGGCAACACUGAAACAACAGCUAACGACUGGAUUAGCAAUCGUCCGAGUGUCGUUCAGCGUUUUUAUCGUGUGUGAAGUACUUCCGAUAUUUUACUAGUCGAAAUCGACCAACCAAGCGCCUUCGCCCGAGACCAUCUGCUUUACUUUACAAGCAUCAGUUUUACAAGCAGUUUGGGUUGGAAAACGACGAUCCAAUCACGGCCUAAUAUCAUGAGUUGGUCGGAAGAUCAUAUGGUUUCACGUCUAACCUACCCGACAUGUCGCAUAGGCUAUGAAUGAAACAUCAGACGAUGAACUUCUUACGCACGGAAACAACAGAAGAGGAUGAUCUUCUUAACAAGCAAAUCACUGGCAUUAGAUCGACAUGCAAAACAAUACGAAGCAUUAUUCUCAGGAGGCACGGUGAACAGCUCGUGAUGCCGCAUGCCACAGUAUUCCAAGCUCAACUUUGCAAUCAAACACAAGGCCUGGCAUUACAUAGACAAUAUUCAAAACAAACUCUUAACACAGGAAUACCAAAGAAGAGUAACUAUUUACUUCUAAACUGAACACAGGAAUAGGAAAAAACACUCGACAAUGCUCACGGCAAGGGUGAGCCACUCAAAAAUAUCAAAUGCAUGUCUUCUGGCUAACAUCAAUGAGCAAAUUUUGACAAGGUUUUCCAAUUCCAAUAUAUUAAACUAAUGUAUUCUUGCUAACAUCAAUGAUUAAACUUUGACAAGCUUUUCCCAUUCAAAAUAUGUAAUGCCUAUGAUCGUGUCCUGUCGUUGCUUCUUGUACUUGUUUGGACACUUUUUGCCCAGGGCACUCCACGUGUUGUUAAAUUGCCAAUGGUCUCUGCAGACUAGUCAUGUCACCGGUGUCUAAUAAUACUCUAUAAAGCUUCUCGGACAUUCCUUCUGUAAUGUACCGCAACCAGUGACUGCUUCUUUCUGCAAAGUGGAACGACCAACUAGACCGAGUAACGCAGCAGUUUGCCUUGGACACAUUGGCUCCUUUUGUGCAGUUCAACUAAAAUCAAAGUCGGAAUAUAACCGAGCUUUAAUUUUGAUAUCCCUGUAAGCAACAAUAGGUAUAAGGGAAACAAUUACUGAGAAAUAACGGUUGAUGACUUGUCUUAAUGGGAAACAAAGCAGGAGAGUAGCAAUUCUCCAUCAGUGUGAUUCAUUCAUAUUGACUGAGACAUUAUCUUAACAAUGCCUUGUUUCAACAUGUAUAAAGAACGACAAAGCAGAAAAGUACCAUUCCUAAAACAAUGCAACUGAUUCAUUUUUAAAGAGACAUUAUCUUAACAAUACCUUGGUUAAACAUGUAGAAAUAACUACAAAGCAGGAUAGUACCAUGCCUAACAAGUGUUGUAGUUUUGAACUAAGAUUCAGUAGUUAAUUAAUUCUGAGAGUGGCAUUGCUUAAUUUUACCAGCGGCAUUAGAUUAACGAAAAGCAUAAACAGUUCCAGGGGAGAGUGGGCGCAACAACAAUAUGUGCUUCCAUCUACUUAUAAAGGGGAUGAUGCAGAGUUUGUUGUAACAAAGCAACAAGCAUCAUGUCUGGGUUGGUCCCAUUUUUGUUCACUACUUAAUGGGAAAAGACAGCAAUACAAUAGCUUCAAUUCAACAUUUAUUUAAAACAGUACCAAUACAGGUAGCACAACAUCUCAAAGCACACUGCACAAUCACGUGGAUGAAGGCUUGUACUGACCUUUCAUGAGAACACCAGGAUAAAAUACGAAUCAGCUAACACGAAUAGGAAAUCCAAUCUCCUUUUGUGCAGUUGCACCGAAAUCAAGCAAAGUGUUUCGCGUAGCGAAGCAAAAUGUCACAAUAGCAACAAGUUGAAUAGAUAUCAUGUGGUUGAGACCAAGAUUUGAAACAAUUCGACAGGAACACUGGAAACAAAUCUCGGAUCUCCUUUUGUGCAGUUCCACCAAAAUUAAGCAAAGUCACUGGUGUGACAUUCAAGUUGAACUGCACAAAACACUCUUAAAACAUAAGUGUUUCGAGUAGCGAAGCAAAAUGUCGCAAUAGCAACAAGUUGAAUCGAUACCCCUGCUUUAACAGAGGCAAAAAAGGAAACAAUUACCUGCCGAUAAAGGAGGAUGAAACAAACGGUGACAGAAAGAAGCAUCUAACUUAUCUUGGAUGGAAAACAAAGUAGGAUAGUAGCAUUUCUAAAACGGUUGCAUUGAUUCAUAUUAACAGAGACACUCUCUUGAAACAACAUUCGUUAAAAAUGUAAUUUACUUUUAACAGUGGCAUUACUUCAAUUUUUCGGCGGCAUUCUUAGAUUAACAACAACCAAAUAGCUGUAUGGGACAUGCUAGCACCAUGUGCGUCCACACGUAUAAAUGGGUGAUGCAGAGUAUGUAGCCAAGCAGCAUAUCUGUGUUGGUCCCAUAUUUGUUCUCUUUGAACUUUUUUCCUAUGUGAGGGCAGCAAAUCUACUCCUGCACAAACUACCCCCCCCCCCAAGUUUCUUUCACUUUUCAACAAAGAGAUCGGUUCCUUACAGAUGUGUGUACUGGGUUACCCCCUUUUUCCCUUUUCGACCAACAAAGCGGCUGGAUAGCCAGUCUAUACUACUUUUCCUCCCUCCUUUCCUCAUUGAACCACGUCCUAGAUUCAUGCUCCACCCCACGACACCUUUCUUUCCUCUUUGAACCAAGACCUAGAUUCGACUACAAAUCGAAAAAGAUCCACAUGCAGCUAGAGCAACGACGGUUUCAGAGAAACUUAUACCUUAGGGUCGUCGGGAUGUGGCAAGAUGUGGCAAGGUGAACUGACGAAGGAUAUCAUCUUUGUGUGUAACAAGCAAAGAGCAGUGAUGGAAGACAUCUUGUUUUUCAUUGAAAAUCGAUCAGCUUCACCAGCCGACGCAACCAUGAGGCGCAACCAUGAGCAUCGAUAGGUCAUCAUGGUGAUGCAUCAUCCAUUUGGCAUCAAGUUUGGGUGAGGCACCUAUGAAGUUCGACAAAUCCUCACUGUGGUCUGUUUCUUCUCAGUAAUCAAGCUCGAGGAAGGAAGAACCACGUGGCAGAGGACAGUGAGGCGGAACAACAAUGGCCAUCCAAUUUUGUGCAGUUCCACUAAAAUUGAGGAAGACAUGCCCGGGUAUGGAGACACGCAUCGCUGUUGCCAAAAAUAUAAAAAAGGGUUAAUGAAAAGUACACCAACAAACAGAAGCAUCAUAAUUAUAUCUUGAUGGGAACUAAACAAGGAUACCCGAGAAAAAAAGCAUUUCUUCAUUUAACCAGUGAUAGUACUACCACCAUAUGGACAAUGACCGCACAACCACCAUGUACUUUUUGUCGAAACAACAUGUAUACAUCCACAAGGCAUAAUUCAGGACAACUUUUCGAGUUGCAUUUCCUCUAUAAUAGUACUAGUAGGUGAUGUUGGACCGGCUGACAAACCCUAGCUAUUAUGCAUGGGGAGCUGGGGAGUAGUCGCAUAGAAGAAAACCCGCACGCGGCGACCUGGGGAGCUGGACCAGUACAAGAAGUUAUACCUCAGGUGGGCAAGAUGUCGUUUAGGCGGGCGGGCAGGAUCUGCCCACACGACGGUAGCGAACAAGGGCGCGAAGGAUCUUCGUCCGCGCCAGCGCUGGCUCCGAGAGGACGGUGCGCAUCGGCUCCCUCCGUUGCUGACGGCGACAACGUCAACGCUGCACCUCCUCACCUCCCACAACGGACAGGAUUCGGCCGGAUCUAUGACCACCGGUGAGGAGAGAGAUAGAGUGGACACUGUCAUCUUGUUUUGAUAUGGAGAGGGUGAGAGAGCGAGACGCGAGAAACUCUAUCAAACAAGAGGCUAUAAUGGAGUAAAAAAAUCUCUCCAUAGCAGUGGUUUUAAAUUGUCACAGCCCUAGAGUUUGUUUGCAAGUAGUUGCAUAAUCAUCCAUGCAUCAUGUCUAAAUUUAUAGGAAACUUGAAAUGGGGAUGUUGAAACCCUAGCACUAAAUGAAUUCAACUAGGGCUUACUAAAAUCUUUUCAAUGAAACCAAAAUGCCCUUCAUAAAUGUUCACCAUCUUUGGUCCUGACUAAACCCUCUGCCAAAAAUGGUUUCAUAUUUUUGGAGGCUAUUUUGGAUUUUUGAAUUAAAUCAUAUUGUAUUUGACUUUGGGCAUUUAAACGUUAUAAAUAAUUUAAAUGCUCAAAUAAUGUUGGAAUUAUUUGUGGGACACUGAAAUAAUUCAUAAAGUGCUCAUGAAUAUUUUCAGGAUUUAUAAAAUUGAUUUGGUUUUUAAAACUGGAUCAAAACAAACUACAAAAAUAGAAAAUAGUAAUUAAAAUAGAAAACAGAGAGAGAGGAAACUACCUGGCCACUUACCUGGCGCAGCUCCCUGGCCGCCUGCCUCGCUUGGACAGCGCGGCGACGCCUCGAAGCCACUCCUCGGCGCCGCCCCGACCCCGUGGACACCCCAUUUUUCUCCCUUGCUCUCUCCCUCGCUCCCUGGACGCCAUGGCCGACGCAGCCGCGUCCACGCCGUCGUAAAGCCCGCAGCCACGGCCGUCCACUCGUCGCCUCUCCGUGCCCAGAAGCUUCACCGUCGUCCGCUGUUUUGCCUCGACCGAGCCCCGAGCGCUCGCUCGCCCCGGAGACGCUGCACCGAGCCGUCCCGAUCCGCCAUUGCCGGAGACCCCCCUCGUCGCCGUGACCACUCCAGCUCUUCCCCGACCUCUCUGACCCGCCCGUCGAGACCACUGUGAGCUGCUGCCCAUCCUCCCCCUCUCCGUUCCCUCUCUCGUGCACCGUACGCACCACACCGAGCUCACCGCACCUGCCGCCACCGUGCCAUGUCGUUGCCGUGGCCACAGUCGCCCCCGUCCGUUUUUGAGCAUGCCUCCGUGCUCACCGAGCUCCCAGGAGCCGAACACGACCAACACCGGCCCCUGCCGUGCACCGUAGGUCCUUCUCUCCUCCCUCCGAGCUCCGGCCGCCGCCUGGCUCGACGCCGGCGUCAUCUCCGGCCACCCCCCCACACACCGCCUGCACCACUCGACGCGCGAGUCCACCAGCAGCAUGUAGCGCAUCUCCACCGUCGAUUUGGUCGACGGAGGACCAAACCCGAAGCCCGCCGCCGCAUCUGGUCUCGCCGGCGGUUAAACGCCGGCGGGUUGACCGCUUUGACCGGCGGGGUUUGACCCCGUCUGCCCAGGGGUUUGACCCCUCUCUCUCGCUGACGAGUGGGCCCAUGCCCUGUUUAAUUAGUGUUAGUUUAAUUAGUGUUAGUUAAGUAGUUAACUAGAUGAUCCACUAACACAUGGGCCCCGCAUUGCUGACAGCUUAGUUAGGGCUAGUUUAGCACUAAUUAUCUCAGUUAGUUAACUGAGUCACUGACCAGUGGGUCCCACAGGUCAGGUUGACCUGGCCGACCCAGUUGACCUGCUGACGUCACACCGACGUCAUGCUGACGCAGUAAUCUGUUUUCUGGAUUUUAAAUAAAUCUAAAAUGAUUUAUUUAUUUCAGAAAAUAUACAAAACUUCUAAAAAUCAUAUAAAUUCAACCGUAGCUCCAAAUGAAAUAAAUUAUAUAUGAAAAAUGAUCAGAAAAAUCCAAUCUAUCCAUCUGCACUGGUUUCAUGCAUGUUUAAACAACUUAACCUUACUGUUUAGUGCAAAACAUGAUAAGGCACUAUUUGAAUUCAUAAUUUGAAUUUGGGGUUGAACCUUUGGCUCAAUAUGACCCAAAUCCAUCUGGUUGUAGUUGCAUUAGGCCAACACACUCAUAUUGCCAUGUCAUGAGCAUGCAUCAUAUUGUGCAUUUCAUUGAUUGUAUUUCUUCUCUGUUGCCGGUAUAUGUCCCCUCUCGGUAGACGAUGUUCCGAUGUUGUGAUCGUUGACACUGAUGAAGACUCAAUGCUAUCUUCAGAAGUGCCAGGCAAGCAAAAACCCCUUGUUCAUUCCGAUACAAUCCUACUCUCUCGCCCUGCUCUCUUUUACUGCAUUAGGACAACAACGAGUCAUUUGUUACUUGCUGCGGUAGCUGAACCCCUUUAUCCUCUGCAUGACCUGUCAUUGCCACAGUAAAUAGAUGAAACCCACUAGUAUGAGUAGGAGUUGUUUGAGCCCUGUUGUGCCUACUCAUUCAUGUUUGUUUGUCAUGCCUGCUACUGCUUAGAGUUGAGUCAGGUCUGAUUCAUCGGGAAUGAGUCAGAGGUGUGUGAACAUGUCCUGCUGUGUGUGAGCUAAGUGUGUGAACACGAUUUGGUAAAGGUAGCGGUGAGAGGCCAUGUAGGAGUACAUGGUGGGUUGUCUCAUUGAAGCCGUCCUUAGGAACUGAGUUCUGUGUUUGUGAUCCAUGAUUCAGCUACUACCAUGCAUUGGGCCCUGAAAUAUGACCCCGCUCGACUUCUUAUUCACCCUUGUCCUCUGUCCUGGAAUUGCAAGUAGUUUCUGGUGUUUGUAGCUUACUGGAGGCCGUGCACAGCGCUGACCGUAGGGGUGGGCUGUGAUGCGGUAGGUACGUGGCACGGUGUACCGGAUGCCCGUUAGGUGUCUCGGGAACCCUGUUCACAUCGUUUGGGGCUGUGAGCGAAACCCCGGCCGGAUCUCCUCAUGGAUGGAACCGGAAUAGGCGAUAAACCUGGACUAGAGACUUGAGUGUUUAGGUAGGUCUUGGUCUACACCCACGUCGGCUUUCGCUUGAAGUCUACCGAGCACAUAUCGUGUGCAGACGCGAAGUGGUGGAAACGUGUAUGAAGAAGUACACCCCUGCAGGGUUAACAUCAUCUAUUCAAAUAGCCGUGUCCGCGGUAAAGGACUUCUGGGUUGCUUAUAUCAGUUCAUAGACAAGUGAAAGUGGAUACCCUAAAAUACGCAAGAUAAGCGUGAGUGCUAUGGAUGGCGUUCUCGUAGGGAGACGGGAGCGGAUCCAUAGUGGUGUAUUGAUAUGGUGAACAUGUGGACUCGUGUGCGCCACCUCAAAAGAGUUACUUGCAGUCGUAGUUCAGGAUAGCCACCGAGUCAAAGCUGGCUUGCUGCAGUUAAACCCCACCAUCCCCUUUGUUGAUAAUGAUGCAUAUGUAGUUAGUUCUGAUGUAAGUCUUGCUGGGUACAUUUGUACUCAAGUUUACCUAUUUUAUGUUUUUGCAGAGAGACUUCAGUCUCACUAGUAGUUUCACGUGGACCUCGAUGUUUAGCUUGUUACCUCAGCUACGAUCUUGUGCCCUCGGCAGGAUCUGGUGGAUAGUCAGGCUUCUCAGCCUUUCUCAUUUGUAGAUGUUUGUACUCAGACAUGUUAAGCUUCCGCUUGUGCUUUGAUUUGUAUGCUCUGAAUGUUGGGUCAUGAGACCCCUGUUUGUAAUAUCUCGCUCCUCGGAGCCUAAUGAAUACAUACUUGGGUCGUAGAGUCAUGUUGUGAUGCCAUGUUGUAUUUGCACAUAACGAGCAUAUUGUGUGUAUGUUAUUGAAAUGCUUGGUAUGUGUGGGAUCUGACUAUCUAGUUGUUUAUCCUUAGUAGCCUCUCUUAACGGGAAAUGUCUCCUAGUGUUUCCAUGGUAGCUUGCUACUGCUCCGGAGCACUUAGGCUGGCCGGCAUGUGUCUUUCUUUGUUCCUGUGUCUGUCCCCUCGGGGAAAUGUCACGCGAUGAAUACCGGAGUCCUGCUAGCCCAGUGCUACAGCCUGGAUUCACUCGCUGAUGACCGACACGUUCGAUGCUGGGUCAUGGAUGCCUGUCCCUGUAAGUUUGUGCCACUUUGGGUUUACGACUAGCCAUGUCAGCCCGGGCCCCUUAUCAUAUGGAUGCUAGCGACACUAUCAUAUUCGUGUGCCAAAAGGCGCAAAUGGUCCCGGGCAAAGGUAAGGCGACACCCGUGGGAAUACCGUGCGUGAGGCCGCAAAGUGAUAUGAGGUGUUACAUGCUAGAUUGAUGUGGCAUUGAAUCGGGGUCCUGACAGUUUUGGUAUCAGAGCCUAGCUGCCUGUAGGAUUACCAAGCCAAACUGGUCGAAGUUGUGUCUAGAAAUGCUUUAGUUAUGUAAGGGAAUUGAUUGUGGGAUGGAACGUAAGGCUCUUUUUACUCCUUAUACCUCAUGGCCUUCUGAUCUGAGUCAUCCUCUUCUCUUCUACGGGGAUUAAGAACUAGGCCUUCUCAUCUGUCUAUCAGGAUGACGUGUUACUAAUCCAUAGACUUAUAGAAUUGUUAGUUUCAAAUCUCAGUUCAGCUUUUACUACUUCCGUAUGUUAACUAUUGAUCUCGAAACCUUGAUAUUGUGCUUCUGAGUGGUUAUGCCACCAUUUUUGUGAAUGUCUUAAAUCUUUUCUGAGCAUUUACAGCCGUUAUGUUGUCCGAGUCAUCCCAGGUUUCUAAAAUAGUCUGAAGCAUUUGCAAAAUCCCUUCCUUCCGUUUCGAUGUUCCUUUGGGCCAGGUUAACCACACUAAUCGGUGAGUUGAGGUACUCUGUUGCCUUGACAUAUAUGUUGGAGUUCUUAUUAUGACCCUAAGUGUCUUAGGGGAUCGUCUAGUAAUCUAGCCAUGAUUUGUGUCCCGGUGUGAUGAUUCUGGCCUUUAUUCUCGAAAGCAUCCCGUGAUGCUACUUAGUAGUAGAUAUUCUAUUCCUGGGUUCUUGAACCCGAGAUUCACUCUACUUACUUCAUGUUGAUAGUGUUUGCUAGUUCCUUUAGGAUAUUAGUAACUUUGCGAUAGUCCUCGAGGUCCGUGGUAUUUCCUUCUUCCAAAUACUAUGAACCGCUUAUGGCAGAUGUUUAUUGGAUCAAAAGAUCACAAUUAGAGUACUCUUGAGGAGUUCUCCAUUCAUAAAUCGUGACUCUGCCAGUCCUACCUCUCUGCAUGGGUUAUUCGGAAGAAACAUGUUGAACUUGGUUCGACAUACUAAUCUAUGCAUCCACAACUCAGAAAAUUAUAUGUUCUUUGAGUUGUCCCUCUUAGUUGUCUUCUGACCCUCGUCUAUCAUUUGAUAGUCAAGAGUAUGUGUGCAUUCCUAUUACUCUUGUGGUCCGUCAAGCCAUUCUAUUCCGGAAUGACUAGGAGAAACAAACUCCAGUACCUUGUCCAUUUCCAGGAUUGGGUCAAAGCAGUCGUACUCCAUAGAUCAAAUUGCUAAUCUUGCUUUUGCUCUGUUCUACCUUGGAGUAUUACCAUCUUUAUAUCAAGAAUGUCAUGGGAAUUGCACACCAUCCUAUGAACUCUUGACACAGUGAUACUUCUCUCCAUCAUUAUUCAUUUCUCGGUUCCCGUGUUGUUGCAACCGGAAUGUCGACAAGUGAAUCGUGAUGUGUGAAAUCAAUACUCCUAGCAACCUUGUUGCUUGGUAGUUAAAGGACAAUAAUUUCAUUCUUAGUGUGUUGGUUCUUGAAUCAUCAUUCUAAGACUGUUCGUGCUACCUAGUCCUUAUUUCCUGGUGCACUCUUUGAUUGAUGAGUUAGGAUUUUGUCAAAUCCUCGCUCAUUUGAUCAUAUCGUCUUGCCCUGAAAAGCAAGAUUGUUCUCGAGCUUACUGACAUAUCGGUGGUUCGUAAUUUUCCAAAUUUCUUCUCGGAAGUAUUACCAGGUUGUCACUUGACCGCUAUGUUGGGUUCGUGAUCAAGUUGGUUUUUCAUAAACCACCCCCUUCUCCAAAAAUCUGUGUUGGAUACCCUGAGCUAGUUGGUAAACUGAACAACAACUUGGAGAGUUGGGAGAUGAAAGCUUGUCCCCCCUUAGUUCAUUUCCAAAGGGAUAUCCUUGCGUUUGUGUGUUUGUUGAAGAAAGAUGAUAUCUUCAUCGAUUGAUCCUCGUGAUCAGUUGUCGGUGCUAUGUCUUAUCCAAUCCUUGAUUUGAUUAUGGGCUAUCGUCAAAUCAAAUCAGAACCAACGAUGUUCUUAAUGUUGUCUUACUCGUGGUUGAUCCCUCGAGCAUACACCAUUAUAUCUUUUGGUCUGACUAAUGCUAUCACCGUGUUCACAUAAUUAUGGAAUUCCAUCUUCAUAUAAACCUGGAUAAAUUGUUGUUGAGCCCAUUGACAACAUCCUUACCUUUUCCUUAAUUUUGUUGAACAUCGAGCUAGUAUUGGAAACUUUUAUAAUCAUUAUCUUCAUGACUCAUUUGUGAAGCAUAUGUUUGGACAAAAGAAGUGAGUCCCUCUAAUUCAUGUGCACUUGAUGCAAGUUGCCGCCAUGAAUUUGAGAAGGCUUGUUUUACCUCCUUUGGAAUCAUCCCAAGUCAGUCAUGCACGUGCGAAGAAUUCUGUGGUCUGUUAGACUGAUCAUCCUCAUUCCAUAUGUAUAUCCUAGCACACCAAGCCACUGAUUGAGUUGUUCAAAGAUAAAGGAGUCUGUCCAAGGUGAACUCUUUGGACUUCCACGCGUGGAGACUUCGAUGUCAUUAAUGAUGGUUCCCCACCUGAACUCGGUAGUGUUUUAUUGUAAGACUACCAUGUGAUAAUGUUUGUCUGGGACAACGUGUUCACAUGUGUGUAGCAGAACCAGCUCAUGUUUUGGAGCUUGCUAUCGUAGUUCAUUUCCCGAGAAUCUCGCAACGUCAUCUCGUCGAUUUGUGUUAUGAACUUUCUUUUUCUUUGUAGACUCGAUGAGUCUGGAAUAUCCUGACACCAGCCAGAUCUCAAUCUCAGGCAGAUAUGAUGGUUGGAACAUUUCCCAAGAACUAUAAUAUUGGUCUCUCGAUAACCGGUAAAGUGGAUGUCGUGGCCAACACACCCAGCCGGAAGACCUAUUAUUGUAGUAUCUUGAUUGAGGAAGUUGGCCACCUCCCCAUAAGGACUUCGUAGGAUUUACUCCUUAGAUGUUCCUUAUGGAUUUUAUUUUGUGCUCCCGAAGUCCGACCUUUACUUGAUGUUCUAGAUACCAGACCAUUUCAAGGAAUGGGAUACGCUAGUACAUCAAGGAGAACAUUAGAAGCGGAGUGCUAAAUGUCUCUCGGUCGAUCAUCCAGAUUUCGUCCCCUUGGCCUCGCUAAGGUGAAAUUUGAGAAGCUGUUAUCUUCCUAUGCAUCUGCAUUGUCCAUCACUAUCCAUCAUGGUAGUAUGUUGUGUUGCCAGGAUCCUUGACACGGAUGUUGGUAAAACCUUGAUGAAUAUGGAGAUGCUCAAGUUCUUGAGAGCACGCGCAAGCUCUAGGUUUUGUUGUCAGCAUUAAUUGCAUAGUCCUCUCAGUUUCCUCGGUUAUGCUAUCACCCUUUCAACAGUGGACUCACUCUCUACUGUUGAGCUUUUCCCCAGUUACUAAAAUCAUCCCUUGUGUUGUUUUCAAGAAGGUAAUCCACAUCAUCCAUUCUAAUCCGGGUAUGCCAUUCUACCGAACCCUCUAAACGAUCGCUCGAAAAUUGCCUUAGGCUGGUAUAAAGAGUUUCAAUGACCUUUGAAUCAAAGGUAAUUCUUUUUGCCACUUUAGGGGAUAUUUCUACGAGUCACCUUCCCUUAAGUGCAUUGUUAUGGUAUCAUGGCAACUCAACUGCUCGCUACGUUGACAACCGUUCACCACCCUCUUAAGUGUGGAAUUGUUGUCUACCUAGUGGACCUUCGCCAUCCGUUUCACUCCAUCCCUUUGGAUGAAUGCUUCGUAUCUCAGCUCGAGAGAUGUUUUUACCUCUCACUCCAUGAGUUGAUCUUGAAUACUCGAUCUUCAAGGAGAUCGUCUUCUGUAGAGUCUCUUUCUGUCGUCAUCGUGUUGGAUGAAGACCUUGCAAGCAAAGACGUCAAGAUUGUUUUGAGUCAAUAGAUCAACACCUCGAUAAGAUAGUUGGAUCUUGGAGCUCAUGUUAUUAGUUUGUGUCCCCUUUGUCUUCUUAACUCACGCCUUGAAUCUCGGGGCGAGAUUCUUGUUUAGUGGGGGUGAGUUGUCACAACCCUAGAGUUUGUUUGCAAGUAGUUGCAUAAUCAUCCAUGCAUCAUGUCUAAAUUUAUUGGAAACUUGAAAUGGGGAUGUUGAAACCCUAGCACUAAAUGAAUUCAACUAGGGCUUACUAAAAUCUUUUCAAUGAAACCAAAAUGCCCUUCAUAAAUGUUCACCAUCUUUGGUCCUGACUAAACCCUCUGCCAAAAAUGGUUUCAUAUUUUUGGAGGCUAUUUUGGAUUUUUGAAUUAAAUCAUAUUGUAUUUGACUUUGGGCAUUUAAACAUUAUAAAUAAUUUAAAUGCUCAAAAAAUGUUGGAAUUAUUUGUGGGACACUGAAAUAAUUCAUAAAGUGCUCAUGAAUAUUUUCAGGAUUUAUAAAAUUGAUUUGGUUUUUAAAACUGGAUCAAAACAAACUACAAAAAUAGAAAACAAUAAUUAAAAUAGAAAACAGAGAGAGAGGAAACUACCUGGCCACUUACCUGGCGCAGCUCCCUGGCCGCCUGCCUCGCUUGGACAGCGCGGCGACGCCUCGAAGCCACUCCUCGGCGCCGCCUCGACCCCGUGGACACCCCAUUCUUCUCCCUUGCUCUCUCCCUCGCUCCCUGGACGCCAUGGCCGACGCAGCCGCGUCCACGCCGUCGUAAAGCCCGCAGCCACGGCCGUCCACUCGUCGCCUCUCCGUGCCCAGAAGCUUCACCGUCGUUCGCUGUUUUGCCUCGACCGAGCCCCGAGCGCUCGCUCGCCCCGGAGAUGCUGCACCGAGCCGUCCCGAUCCGCCAUUGCCAGAGAUCCCCCUCGUCGUCGUCACCACUCCAGCUCUUCCCCGACCUCUCUGACCCGCCCGUCGAGACCACUGUGAGCUGCUGCCCGUCCUCCCCCUCUCAGUUCCCUCUCUCGUGAACCAUACGCACCACACCGAGCUCACCGCACCUGCCGCAGCCGUGCCAUGUCGUUGCCGUGGGCACAGUCGCCCCCGUCCGUUUUUGAGCAUGCCUCCGUGCUCACCGAGAUCCCAGGAGCCGAACACGACCAACACCGGCCCCUACCGUGCACCGUAGGUCCUUCUCUCCUCCCUCCGAGCUCCGGCCGCCGCCUGGCUCGACGCCGGCGUCAUCUCCGGCCACCCCCGCACACACCGCCUGCACCACUCGACGCGCGAGUCCACCAGCAGCAUGUAGCGCAUCUCCGCCGUCGAUUUGGUCGACGGAGGACCAAACCCGAAGCCCACCGCCGCAUCUGGUCUCGCCGGCGGUUAAACGCCGGCGGGUUGACCACUUUGACCGGCGGGGUUUGACCCCGUCUGCCCAGGGGUUUGACCCCUCUCUCUCGCUGACGAGUGGGCCCAUGCCCUGUUUAAUUAGUGUUAGUUUAAUUAGUGUUAGUUAAGUAGUUAACUAGAUGAUCCACUAACACGUGGGCCCCGCACUGCUAACAGCUUAGUUAGGGCUAGUUUAGCACUAAUUAUCUCAGUUAGUUAACUGAGUCACUGACCAGUGGGUCCCACAGGUCAGGUUGACCUGGCCGACCUAGUUGACCUGCUGACGUCACACCGACGUCAUGCUGACACAGUAAUCUGUUUUCUGGAUUUUAAAUAAAUCUAAAAUGAUUUAUUUAUUUCAGAAAAUAUACAAAACUUCUAAAAAUCAUAUAAAUUCAACCGUAGCUCCAAAUGAAAUAAAUUAUAUAUGAAAAAUGAUCAGAAAAAUCCAAUCUAUCCAUCUGCACUGGUUUCAUGCAUGUUUAAACAACUUAACCUUGAUAUUUAGUGCAAAACAUGAUAAGGCACUAUUUGAAUUCAUAAUUUGAAUUUGGGGUUGAACCUUUGGCUCAAUAUGACCCAAAUCCAUCUGGUUGUAGUUGCAUUAGGCCAACACACUCAUAUUGCCAUGUCAUGAGCAUGCAUCAUAUUGUGCUUUGCAUUGAUUGUAUUUCUUCUCUGUUGCCGGUAUCUGUCCCCUCUCGGUAGACGAUGUUCCGACGUUGUGAUCGUUGACACUGAUGAAGACUCAAUGCUAUCUUCAGAAGUGCCAGGCAAGCAAAACCCCCUUGUUCAUUCCGAUACAAUCCUACUCUCUCGCCCUGCUCUCUUUUACUGCAUUAGGACAACAACGAGUCAUUUGUUACUUGCUGCAGUAGCUGAACCCCUUUAUCCUCUGCAUGACCUGUCAUUGCCACAGUAAAUAGAUGAAACCCACAAGUAUGAGUAGGAGUUGUUUGAGCCCUGUUGUGCCUACUCAUUCAUGUUUGUUUGUCAUGCCUGCUACUGCUUAGAGUUGAGUCAGGUCUGAUUCAUCGGGAAUGAGUCAGAGGUGUGUGAACAUGUCCUGCUGUGUGUGAGCUAAGUGUGUGAACACGAUUUGGUAAAGGUAGCGGUGAGAGGCCAUGUAGGAGUACAUGGUGGGUUGUCUCAUUGAAGCCGUCCUUAGGAACCGAGUUCUGUGUUUGUGAUCCAUGAUUCAGCUACUACCAUGCAUUGGGCCCUGAAAUAUGACCCCGCUCGACUUCUUAUUCACCCUUGUCCUCUGUCUAGGAGUUGCAAGUAGUUUCUGGUGUUUGUAGCUUACUGGAGGCCGUGCACAGCGCUGACCGUAGGGGUGGGCUGUGAUGCGGUAGGUACGUGGCACGGUGUACCGGAUGCCCGUUAGGUGUCUCAGGAACCCUGUUCACAUUGUUUGGGGCUGUGAGCGAAACCCCGGCCGGAUCUCCUCAUGGAUGGAACCGGAAUAGGCGAUAAACCUGGACUAGAGACUUGAGUGUUUAGGUAGGUCGUGGUCUACACCCACGUCGGCUUUCGCUUGAAGUCUACCGAGCACAUAUCGUGUGCAGACGCUAAGUGGUGGAAACGUGUAUGAAGAAGUACACCCCUGCAGGGUUAACAUCAUCUAUUCAAAUAGCCGUGUCCGCGGUAAAGGACUUAUGGGUUGCUUAUAUCAGUUCAUAGACAAGUGAAAGUGGAUACCCUAAAAUACGCAAGAUAAGCGUGAGUGCUAUGGAUGGCGUUCUCGUAGGGAGACGGGAGCGGAUCCAUAGUGGUGUAUUGAUAUGGUGAACAUGUGGACUCGUGUGCGCCACCUCAAAAGAGUUACUUGCAGUCGUAGUUCAGGAUAGCCACCGAGUCAAAGCUGGCUUGCUGCAGUUAAACCCCACCAUCCCCUUUGUUGAUAAUGAUGCAUAUGUAGUUAGUUCUGAUGUAAGUCUUGCUGGGUACAUUUGUACUCAUGUUUACCUAUUUUAUGUUUUUGCAGAGAGACUUCAGUCUCACUAGUAGUUUCACGUGGACCUCGACGUUUAGCUUGUUACCUCAGCUACGAUCUUGUGCCCUCAGCAGGAUCUGGUGGAUAGUCAGGCUUCUCAGCCUUUCUCAUUUGUAGAUGUCUGUACUCAGACAUGUUAAGCUUCCGCUUGUGCUUUGAUUUGUAUGCUCUGAAUGUUGGGUCAUGAGACCCCUGUUUGUAAUAUCUCGCUCCUCGGAGCCUAAUGAAUACAUACUUGGGUCGUAGAGUCAUGUUGUGAUGCCAUGUUGUAUUUGCACAUAACGAGCAUAUUGUGUGUAUGUUAUUGAAAUGCUUGGUAUGUGUGUGAUCUGACUAUCUAGUUGUUUAUCCUUAGUAGCCUCUCUUACCGGGAAAUGUCUCCUAGUGUUUCCAUGGUAGCUUGCUACUGCUCCGGAGGACUUAGGCAGGCCGGCAUGUGUCCUUCUUUGUUCCCGUGUCUGUCCCCUCGGGGAAAUGUCACGCGAUGGAUACCGGAGUCCUGUUAGCCCGCUACAGCCCGGUUCACCGGAGUCCUGCUAGCCCAGUGCUACAACCUGGAUUCACUCGCUGAUGACCGACACGUUCGAUGCUGGGUCAUGGAUGCCUGUCCCUGUAAGUUUGUGCCACUUUGGGUUUACGACUAGCCAUGUCAGCCCGGGCCCCUUAUCAUAUGGAUGCUAGCGACACUAUCAUAUCCGUGUGCCAAAAGGCGCAAACGGGUCCGGGCAAAGGUAAGGCGACACCCGUGGGAAUACCGUGCGUGAGGCCGCAAAGUGAUAUGAGGUGUUACAUGCUAGAUCGAUGUGGCAUUGAGUCGGGGUCCUGACAUAAAUAGAAUACGCGCGUUCCCGGAAAAAAGAAACGAAAACUGGCGGACAAUUUUUUAAGGGUCUCUCUAGGACACAUCUAGAUGUCUAAGUUGGUGUCCACUCUGUUUGUGGUCUAUUUUUUGUCCUAGUUUUUUUAUUCUUGUUGCUACAUUAUAUACUUGUGGGAGCUUAGAUGUGAUAUCCUUAAAUAAAAUCUAGAUGUGAAUUAGACAAACUGAUUUUCUAACGUACCAAGAAAGAAAACUCGAUAAAAAACACGCCCCUCCUUCCAGGUCGCGAGAGUCGUCACGCACACACACAUAGACAUAGACAUGCAUAUCCGUGUUUACGUAAAAUUCCAUUUCCAUCUCCAUCUCCAAUCAUAUCUGUCCAACUGGCACAUUAUUCACAUUGUUAAUUAUAUACGCAGCAAUAUUAGCGUAUAACAUCUCUUGUUUGCGCACGUCCGGACCGCUGCCACGGCCGGUCCUGACCAACCCGAACCCUCUUCAUCACCCGCGCGUGCUUCCCGCCCGAAACGGUCAGUGCUGCAUUCAUGCGUGGCCAGAGUGGACGCGACCUCUCACUGGCUCCGGGAUUGAAGCGGCACGCCAGCUGAGAGAGCGUCGCCCGCGCCGCUUCCGGGUGCACGCGGCUGCUCCACGUUCAAAGGUCGCAAUAGCCGGCUACAACAUGCAUGUAAAAAGUUCUUGGGAGUCUGUGCUACAGCUAGCUGUCCUCCCCCAACUCGUCAAUCUCUUCCAGUAGUGCUAGUAGUACUCCAUGGCGCGAUCCAUCGACAAGCAGGCGGGAAAGUUAUCGUAUACUCGGUUUGCGGUGAGUGGCAUGCCGAGCGACCGUGUGGGGUCGAGCCUUAGAGGAGGGUGAGACACGAACAUGACAGACGUGAUUUAAAUGUUGGUUUUGCUCGAUGGCGCGAUCCAACGAAACGAAAUGUUGCUUUCUCUCCGUUUCCAUUUUUUCUCCGGAAAAACGGAAACUUUCCACUCCAUUUUCAUUCCUAUUCCAAGGUUGCCCCGUUACAACAUUCCAUCAAAUACAAAGGAAAACUAACACGCAUGCUGAUGCAUCUCAAUGAUUCACAGAUCAUAGCCAAUAUUUACUUCACAACUAAAGAAAAAAGUUGUGAGAGCGUGUACGAAAGAAAAACUACUGAUGGGGUCACUACGACUUAAACCCUAAACCGUAAACAUGAUUUAAUUCCCUGGCCAGGUAGAACCUGUCGAAGGAAAGACGACUGGCACCCUCGGAUCAUACGAUCCUUUUGUGCAGUUCCACUAAAAUUGACCUGAGCAUCCCUGAUGGCAAAGAUAUUGAAGAAGUGUGAUUAGAAUAAUAGUACUGGAACUAGUUCAUGAGACAUAAACUCAUCACAAGUAGAAGCCGACAGAAGUAGAGAAAGAUCGACAUGGAGAUGGAGCUACGGCAGUGGAGCAAGCCGGCUCCAAAAGGAAGAUGGACUACUUGGGACAUCGGGCUGUACCUAGAAGGGCGGUUGGGACGCGACAUCGGCCCAUACCGCGGUGACCCCCGAUUGGGAUGCACCGACUGUGGGUUUUCUCCCUCGCCGAUGUCGACCGCGUCUAUCCAGAACAUUGUUUCCUUCCCCCAGCUGCGGGAUCAGGCCCGUCGUUCUAUGCUUGUGAAGAGAGCAACCUUAGCAAGCAGGCUUGUAGCUUAGGCUCCUGCUAGUGUAUAUAUAGUGGUUUUAUUUUUCUCUCCAUAUCAACCAUUUUAUAUUGCGUAUGUGUCAUUCAAGAGUGAAAUGAUGGUUGCUUCUUCUGACUAACUUACUGUGUGACUUGACUACUCCUUAGUGGCCCCUACACGUACUCCCCCUACGUGUAUGCAAUAGUCACAUGUACACAUGGACGCAAAAACGCGUGUGACGCCCUAAUGCAUGCAUGUCCGAGCACACGACGGAACACACAUGGUCAUGCUAAGUGCUCAACCUACACGUGCAUGCACACACAUACUCAGUCAGGGUGAGCUAGUGACCGUAUAAACAUCGGAAAAUAUAUAUAUUGAGCGCAAUGAGCGUAUUAUGAAGUCCAUUGACCGUAUUUUUACAAAUAUACAGUGACAGACAGUGUAUUUAUCUCAUUUGGAAUUAAUCCAUAUUAACUGGAGAGGAGGCAGUAUGGACUAGCAUUACUUGCGCGCGGUGGCUCGCAGGACAAGGAGAAACUUUUGACUAAUGCAAGCUCUCCCUCGCUCAGGCGGUGGACGUGCAACAAUUAAUUUGGUGUCAGAUUGCCAGAAGCAUACACUAUACUACGUAGCAGCAGCGCGGGUUUUAGGCCUAUCAGUAGCGCGGGCAGGAGCGCUACUGAUAAGGCGCUACAGCUAAAGCUUAGCAAUAGCGUGCCUAGACCCACGCUACUGCUAAAUUGACUUAGUAGUAGCGCUUCUCUAGAAGAGCGCUACUGGUAAUUAGUAGUAGCGCUUCUCCUUGCCCGCGCUACUACUAUUAUUUAGUAUUUUAUUUCUUUUUUAUUUCAUGUUGUAUUCAUACACCUUUACACAAGUUUUCAUACAACAUGAAUUUAGAGAUUGUUUUUACAUCAUAAUGAGUUAUUACAUCACGGGGUGAAAGAACCGUGGACUAGUUUCAAGUGGAUGUCCAUCCACUUGAAACUAUUCCGCGGUUCUUUCACCCAAUGAUAUAAUAAUAUCAUCAUCAUCAUCAUAUCAUUAACAACUUAUCAUCAUAGUACAUCAUUGUCAUAUAACACCUCCUCAAGAUCAACUUAGCAAAUUGGUCACUAGUCAUAAUCACAAGUACUCCUCAUUAUCAACUCUAACACAUUACCACAUAAUAAACAUAUUGUACCUCAUAGGACCUACUACAUUCGAUUAAGACCUACUACAUUUUCUAAGGUAAAAUAGCAAAAAACAAGAUAGCCCCUGACUCUCCAUUAUGGAGAAUGGAGAUAAGCCUGUCUCCAAUUCUUGCCUUUCGCUGAAUGUUACUUCCAAGAACCUCCUUGCGAAUGUCCAUACAUUUCUUCCAUUCUUUGAUGAACAUGUGUUCACCGGUUUUAGAAAUCCGAUAUGCACAGGUGAGCUCCCUAGAUUUACCUGGCAGUAUGUUCAGAACUGUAAGGCAACAAUUCAGAUACAUCAGAUGAGGCACACAAUCCAUCGGGAGUUUCUGUUGAAAACCAUAGUAAUAACUUCGUAGUUAGCAAUGAUGUACUAGUUUUAGAAGUAUGCAAAAGAUGCACGGAUGUCGUAAUAGUAAAAAAUCUUACCAGGGUAUCUCCAGAGAAGUUACCGUGGUUCAACACGUGCACUAGUGGCACGUAUUCACCAUAAUUUGGAGGAGUUCGAUAAUAGUUAUUGUAAUCCUCAAGAAGAGUACAAAAUGCGAUCAGAUGAUUUUUCUCCUUAUAAGUUAAUUCGGAGCCAUCGGUGUAGUGGGUUUUGUCUACCAUCUUCCGCACAGUCUUUGAAGAAUCAAAAUAAGUUGUCAAUGGAAAUAAGUUGUCAACUAUUUUGAAAUAAACAAUAUAAAUUAGUUAAUAACUAUGUUUGAGAAACUCACAUAGCGGUACAAUCGGAAGUGUAUCAACAAGGACCCAAAUGUCCAUAUUGUCUUGCUCGAUGUCAGGAUCACCAAGAUCCAUGGUGACAAUCAUACCCUCAUAAAAACCAUACAUUUUGCAAAGUGCUUCCCAAUUUCCUACGUUCAUAAUUCAAAGAUUAAACUUGUACAUAUUCUAGCACAAGUCAUGCCAGAAUUUACGGAAAAAUCUGGCAUGACCUUUGCUAAAAAAGGACAUAUCGAGCGCCUGAAAUUUGCCGGAAUGGAAAUUAAUCAACACUCCGGCAAAACAUAGGCCACUUGGAGGUGUAACCAAAACAUGAAAUAAUUGUUUAAACUAAAAACUAACAACAAAUAUGACAUGUUCAACUAGUUCUAUUAAUUCAACUAGUUCUUACUAAAUAUAAACUUACUAUAAAUAGAAAAAAAAACUAGUUCUUUCUGAAAAUAAAGUAGUUCAACUAGUUAUUAAUUUACUUACUAAACUAGUUCAACUAAAACUAAACUAGUUCUAUUAAUUCAACUCGUUCUUACUAAAUAUAAACUUACUAUAAAUAGAAAGAAACUAGUACAUCUACUACUACUAAUUAACAUCUACUACUACAUCUACUACUAAUUAACAUCUACUACUGCUAAUUAUACAACUAGUUUACCAUCACUACUACUAAUUAAUAUCCACUACUACUAAAAAUCAUUAUCUAUGAACCCUAAAUUAACAUCUACUACUACUAAAAUCAUCUACUAACUAAGCAAAGAGAGAGGNNNNNNNNNNNNNNNNNNNNNNNNNNNNNNNNNNNNNNNNNNNNNNNNNNNNNNNNNNNNNNNNNNNNNNNNNNNNNNNNNNNNNNNNNNNNNNNNNNNNNNNNNNNNNNNNNNNNNNNNNNNNNNNNNNNNNNNNNNNNNNNNNNNNNNNNNNNNNNNNNNNNNNNNNNNNNNNNNNNNNNNNNNNNNNNNNNNNNNNNNNNNNNNNNNNNNNNNNNNNNNNNNNNNNNNNNNNNNNNNNNNNNNNNNNNNNNNNNNNNNNNNNNNNNNNNNNNNNNNNNNNNNNNNNNNNNNNNNNNNNNNNNNNNNNNNNNNNNNNNNNNNNNNNNNNNNNNNNNNNNNNNNNNNNNNNNNNNNNNNNNNNNNNNNNNNNNNNNNNNNNNNNNNNNNNNNNAGCGGCUGUGAGGUCGAGGGCAGCGGCGGUGAGGUCGAGGGCAGCGACAGUGUGGUCGAGAGCGGCGGCGGGCGGCGGCGGUGAGGUUGAGGGCGGGCUCGGGCGGCAGUGGUGAGGGCAGGCUCGGGCUCGGACGGCGGCGACAGGAGUAGGGGAACAGGGCGGGGGGGGGGCGGGGGUGAAAGGAGGACUUAGCGAAAUUUUGAGCCGGGGGUGGUUAAGUCGAACUAGCAGUAGCGCUCAUAAGGAAAACGCGCUAUAGCUAACUUAUCUAUAACGCGUUUUAGUGAAAAACACUACUGCUAAUGGAAGCAGUUAUUUCUUUUGUUUAUCCCAAUAUCAGGAACGCUUUGUCCUGGAAAAACGCUCUAAGUCUAAGCAAUAUAAAAACAUCAAAAAUAUACAUUGGUCAUCAUUGAUCUCUUUGUGUAGAAUCUAAAUAGUCAACAUGAAUCCUCACUGUACCUGUAUAGGUACAGGCGAGGAUUCAUAUUGCAGCCACAAAUCAUACACAUAUAGUUCAAUGAAGACCAAGUGCUCGAGAUAGGUUGAGAAGUAACAUAUUUGAGGUGGUAAACACCUUGUUCGCUUAGCAGUAUGGGACUAAACUUAAUUAGUUGCGGUGAUACUUAGCAGUAGCGAGUUUUGAGGAAAAAUGCUGCUACUAAGUACUUUAGCAGUAGCGCAUCCCUUGGUAGGGCGCUACUACUAUAUCUAGCCUGGAGGCAACACCGGGGCAAUUAUAGUAGUAGCGCUUGUUUCACCUAGAGAGCUACUGCUACUUAGAUAUUAGUAGCGCUCUUUUCUGAAGCUCGCUACUGCUAAUUAGCAGUAGUGUCUGUUUUUAAACCACGCUGCUGCUAAGAUUCUGUGUAUAAGGUUUUCCCUAGUAGUUACUAGUGCUACUAUUGUUCGACUUCCCGAAUAGGCGAAUAGCCAAGCACAAAGUUUACUAGUACUAGUACUACUAAUAUAGUCUAUAAAGGUACGUACUAUACUAGUACUAGGAAACAGAUGGAGGAGCGUCUGCACUCUUAUUAUAAUUUUAAAAUGUGAUAAAGCAAUCUUCAACACAUUUGGUUCUCUUCGAGGGUUCUCGCAUGUGAUAAUGGAAGUAGAUUGCAUGGAACACUCGCCACAAUUCUUGCUUAAUUCUGGCUCAUAUCCUGUUACAAAUAGUAGCGCUCGGUAAUAUUUCCUCUUUUUUUGUUAUUCAGCGUGCAUCUUCGUGCGAACCGUGCUUGCUGCACUUUGAAUGUGGCCGAGAGCUGGCUUGAUGAAAAACCUCGCUUCCUACUUCUUUUUUUGCGGGGUACCUCGCUUCCUAGUGACCAGUGUCUUGGCUGAUCGUCCUAAGAAUGCUUAUAUAUGAAUAAAGCUCUCUCAUUUACCUGCAAAAAAUAUUAAGCCAUAUUAACCAGAAAGGAGGGAGUAUGGACUAGCACUACUUUUUGGUGUGUCCCGUCAACUCGCAUAACGAGGAGAAGCUUGCAGGACAAGGUGAAGCUCGCAUACGCCUUUUGACUAAUGCAACCUCCCCUCGGUGGACAUGCAUCAGUCCAUUCGGUGUCAGAUUGUCAGAGGCAUACACUAUAGUACCCAACAUGCGGAGUACCAUCAUUGUUCGACUUCAUGAAGAGGCGAAGAGCCAAGCGCAGUAGUACGAGUCUAAAUCAACAAGGCAUGUUGGGGAAAAAGUAUCUGUCUGGAGCAUGCAACAUUCCGAUCAUUUUGUGCAGUUCCACUAAAAUAGAGCUGAGCGUCCCCGUUCCAAAGAUAUUGUGUGAUUACGAUAAUAGAGGACCGCUGAUGAAACAAUAAACACAUAAAUAGAAGCCGGUCACCUUUGCAGUCUCUCUUAAGACUAACUAGUUGGAGAAGAUUAGGCUCAGAGUUGGAUGAGGAGGAUAGAGCAAAACCAAUCUCCCUUUGUGCAGUCGCAUUGAAAUAUAGAGACGUUGCCCAUGUGACAUUUUAGUACAACUACACAAAACACUCUUAAGAAAAAAGUGAUUUGUGCAGUUCACCAAAAGGUCGCAAUAGCAGCGAGGUGAAAUGGAUAGCCAUGUUUGCAAAAAAGAGGUAGAAAGGAAACAAUUACUGGCCAAUAACAGUUGAUGACACAUGCGACGAUAAAAAAGAAGCAUAUUCCUUGCCCUAAGGGAAGAUAACAACACGGUUGUGUUUGUCUAAAACGGUGUGAGGACGAGAAUGCAAUAUGAAAAGUACACUGGACGAGCUAUGUUUUGGGCAAAGAACUAUGGAAGAUCCACAUGCAGCGACGUGGGAAGACGGGCAGUGGAGCAAGGCCGGAGGGGAUACCUGGAGGUCGUCGAGAUGUAACUAGGUGAGCAGCGGCGGGCGGAAUCUGCGAGCAGGUGGCGUAGGCCCUGCCGCGCCGGAGCUUGGUCAGAGAGAACGGCGUGUACUGCAGAUUGGACGUGCUGCCUUGGCGCCGUCGAAUGGAGAAAUGAUGCACUUCCUCCCUUUCCCCCGGCGAACGGGAUGCGGCCGGAUCAGUGACCAACGGUGAGAGAGAGAGAGGCCACCACACUCCCUUUCCCCCGGCGGACGGGAUGCGGCCAGAUCAGGGACCAACGGUGAGAGAGAGAGAGGCCACCGCAGCCUUGUGUGAGAUAUUCUGAAGAGUGACAAACCAGGCAUGCAAGGCUCCAUUGUAUAUAGUGAGCGGACUACCUUUUUCUCCAUAAAAAUCAUUUUAUAUUCUGUGUACGUGCCAUUGAGCACUAUAACUUUAUUUAAAAAUAACGCGGCAACGCGUCAAGUCGAACUUUGUUUCGUGCAGGAGUGGUACACGACCUCCCUAGGUAAACAACCGCUAUAGGCAUUCAAAUUAGCACGUGGGCUGCCAUUUCGUAAAGAAAUGAGCUCCAUCGUGUACCCGUGCGGGUGUGACUGGGCACGAAGCGUGAGUACGUGCACGGUGCACCUAUUCUCUUCUUGUAUACGUACAACACCUACGUGGGGUUGUUUGAGAGAGAUACAAACCUAGAUAGAUAUAGUGUGUGGGUUCUUGAGAGUUUUUUUUUGGGGAGGGGUCAAUCAAAAAAUGUAACAUAUGCAAUAUGUGUGAAAUAGAGUCCUGGAUAUAACAUAUAUAUAGAGGGGGCGAUCCACGAGAAGAGAGUGGAGGUAUCACCGGCUUGAGGUGUCCAUAGAAUCGAAAAGAGGGAUGAUGUGUGUGUGUGUGCACGCGCGAUCGAUAAAGAGUGCCAUCGAAUUUGUGUGUGCCCACGUCAAAGAUAUAGAGUGGAUGGCCUGCUGGAAUGUGAGAGGGGACAUGUGCAGUUUGUCUCUGUGGCAUGGAUACCUACCUGCAGCGCUCGACUAUCGGUGUGUGGUGGGGGAAGAGGGAGGCCCAAUUAACUAUAGAGAUACAAUGGCUGGUAUAUGUGUGGAGGAGGAGAGAUGCCUACCUCAUGUAUUAAGGAGAUCGAUCUGCCUCAUGUAUUAAGGGAGAUCGAUCAGCAUCCAUGCAUAUGUGCAGGAGAGGAAUAAGGUUGGGAGAGAGACAGAGCUAGAGUGUUGGAGGGGGUGGUAGUGGAGUUGCUUCUAACAAAUGGUGGGAUAGGCUUGCUAGAAAACGGAGGGCAUGCCCGCAAUAUCAAUAAGAGAGGAGAUGGUUGCUUGUUGUCUGUGCACGUGCGUGUGAGAGACGGGUCAGGAGGCAUGCACGAAUGAUGAGGGAGGACGAUGUGGCUGUGGUAAGCAGACAUAACUACAUAGGAAGAUCAAUCGCCCUUUGUUAGAGAAAGGAGAGACAUAACUUGUGAGGUACGUUGAUCGAUGGGGGGGGGGUAGUUAAAGUCAAUCCAGGUAUAUGUUGGGAGAUCGAUCGGUAUACAUGCAUGUGUGUGUUAGAAGCAAACGAGGCACGAGGAGAAGGAUAGAGAUAGAGGGAUGCAUGUAGGAGGUGGUACGAGAGGCAUACUAUAUCGAGCGGGGAGGAGUGUGCGAGUACGAGAACGAUGAAAAGAGUGGUGGGAGUGAGGCAUGGACGGUGACAAGAGAAGAGGGGAAGCUUGUGUUUGUGCUAGGCACACCUGGCUAGAGAGGCAUAUCGAUCGAUGUGUGCCGUAAAGAAGGAGCUGGGGGGCCUACACACAUCGUGGGUGAACGACCUAAAGUGAAAAGACAAAUUUGUGCGAUGGAGCUAGAGAAUGCUGAGGGAGGGUGAGAGGGAUGCGGGCGCAUGCAUGCACAAGAUAAAGUUAGCGCUAGCUACAAAGAUAAGAGGGUUGUGUGGGUGUAAAAGACGAAUAGAGAUCAUAUAUACUUCAUUAUAAAAGGCGAAUUAGGAUAUUUGAAAAAUUUAUCAUAGUGUUUUAAACCGACGCAUGUGUGAAUAUAUAUAACGGUGAUACACAUGGUGUGUUUAUGAACAUGUUAUACUAUAUUUAAUAUAUUUUAUCUCUACUCUUAUAAAAAAACGGAGUUAUUGAUGAUGGUGUGCCUGCCAUCCUGCAUUAUAGGCCGUCCAAUUUAUAUCUGGCGGAUAGCAAGGAAACUAUGAUGGUUGAAGUUGGCAACAAUCAUGAUUGUAGAUUCUUAUUGAAAUAGAGAAACAAAUUCAAAUUUAGUUCGAAUUGCAGUGGUAGUAUAGACAUUUGGAAUGCACUAAAAUGUUGGUAUGAGUAGGUUACAUGCAUUAUACAGCAAGCAAAAAAAUUUAAUCGUACAUAACAUGGAUUCAUACCCCCUCUUCCAUCUAUAUAGGGCGUAAUGAGAUUUUUAAGACCGCGUUUGACUAUUGACAAGAUUAAUAGUACAUGACAUGCACAAUGUGAAAAUUAUAUCAUUGAAAGAACCUUUCGCAGACGAAGUUAACGGUGUGCUUUGUGUAAGUUGCAUGUCAUAUAUCAUUACUCUAAUAUUUGGUCAAAGUUAGCAUCGAAAAAUGCAUUAGGCCCUAUAUAGAUGGAAGGAGGGAGUAGCUUUGAAUAGCAUUUGUAUAGUAAAAUGGGGCAAGACUCUCUCUUUGUGUGGUGUGAAUAGUUUUAUUUUUUUCGUUUUCUUUUUGGUUGAGGGAAGUGCGAAUUGAUUUGGUACGUACAAGUACAAUAUUACUACACGUUAGGCUUGUCCCUAAAAUUCAACCCGCAUCUUGUUAUAUCCCGAAAAUUCAGAUAUCAUGCUCCAAAACUGGCGCCUUCACAACCCGCGCCUUGCUAUCCCGAAAUUACAACACGCGCAAAAACUCCCUUCAGCUGCCAAAUCCCGACAUGUGAAAUCCCCCUUCUAACCCUGAGCCGAAAGGGACGCUAGUUCAAAUCGGUGGGGGGUACUUUUGUAACACACCCUACAUUUUGGACAAGAGCGUCCCUAAGUCAUGCUUCACCCCCUCCCAUCGCCCCCUUUUCGCCAUUCGAAAUCCCAGGCCGCCAUAAUCUCUCCGCUCCAGCAGCGAAACCUCACCCUCCUUCGUCCGCCACGUCACCGCUGCCCAUCCGGAGCCUCUUCCCCGAUGAUGUCGUCCAUCGCAAUAGCUCGACGUUCCUCGUCCACCUCCCCAGAUGAGGAUCCGUCAUCCAUCUCGCCGUCCAACCGGUUUAGCCGCCCCGUCCUCCACCUCCAAGGAGCUACUCCGACGAUCGCCUCGUCUAUCGUGGCUGCUCCAUCCCCACAGCGCCGCCUUAACCUGCUCCACCGGAACUGCAGCAUCCUCACCGACUCCUCGGACGAAGCCGAGGCCUACUCGGCGCCACCAAAGAGGUUGUACACUCAUUGCAUCGCACCUUCUCCUUAACUCGACCUCCCGGCAUCGACGGUGCUCCAUCCCGCACCCCCAUGGAGAAGCUACCUUGAAGUCGGCGUCGCGGGCGACAUCUCCACGGCGGCUCUCCCCCAGUGCGAGGCCCCUUCGGCGGCGGCGGCCAUACCAGCCGGAUCUGCUGCUGCUGCUCCGGCUCUCGCUCGCUCGCUCGCGCUGCUGCUGCUGCUGCUCUCCCCCUCUCUCGUGCUGCUGCUCUGCUCCGAUUAAGCCACACUUUAGUCGAUUGAAUCGACUUUUGGGUCAGUCGAUUUUUAGGGGUUGGGGGGGGGGCUCGCCGAAGUUAAGGAAGAACCNNNNNNNNNNNNNNNNNNNNNNNNNNNNNNNNNNNNNNNNNNNNNNNNNNNNNNNNNNNNNNNNNNNNNNNNNNNNNNNNNNNNNNNNNNNNNNNNNNNNNNNNNNNNNNNNNNNNNNNNNNNNNNNNNNNNNNNNNNNNNNNNNNNNNNNNNNNNNNNNNNNNNNNNNNNNNNNNNNNNNNNNNNNNNNNNNNNNNNNNNNNNNAGGAAGAACCACCCGCAACGGGGACGGGUGCUCGCCGGAGAGGUACCCCACUAUCUAUCUUAGGUUUCAGGGUGGGGGCGGGGGGCCUAGAGGGCUGGCUAGGGCGGCGGUGGCGAGUUGUUUCGGGGCGGCGCUGGGGCCGGCGGUUCGGCCGAUGGUGGCUGGCGGCUCAGGGGGGUGCAGGUUGAAGAUGAACUGUAGGCCCUCCCUAAACUACAUGUCAAGUGCCUCUCUGCUACCAUUGCGUUCAGUUUCGACAGUAGCAUUCAAAUUCCAUAGUAAAUUUCUGUUUCGACAGUUAAGUUCAGAGUCAACAGUUUUUACCUCAUCUAUUGUAGUCAGGUGGUUUUUGGUGAUGUUAAUUUUACAUCCAUUUUACAUCAUCUAUUGGAGAUGCUAUUAGAAUCCCACUUGAGAUUGACGAUGUCUGUCUUGUGCUGCUUCAGCCUUGACGUCUUACGGCUCACCGGAGCUGCUCCAACGACAGAACGAUCCACCACAACAGAGCAGUGCCCUGGACGCCGUCUACAAAUUCCUCAGAUCUUCCUCCACACCUCCGACAGCCACCUCUGCCUCAACUGCUUCAGCGACCAACCCAAUGAUGCUGAAGUCAACACGGCUACGGAAAAGAGGUUGUACACUUGUUGCAUCACUUAUUACUAUACAUUCACGUCGAUCCAUUAGGGCUAUUUUGGUUCAACGGAAAAACAUAGCAAUAGGGAAUUUUCCAAUGGCACUCUACUAUUCAAUUAUUCAUGCAUUUUGUUGAAAGGAAUGAAGCAAAACAUCCACCUGGACCUACUUUUCAAAAUCCUAUGCAUGAAAACAAGACCAAGUGCAUUAGUGCCAGAAUAACAUUCUAACUGUACACGCUUUCAUAUGGUUUCUCUUUAUUUUGGCCAUGUUUAUUUGCAUUCCUCUGCUCUUCCAAUUCCUAUAAACCAAACACCCAAGUUGACAGAAAUCCUGUGUUUACAAAUGCUCUGUUUACCAUGUGCAUUUUCCUAUCCUAUUCCGGUGUUUUUCCUAUCCUUGCGUUUUAAGAAUCAUGCAAGCCAAAUGACCCCUUACAGAAUUACUUCAGUUACAGGUACGUGUCGAAGGGAACUUUGUGUGGUUUGUCCUGCUCCUGCCGCAACGUCCUCCACCUCACCUGAGCUGCUCCAUCGACAGAAGCAUCCACCAAACCAGACAUCACAACUCCUGACCGUCUUUCGCCGCCUCAGAUCUCCUUCCCUGCCGCCGGCACCCACCCCAACGACAUCACCAUCAUCGACUCAGUAGAUGAACCAGAGGAGUACACAGGUCCACAAGAGAGGUCGCACUCUUUUUUCUGCUUAUGUUAUGCAUUGCUUAAACUUACCUGCUACUUUAUCGCCCUGUUCAGCUCUUGGACUCCCAACUCAGGUCCAAAUUAAUGUUCAAACUUGAGUUCUAAAUUAGUUGUGGGGCACAUAUCGAGGAAGCAAUGAAUAGUAUGUCUGUCUAAUAUCUGGUUCACCUAGGGUAUGCCUAUGUUGUUCAUCUUGGGUGGGAAACAAAUAGUAAAGCAAUCAUCAUCUGUCUUUUUAUUAAUUUAAAGCAAUCAUCAGCCUGCUAUCAUUAUUUUUGGAUCCAUCCACUGGUUGUUACCAUCACUCUAAAUUUCUGCAUGCUCUCCUUACAUAAUCUCACCAUAUUUUUUUGUAUGCAUGUCAGAUAUUGUACACAGUCAUGCUGAACAUGUAGAGAAAAAGAGAAGAGUUUUGCGCGGCAAUACAAUGUCAUGCAGACAUUGCUCCAUGGUGGGUUCAAUGGCAAACUCUCCCCACCCCUCUCUAGAUUGUAAUCUAGAGGAAGAUAUCUGUUCUGAGGCGGACUCAGACGCCGCUGACCACUCAUAUUUACCCCCAAGGUGUUUGCUCUACCUUGGCAUGAUGAUGUUAUUCAUAUCAUGCACAUGUUGCCUUGCAGUGCCUACUUUUGACAUCAUAUAUGUCAUCUGCUUAGUUUAGACAUGUGCUGUAAUGCCACCUGUUUAGUUUCUAUAUCAUAUAUGGGAAUUACGCAGUCUCAUGUCUUUUAGCCAGCCAUAAUAUAUGUGAAAUGUGCAAUGCCAUCCUGUUUAACCAGGCAUCAUAUAUUUGAAUGAUAUCUUGCCCAUCCUUUUCUUCAUUACAUUUCCAUUUGUUGACAAUGUUUGUACAUUAAACUACUCUUCCUGUGAAUCAGCCAUUUGGGUGGGAGAUGGAAAAAUCUGGAGUGAAAACAAGGCCUUCAGAGCAGACAGUGCUACCUGUCGAAGCAGAUCUCUUGUUGGGUCCCGAUAGCUCCUCAAAGAUGGAUUCAGAGACAAAUGACCAGUCCUAUUCCCCUACUGAGGUGUAUGCUCUAACUUGACAUGGUUAUACUGCUCAUAUUAUGCAUAUGGUGUCUUGCAUUCCAUAGUUUAGACAUCAUAUACACAAUAUUCAACACCAUGUUCUUAGUUCAGACAUCAUAUCGAAUGCCCUAUGUUUAGCAUAUAAAUCACAUAUGUGAAUUAAAUGAUGCGAUCCUGAUUACUUAGAUAACAUGUAGGUGAAUUAUGUCAUGUGAUCCUAUUUAGUUAUUCAUCAUAUCUUUGAAUUAUGUUAUGCUAUGCUAUCCAGUUUAGAUAGACAUCAUAUAUGUGAAAUUAUGUCAUGCUAUCCGUUUUAGUUAAACAAUAUACAUGCCAACUAUUUCAUGCCCUCUUUUUUCCACACUAUCUAUUGCAUCUGUCUCUCAUACAAUGUCUGUACAUUCAACUAUGUUUCCUGUUUAUCAGCCAUUUGAAUUGGAGCGGGUGAUGCCAGUAUCUAGCGGAAUAAAAACACGGUCUUCAAAUAAAACAGUGCUACCUCUUGGUGGAGAUAGCACCCCGGUUGUACAUGCACAAGAACCAGCCCUACCACACAUAACCCAAACUCUCGCAGAUUGUACCCCUACUGUGAUGGACAGAGAACCAGCUUCACCCAAUCUAACCCCAACCCCAGCCGAUAGUAACCCAGUUCCUGUUGACAUAGCACCAUCUCCACCACAGAGCUUCCAAACAAGAGCAGUUAGUAAGGCAGCUCCAGUGCCCAAAGGGCCAGUACUAUCACGGCGAACCCCAACUCCACCAGUUAGUACGCUUAUUCCUGUGGAGGAAGCACAACCAGCCAGUCAUAGUUUAGCAUCUAUCGCAUUUGAUGUUGUUAAUCGUAUGUGUGUAUCUUCCCAUCUUGGAAAUAUAUACUGAAGAUGAAGAAAAAAUGCCAGUUGCAGGUGUUUGUCCAGGAGUCAUGUGUAAGUAAUGUUAUUCAUGGCAAAUACUUUGCUUCGUCCCAUACAUCCUACCACCAUGAUGGUUAUAAUACAACAAAUUUUCCCAUUUUUCUCUAUAGAGAAGGACCGAUUUGGAAACUCAGGAUGAGGUAACCUAUGCUAAUACCUCUGCUAUCUUCAAGAAUGCUUGGUGGCAGUAUCGGAAUUACCUGAAGAAAACGUACUUCACUGGCAAAGAAACUCAUCAAAUUCCCUUACGUUCUCCUGAGACACAUUUACUGGACGAUGACUGGGAACACCUUGUUCUGUACUGGUCCCGAACCAAGAAUGUGGUAAGGUCUAUGAGCUCAUUUUCUAUUUUUAAGUAUUAUAUUCUUACGUCUUAUUGUACUCUGUUCAUGUAGAACAAGUGCCUAAACCUGAAGAACAACUGUUCCAAUUUAAGAUUCCAUUGCUAUCAUAGUUCAAAAAAGCGCUAGGCGUUAAUUGUGCGUUUUGCCAUCGCCUUGCACUUUACUAACCAAAGCGCAUGCUUAUGCGCAGUUAUGCACAGAUUAAGCAUAGUUAUGCGCAAUGCGUUUUGCCAACACCUAGAGCGUAGGCGCGCUUAAGCGCUCGCUUAGGCGCGCCUUUUUUAACUAUGAUUGCUUUGCUCUUGUAUCACUGUAUUUACUGAUACAAACUUAUUUUUAAAUUGAAGGAUCCAAUCGAAACUCCAAUGGCACAGCAGGUAUGUUCACACAUGUUUCUUUAACAGGUUUGCUCUUAUCAAUAGCUCUUUUGAUUUCAGUUUCAAUUGUGUAUACAGUUGACUUUCAUAUCAUGCACAUUACUAGCAUCACAACAGAGCCAAUAGUGUUGUUGUACAUGUAGACCCGUGGUACCCAUCUGAAAUCUUGUUGUGCCGUGUAGUUUCCCACGCUUUGUAUUCUUUCACUGCUGCUUUGUCUUGAACUGAUAUGAUUUGAACUGUCUCUAUUUUGAUUUGGCAAGACAAUGCAGUGACCAUAGGACAUAGAUAUAUGUGUGUUUGAUGCUUUUAUUAUGUACUAGUAUUUGGCAAUAGAAGACUUGGUAGUUUAAUCAUGUCCACCUUGCUAAUGAACUGGUUCACCAAAAUGAGUUUCAUAUACUAGUACAUGCUAAACUUGUUAUGUGUCUGCUUGUUUCUUCUUUUAGAAUGCUGACAGAAUAUUAGGGAAGAGUGCCUUAUUAAGCAAUGGUAAGGGAAGUAAUGCAGAUAAGGUUCAGGAUAGUGACACUUCCUUGUUGGUCUCCAACAAAGCUGAUAAAACAGCUAAGGAAGACUAUCUUGAAGACAGCAAGACAACCCCAAAGUCCUGUCUUGGUUUAGUGUUCGAGUUACUGGCCACUACCGCUUGCACAAGCUAUUCAAACUCACUGUCUGAAUCAGUUCAGUUUCUUGAGUCUCAACUACAAGCUGAAAGACAUCGAUCAGCUGUGCUGCGACAAGAAGCAGAAGGACUGCAGAAGUCCCUGGAGCAUUCAGAUGCAUACUUUCUGGUGCAACAGCAAGCGUUGGAGGAUUUUAGCACCAAACAUGACAAAGCUAAUCAGCUUGCUAAGCUUAUUGCCAGCAUGGUGGAUACCCAGGAUAACGUUUCUUGAGCUCUUCUGAAGUUGUUUCAGUUAUGCUCUUGUUUUGCUGCCGCGUUUAUUUGCACUGGUGGCCAAUUUUGAUGGCCAGUGUAUGUAAUAUGCUGCUUUCUUCCCUAUAUUUGCACUGGUGGCAAACUUUGAUGCCCAGUGGAUGUAAUAUGUGUAAUAGCGGUAAUAGGCUAGCCUUAAUUGCUUGCUUAUUUAUUUCCUUAUUGUCUUGUUUAGUUGUUUGCUUGUAGUCACUGCAGUUCUUUUUCUGUGUUUUUCUAGUGGCCACAAUAGCCUAUUUUUGGUAACUAGGCCAAAAUAAUCAUGGCAACACACGGACUGUUGUAACCAUGGGCCUCCUGCAAGCUGUAUGAUCCAUUGGCCUUCUAUACGGGCCGUAGGAUCCAUCGGCCUUCUAUAUGGGCCGUAGGAUCCAUCGGCCUUCUAUACGGGCCUUAGGGAUCAAUGGGACUUCUACGGGCCGUAGGGUCCAUGGGCCUUCUACGGGCCGUACGAUCCAUGGGCCUUCUAAAUGUCGUACUAUCCAUGGACCUCAUACGGGCCGUAGGAUCCAUGGGCCUUCUACGGGGCGUAUCAUCAUUUCGCCAAUCAUGGGCCAUACUAUUCGUGGACCAUAACGGGUUGUUAAUAAGCCGUAUUUGAUAACUCUAUGAGAACAGCCCAACGGGUUUUUUUUUGACAUGAAAACGGCCCAACGUAUUAAUGGUCCGCAAACGGGCCGACUGUAACGACGGGCUGAAUUUGGCCCACAAGCAGAAAAUGACAGUAACGGGCCGUAUGUAACCGAAUGCUGCAAGUGAGCCCAAGAAUCAAUGGGCCCUGAGAAGGCCGAAAGAUAACUUGGGCUGGAAACGGCCCAAUGGAAUAAUGGGCCGUUAAUGGGUAUAAAGUGAUACACUGUUCAUUACGGGUCAGUUUCACCACGGGCCAUUAAUGGGCCAAGACUUAAAAGGUCCUCAUAUGGGCCGAAAGAAGUCAUGGGCCACACAUGGGCCGGAAGUUAAAACGGGCUGAAUCAUAUUGGACGGCCCGGAUGACGCUACUGGGCCUAAUUCGGAUAGGGCGUAACGGGCCUUGGGUUAGCGGGCUGUAAAUGGGCUAUAUGCGAACAGGCCGUUAACACGCUUUCCGUGGGCCGGCCCGCCACCUUUUGACCAAGUCAAACGGGCCGGCCUUUUCACAGGAAUGGGGCUCUGUUGGGCCGUGCCACGUGUCGCUGUAUCAUAGGCGCCUUCGGUCCAAUGAGCGGAUGACAUCUGUCCCAACGGUGAGCCGACACGUGUUUCCUCCAGCCAAUGAUAAUUUUACACGUGGAAAAUCCCCAUUGGUCGGGGCUGUUAAUGGGUUAUCGGAUCCAAAACCCGACCCGAUAGCUUAACGACAUUCCGUUAUAGUGGAUGCCACGUGACGGUCACCCUUGAUGAAAGCACUUCUGUGACGCGCGAUUUAUCGUCAUGGAAGUGGACACUUCCGUGAUGAUAAUUUUGGUAAUGUCAUGGAACACUUCUACGACAACACAGGUAUGACUAUCUUGAUUCUGUCAUAAAUUUGUCAUGGAUGUACAUGCAUGACAAAAAACGCGACUUACUGUGACAAACACGUAUCAUCACGGAAGUGUAUUUUUUUGUAGUGUUUCUAGCAAACAAAAAAUCUCCCUCAAAGUGGAUGAUCUUAUGGUUUAUCGAGCCAGUAGGAGUUUUGAAUUGUAGGUGAUGAUAAGUAUUUGCACACACAAAUACAAAACAUGUAUUGGCCCUGAACAAAACCAGUAAUAUUGUGAGUCUUACUAGCCUUGCUAGUUACAAGGAUUAAAGCAACUUGUGUUUGAAACAAUAGGAUUGCAAGGGAAACAAAUAAACGAAUUGAAAAGAAAGUACAACAAAGUUUUCGAGGUUGAAUGCAAUGGGAAAAGAAUAGACUGGGAUCCAUAGGUUCACUAGUGGUUUCUCUCAAAAAGAAUUAGCAAGGUGCGGUGAACAAAAUACACUCUUAAAUCAAAUAAAUUAAAGUUUUUAUGAUUAUGACUAUACAUAGCAUAAUUGCAUAUAGGCAUUAAGUUUGGACAUCCAUACAUCGUUAAUACAACUGCAUCUACAGCUAAUACUCCACCCCAAUAUUGCUAUCCAUCAUGCAUCUCAAAGUAUUAAGUAAAAAAAAUGAGAGUAUUGCAUUAAGCAUAAUGGUAUGAUGUUGAUAAUAUAUUGUCUUCACCCUGCGUUCAAAGGACAACUACGCAAUCAUCUUUUUGUCGUAGCGGCAACAACACAACACAAGCCCUUUUCACUUUCUAUCAUUAGGGUACAUUACUCGCAAGAUUGAACUCAACCAACAUACACAACUCUCUCUUGGAGACCAUCCAUCAAACUUGUCCAAAGAAAGACAAAUAGACUGAGAGAUUUGUAAUCAUUUCUAACAAGACUAUAGUUUAAUUCAUGCAAUUUUAAUUAUACCACCAAAGCAUACAUAUUAUUUUUAUCACCAACAUAUUAAACAUUGCCAACUAUCAAUUAUUAUUCAACUCUCAUAAAAUAUAUAAGUGAAGCAAGAGAGUUCUAAUCAUUUCUGACAGGGCUAACACAAUACUCUAAAAAGCAUAAGCGAAGCAAUAGAGCAAUUCUAAUACAAGGACAAGGAUAACUCUCUAUGCACAUUUAUCAUGGUGUGAUGAUUGAUCAUGACCAACAAACAAAAGCACCGGACACUACAAGAAUAACACAUGUCAUGUGUAGCACCCUUAGAUCGGUGUCGUGGUACGAAGACUGACAGUAAGAUUAGGGGUACGUAUGAGGAGGCAAGGUCCUAGACACCGUGAGAUUGUACACAAGUUGAGGGAGUCCUGGAUUAGGGGGUGUCCGGAUGGCCGGACUAUAACCUUUGGCCGGACUCCUGGACUAUGAAGAUACAAGACUUCGUCCCGUGUCCGGAUGGGACUUUCCUUGGCGUGGACAGAAAGCUUGGCGAUACGGAGAUGUAGAUCUCCUCCCAUUGUAACUGACUAUGUGUAACCCUAGCCCUCUCCGGUGUCUAUAUAAACUGGAGAGUUUUAGUCCGUAGGACGAACAACAGUCAUACCAUAGGCUAGCUUCUAGGGUUUAGCCUCUCUGAUCUCGUGGUAGAUCUACUCUUGUACUACCCAUAUCAUCAAUAUUAAUCAAGCAGGAGUAGGGUUUUACCUCCAUCGAGAGGGCCCGAACCUGGGUAAAAACAUCGUGUCCCUUGUCUCAUGUUACCAUCCGCCUACACGCACAGUUCGGGACCCCCUACCUGAGAUUCGCUGGUUUUGACACCGACAUUGGUGCUUUCAAUGAGAGUUCCUCUGUGUCGUCAUCUUUAGGCCCGAUGGCUCCCCCGAUCAUCAACAACGAAGCAGUCCUGGGUGAGACUUUUCUCCCCGGACAGAUCUUCGUAUUCGGCGGCUUUGCACUACGGGCCAAUUCGCUUGGCCAUCUGGAGCAGAUCGAAAGCUACGCCCCUGGCCAUUAGGUCGGGUUUGGAAGUUUGAACUACACGGAUGACAUCCGCGGGGACUUGAUAUUCGACGGGUUCGAGCCACAGCCGAGCAUGUCGCACUGUCACGAUGGGCAUGAUCUAGCUCUGCCGCCUAACAGUGCCCGGGAGGCCGCCCCAGUGUCCGCUCCGACCCUUAGCUCAGAGCCGACUGUGCCAAUCGAGGACGGCUGGCUGGACACCGCCUCGGGGGUUGCAAUCUCUAUGGUGAUCGAGCCAAACACCAGCCUUGUCCUUUGCGAAGCUCGUGACUCCAAGGUGCCGGACUCCUUUCCGGACUCCAAACCUUCCGCGCCCCUGCCGAUCGAACCCGAUUGGCGCUGAUCAUGGAGUUCGCCGUCGUGGACAUCUUUCAACACUUGCCCUUUGGCGACAUUCUGAAUUCACUAAAAUAUUUCUCUUUAUCAGGAGAGCCUAGGCCGGACUAUGGUCAGCAAGGUUGGGAUGCGGACGACAAAGAAAUUCAAGGCCCACUUCGUAGCCACUGUCGAUGAUUUAACCGACAUGCUCGACUUCGACUCUGAAGACAUCAACGGUAUGGACGCCGAUGCAGGAGAGGACCAAGAACCAGCGCCUAUAGGGCACUAGACGGCCACCUCGUCAUAUGACAUAUACAUGGUGGACACCCCAAAACAAGGGAAUGGCGAUGGAAUAAUGGAGGAUGACCCCUCCAAGAAGCAGCCUAAGCGCCGGCGUUAGCGGCGCCACUCUAAAUCCCGCCAAAGCAAAAAUGGUGAUUCUGGCAUGGGAGAUAAUAACACCCCGGACAGUGUCGAAGACAACCCCCUCCAGCAGGAUUCAGCACAGGAGGAUGGAGAAGCCAGCCCUCAUGAGAGAGCGGCAGACAGAGAGGUAGAGGAUGAUAAUUACAUGCCUCCCUCUGAAGACGAGGCAAGCCUCAACGACGACGAGUUUAUCGUGCCUGAGGACCCCGUCAAACAAGAGCGUUUCAAACGCAGGCUUAUGGCCACGGCGAGCAGCCUCAAGAAAAAGCAGCAGCAGCUUAGAGCUGAUCAAGACUUGGUAGCCGACAGAUGGACUGAAGUCCUUGCGGCCGAAGAGUACGAACUCGAACGCCCCUCCAAGAGCUACCCAAAGCGCAGGCUGCUACCCGAUUAGAGGAGGAAGCACCUAAACCUACAUCACUAGCGCACGACGCGGCCGACCGGUCACCCCGUGGCCGCGACAGAGAUGCCUCUCGGCCAUCCACUCAAGCCGCACCCCGGCAUCGCUCCAAAAAUACCAAGGCACGGGGAAAUGCGCCAGACCUACGAGACAUAUUGGAGGACAAGGCAAGGCAAACAAGAUCGAUCUAUGGAUCGCGUGGGCACCCCACGACACGUGACAAUAACCGUCAUGCCGGAUAUGGCAAAUACGGCCAGGCCGAACACAGCAGACAAAGCUCAUUUGAGCUACGUCGUGAUAUAGCCCAGUACAGAGGCGCCGCACACCCACUAUGCUUCACAGAUAAAGUAAUGGAUCAUCAAAUCCCCGAGGGUUUUAAACCCAUAAACAUCGAAUCAUACGAUGGCACAACAGAUCCUGCGGUAUGGAUCGAGGACUAUCUCCUUCAUAUCCACAUGGCCCGCGGUGAUGAUCUACACGCUAUCAAAUACCUCCCACUCAAGCUUAAAGGACCAGCUCGGCAUUGGCUUAACAGCUUGCCAGCAGAGUCAAUUGGUUGCUGGGAGGACCUAGAAGCCGCAUUCCUCAACAAUUUCCAGGGCACCUAUGUGCGACCACCAGACGCCGAUGACCUAAGCCACAUCAUUCAGCAGCCAGAUGAAUCGGCCAGACAAUUCUGGACACGGUUCCUAACCAAGAAAAAUCAAAUAGUCAACUGUCCGGACGUAGAGGCCCUCGCAGCGUUCAAACAUAACAUCUGUGACAAAUGGCUUGCCCGGCACCUAGGACAGGAAAAGCCGAAAUCCAUGGCAGCCCUCACAACACCCAUGACCCGCUUUUGCGCGGGAGAAGACAGCUGGCUAGCUCGUAGUAAUAACAUGACCAAGAGCCCUGGUAAUUCGGAUACCAAGGACAACAAUGACAGCUCGCGUUGCAAUAAACACAAGUGCCGCAUUAAUGGCAACAAUGCGGAGGAUACGGCAGUUAAUGCCGGAUUCCGAGGCUCUAAACCCGGUCAGCGGAAAAAGCCAUUCAAAAGAAGUACUCCGGGCCCGUACAAUUUGGACCAAAUACUAGAUCGCUUGUGCCACAUACAUGGCACCCCCGAAAAACCAGCCAAUCACACCAACAGGGAUUGUUGGGUGUUCAAGCAGGCAGGCAAGUUAAGCCCCGAAAACAGAGACAAGGGGCUGCAUAGCGAUGACGAGGAGGAGCCCCGGCCGCCGAACAAUAGGGAACAGAAGGGCUUUCCCCCACAAGUGCGGACGGUGAACAUGAUAUACGCAACCCACAUCCCCAAAAUGGAACGGAAGCGUGCACUCAGGGACGUAUAUGCGUUGACGCCAGUCGCCCCAAAGUUCAACCCAUGGUCCUCCUGCCCAAUCACUUUUGAUCGAAGGGACCACCCCACUAGCAUCCGCCAUGGCGGAUUUUCCGCAUUGGUUCUAGACCCAAUCAUUGACGGAUUUCACCUCACUAGAGUCCUUAUGGACGGCGGCAGCAGCCUGAACCUGCUUUAUCAGGAUACAGUGCGAAAAAUGGGCAUAGAUCCCUCAAGGAUUAAACCCACAAAGACGACCUUUAAAGGCGUCAUACCAGGUGUAGAGGCCAACUGUACAGGCUCAGUUACACUCAAAGUGGUCUUUGGAUCCCCGGAUAAUUUCCGAAGCGAGGAGUUCAUCUUCAACAUAGUCCCAUUCCGCAGCGGCUAUCACGCUCUGCUCGAACGAACCACAUUUGCAAAGUUCAAUGCGGUGCCGCACUAUGCAUACCUCAAGCUCAAGAUGCCAGGCCCUCGAGGAGUCAUUACGGUCAAUGGAAACACUGAACGCUCUCUCUGAACAGAGGAGCAUACGGCGGCCCUCGCGGCAGAAGUACAAAGUAGCCUCUCAAGGCAAUUCUCCAGUCCGGCUAUUAAACGUCCGGACACCGUCAAGCGCGCCCGAAGUAACCUACAGCAAGACCGCCUGGCACGUUCCGAGCAAGUGUAGCAGUGCGGCCCCAACCCUAGCCCUCGCAAAAUUGCGAAGCCAGUACUACGCGUACAUAAUUACGCUAUGGAAAUACCAUGGGCAUGAGGGGAGGGGUGCAACCACGACACGCCCACAAUACGGCUCAACCGCACUAGGGGCUCUCGAUUUUGUCAUUCUUUUUUUUUUACUUUUAGGACUCCACUAUUCGGAAGGCCUGACCGUCAGUACAAUCGCCGAAGUCACGAUACAACAGCCAGGGAAGCAACAAGCUACAUCGAACGUCCAGGUGGUCUCUAUAACGAGCUAAAUUCUUGUCUUACAUAAAGUCUCGCAGCUUGCCCCUGGAGGGGGACAUGUCAAAUAAUCCCAUCUCUUGCUUAUCGCACUAUUUGUAUCGUUCUGCUUUCACAUCAGCCUUUUAAUAAACAAUACAUAGCCCUUGUCUAUUAUUGCAUUCAUUUUUUAUGUAAAUAUGUUCAGUCAUGACAUUAUGCAACCGUACACUUUGGUACGGCCAACACACCAGGGGCUUAAGUACCCCAGAAUAUGGUGUGAGAAGUCCGAACACUCUCACGAGUGCGGCACCCCGAACUUAUAGCAUUAUAUGCAUCGGCUCCGAAUCAUGUCUUGGGUCAAUAGUUGGGUUUGCCCGGCUCCCAUGUUUUGGUACCUUACGUUCCAUUUUAUCGGCUAAGGUAGCGCUAGGAGAACUACUGCGAUUGUGCCCCAGUCGAGCUGGGUUAAGCACCUCAGUAGAGAAAGCUAAAACUGACCAUCAUGAUAGGGCGAGAGCCGGUCAUUGUUCGAGAGGUUUUCGAGUCCCUAAAGACAUAUGUCGCUUAGAGCGAGGAGCUGGCUUUGUCCGGCCUAGGUGUGGAUAGCGCCCCGAACUCGGUCUUCUGAAUACUAGGGGCUUCACCGAAAUUUAAAAUUAUAGAAUUCUAUGGCUAAGUGAGAGUGAUAAAGCAUUAUAGUCUGAUUGCCUUGUUCGUUGUGCUGAGUGCCUCCCUCGAAGGGCCCAAGAAUGGGAACAAGAGCGCUUAGGUUUAUCCCGAACACCCCAGCACUCGUGGCAUGGGGGUAGAAGCCGAUGACUCGCAUCUCUCAGAUUCAAUAAACGGCCGCACAGAAGGUAAUAUUUUAAAUUCAACAAGCGUUGCUUAGAGCAUAUGAACAAGUUUUCAGCGCACAGGAUAAACACGAGCGAGUGUACUAAAAAAUUACAUCGUUGGCACAUUCAUUCGCCACAAGGCGGGCACCCUUCAGGACGCCCUCAUAAUACAUCUCGGGCCUGCGAUGCUCCUUCCCCUCCGGUGGCCCGUAUGUCACCAGCUUCUCAGCAUCCAGCUUGCCCCAAUGUACUUUAGCACGGGCAAGGACCCUACGGGCGCCUUCGAUGCAUACGGAGCGCUUGAUGACUUCAAGCCGUGGACAGGCAUCCACCAGCCGCCUCACCAGCCCAAAAUAGCUCCCGGGCAUGACCUCCCCAGGCCAUAGCCGGACUAUUAGGCCCUUCAUGGCCUAUUCGGCUACCUUAUGGAGCUCGACCAGCUCCUUCAGCUGGCCGCUCAAGGGCACCGGGUGUCCGGCCUCAACAUACUGGGACCAGAACACCUUCUCCGUCGAGCUCCCUUCCUCGGCUCGGUAGAAUGCGGCAGCAUACGGCACGCACAUGAGGUCAGCAGCGCAACCUGCAUUCCCAUAUUGACAUAUUUAUGUUAGACUCCUGCGUAUAUCUUUUUAGAUCCUUAGUCCAGCUUUUCUUCCCGAACACCAAACUGAGCAUCAGGGGCUAUUGUCUAUGCGGUAAUAUUUUUACAUAUCUUAAAUACAUACCUCAAAGCCUGUUAGAAGGCUGGCACAGGCUUCCGUCAGCCCGCUCUUGGCGGAUUGAACCUUCUGGAUCACCGCACUCAUAAUAGUGCGGUGCUCCUCAUCGAUGGAGGCACCAUUAAGCACCUCCAGCAAAUUGUCCGGUGCCUCCGGUUGGACGGAGGUCACCGGCGUCGUAGGCUUGCCCUUCUUACUAGGGGCCGCCUGCCGGACUCCGGAACCACUGAAGGUUCCAGUGCGGUAUCCGGCCCAGGGCUGGACUUAGAGCCCUUUGGGGUUUCCUCCCCUUUGCGCGUGGAGUCCGGGAAGUUGCCUUGCGGCGCCUCCGGGACCACCACCUCCUGGCUUGGCCCCUUUUGGGACUCCACCUCGGCAUCAUCCGUAGGGCGAGGGGAGGUAGCAGUCGGGAGUGAAAGGCUAUUCACAUACGACGAAUCCAGGGAUCCGCUCGACGAAGCGUCGAGCCGGGCCUUGGGCGGACUGCAUGAUUAUAUUCGGCGUUAGAAGAUACUGUGCAAUAAAGGAACGUCAUGAGUCAUUCUAGUAUCCGGAUACUUACGAUUUUGCUAGGGGCUUGGCCCUAGAUGGCCACUCCGCUCCGCCGUUGUCAGCGCUGGUGGAGUAGUCCGGAAGAAGGAUCUUUCCCUUCUUGGACCCUUCGGCCUCCCUAGUUGGAGCGGCCUUCCUUUUCUUUCCUCCCCCCGUUGGAGGGGGAGAGGCUUCUUCUUCCUCCUCCUCAUCUUCGGGGGAGGAGCGCGCUUCGGGGUCAUCGGGCGAUGAAUCCGACAUCACCAGGCACCGGGAACUACAUCUGCUGGGCCUUCGGGCAAAGGAGCCAGACAGUCAAUCUGUCCGGAUGUCUUCUUCCAGUCCUGUCAAAGGAGCGGGAGCUUAGAUCCCGCAUAGAGUCAAACUAUGAAAAACAAGUAUCCUAUAAAGGGUAAAACAAGCUUACCGCGCUGGCUUAGCGCUUCGCGCAGAAUCUGUGAUCCUCAGUAAUGGGCGGGGGAACCUCGGCGCCCUUGAAUAACACUUUCCAGGCAUCCUCGUGCAUUCUUCCUAAGAGCCUGGACAAAGUUUGGUGCUGGCCCGGGUCGAACUCCCAGAAGUUAAAGGCCCGUCGUUGACCCGGGAGGAUCCGGCGGAAGAGCAUGACCUGGACUGUGUUGACAAGUUUAACCUUCUUGUCCACCAGGUUUUGGACGCAGGUUUGGAGUCCGGUCACCUCUUCCGAAUUACCCCACGACAAGCCUGUCUCUUUCCAGGAGGUGAGCCGUGUGGGGAUGCCAGAGUGGAAUUCGGGGGCCGCUGCCCAUUCAGGGUCAUGCGGCUCAGUGAUGUAGAACCACCCCGAUUGCCACCCUUUGAUGGUUUCCACAAAGGAGCCCUCAAGCCAUGUGACAUUGGGCAUCUUGCCCAACAUGGCGCCUCCGCACUCCGCUUGCUGGCCGCCCACUACCUUCGGCUUGACAUUGAAGGUCUUCAGCCAUAAGCCGAAGUGGGGCUUGAUGUGGAGGAAGGCCUCGCACACGACGAUAAACGUCGAGAUGUUGAGGAUGAAGUUCGGGGCCAGAUCGUGGAAAUCCAGGCCGUAGUAGAACAUGAGCCCCCGGACAAAUGGGUGGAGUGGGAAGCCCAGUCCGCGGAGGAAAUGGGGGAGGAACACUACCCUCUCAUGGGGCCUAGGGGUGGGGAUGAGCUGCCCCUCGUCUGGAAGCCGGUGUGCGAUGUCGUUGGACAAGUAUCCGGCCUUCCUCAACUUUUUGAUGUGCCCCUCCGUGACGGAGGAGGCCAUCCACCUGCCUCCUGCUCCGGACAUGGCUGGAGAAGUUAGAGGUGGGAAGUGCGGACUUGGGCGCUGGAGCUCGAGUGCACGGAAAUGGAUAAGCAAAGGAGGAAGAAGGCGUAGAUGGAAAGGGUGGAUCCUUAUCCCCUUAUAUGGGCGGACAAAACUAUGUACCCCCACCAGCCUGGUAAAACUCGCUUAUCUCCCAAGCGCCGUGAUUAAUGGCACGGUUGGGUUACCCACGCCCGUAUUGAUGAGAAUACCGGAAUAAGGGGACACGAUCUCUGCUUUGACAAGACGUGCCAAGGAAACCACCUCACUAAACGCGCUGCGGUGGGACAGUAAAACGAUUCCAAUGAAGUCUUGCCCGUGGCAUGAUGUCACGCUGCGGAAUACGUUAGCAGAUUAGAUUUGUACAAAUAUUAUUCUCUCUACGGUGGUAUGUGGAACUUAUUUUGCAGAGCCGGACACUAUCCUUGUGUUCAAAAUCUUCUAUGAAGUAUUUGGAGGAGGAACCCGCCUUGCAAUGCCGAAGACAAUCAGCGCGCCGGACUCAUCGUCAUUGAAGCCUGGUUCAGGGGCUACUGAGGGAGUCCCGGAUUAGGGGGUGUCCGGAUGGCCGGACUAUAACCGUUGGCCGGACUCCUGGACUGUGAAGAUACAAGACUUCGUCCCGUGUCCGGAUGGGACUUUCCUUGGCGUGGAAGGCAAGCUUGGCGAUACGGAUAUGUAGAUCUCCUCCCAUUGUAACCGACUAUGUGUAACCCUAGCCCUCUCUGGUGUCUAUAUAAACCGGAGAAUUUUAGUCCGUAGGACGAACAACAAUCAUACCAUAGGCUAGCUUCUAGGGUUUAGCCUCUCUGAUCUCGUGGUAGAUCUACUCUUGUACUACCCAUAUCAUCAAUAUUAAUCAAGCAGGAGUAGGGUUUUACCUCCAUCGAGAGGGCCUGAACCUAGGUAAAAACAUUGUGUACCUUGUCUCCUGUUACCAUCCGCCUAGACGCACAGUUCGGGACCCCCUACCCGAGAUCCGCCGGUUUUGACACCGACACAAGUGUUUACGAGUUCAGGCCCCUCUCGGAGGAGGUAAAAGCCCUACGUCUCGUGCCUUGAGGCGGUCGACUGGAUUAUGGUGUGUGUUAUAGGGGGUGCGAACCCUUGUGCCAGAGGAGGGGGUGGCUUAUAUAGAGUACGCCAGAACCCCGGCCAUCCCAUGUUGCAAGGAGUUCAAUGUACAUAAAGAUAGGGCGUUACUGAUAACGCCAGCUUUAAAGUGCUAUUAAUGCCCUUGAAGACUACGGAGUGAAUGCUUGACCAUUGUUGUCCUGGCCGACUCCUGGUCUUCAGUAGGUCGAGUGGUUUCUUGUAUGGUCGAGUGAUCACGAGAAGGAGGGGUAUCCGAGUGAAAUGACUGGUCGAGUGGACUGCACUCGACGUCUUUAAUUGGUACUCCAUGUUGUCUCUGGGGUGCCUUUGCUUCUAGGGUAGUGACCUUGGGUAGGACGUAUAGGUCAGGCCUAUGGCCCUACCCUAGGUCGAUAUCCUCAUCAUUAGCCCCCAAAUGGAUUGAGGUCCGAGUGAAAAGAAGGUGGAAGUUAAUCUUGCCUCGACUGUUGUGCUCCAUUAAUACUCAAAUUGGAAUGGAGGCCCAUGUUGAAACUGGAGCUUCGUUUCAGUCGCCAUGAUCAAUCCAGUAGGUCAUCGAGUGGGUUUGCAACGCCACCUCGUCGAGUGUUACUUUCAUCGCAAAAUCUUCAGCGCGAUUGGUAACGGCGUGUCCCGGAUCUCGCGGGAUUCGAAAUUUUGGGGAAGCAAGCGAGGCGGGGCAUGCUGUAGUGAGUGGGAUGGAUAGACAAGGGCGCCUCGAUCUCUAUGCCACCUUUUUCACCACAUACCGAGCGCGCGAGUGUUGCGAGAUUUGACGGGAUCGCUCGGGCCCAUGCGUCAGCCACUUGGAAGCGGCUCUUUAUAAGGCGUCGGGGCCGAGGCAUUUGCACUGUGCGCACCCAUCCUCCCCCAAUCUCCUCUGCUUCUCCGCUACUCCUUUCUCCUCCACUCUCGACACCGCCGCGCCGCCACCAUGGUGAAGGACAAGACGACGGAGCUGGAACGUACGAAGAAGGCGACGGGGGCGGCGAAGGGCAAGAAGACAGCUCGGGGGUUGUCAUCGAGGUCCGGGCUACCGGCGGGUUGGAUCCAGGGCAAUUGGAUCCGAUCUUCGCUCCAGCCAGAGGACUUGGAGGAGCUGGCCAACUCUGGUCUGAUUUUCGAGGGAGCUGCGAGGGUGCUGAAGGGGGAGACGGAGCCUCGGCCGCGGCCGGGUGAGUGUGUUUUGCUCACCACCCAUGUCGAUCGAGGUUUUUCCCUUCCUCCGCAUCCUUUCUUUAGGGGUUUCUUGAACUUUUUCGGAGCUCAGCUCCAUCACUUCUUCCCCAACACCAUUACGUAUCUCGUCGCGUUUGUGUCCAUGUACAAAAAUUUCCUGGGCUGUCGACUGCACUGGGUCUUUUCAAGCACAUCUUUACAAUCUGCUCCCAAUCGGUAAAGAAAGCCAAUUCGAGUGACUAGAGGAUGCACGUGAUCCAAAUGUGUGGGGGUUUGGGGAUCCAGAUGAUAAAACGGAGAGCUUUCCCUUCCAUGACACUUCCUGAGUCGGUCAGGGGCUCGCAGUCGACCUGGUUCUAUUGCCAGGACAUUGCGACUCCCGAUCACUCGACCGGUCUUCCUCCCUUCUCUUUAGAUCGCGCCCAGCAACCUUCUUCAUUGAAAGUGAUAGCCGCCAAGAGGGUGGAAACGGACAUGUUGGUGGAGAGAGUGGUCCAGUUGAUCAAUCAGGGUGUAACCGUCAUGGACUUGCUGGAGGUGUUUCUCAGUCGACGGAUCCGGCCGCUCCAGGCUCGUGACCAUCCAAUGUGGAUGUACUAUUGACCCAACGACACCGCUCAAGUCCACCCAGAGGAGGUUACAGCCGAGAUGUUGGCCCAGUGGCUCAAGGGCAUUACAGGGAACAAGGAUAACCCCAGAGGGGCCAGGAGAGUCGACCCAUUCAGCGCCAACAACCAUCCAGACAAGGUUCGAUCUUUUGCUACCGACUGUACUCCUGUAUGCCUUGCAUCUGUUUCCCAAUCUGACUGACAUUUGUUUGACUCUUUGUCUUGUAGAUUUACACUGAGAUGUACUCUAUGCCCAACGGUGCACAAGCUCUGGAGCGGGACCAGGAGGGAGAGGACAGCGCGGAAGAAAGUGGCGAUUGGCAGUCUCCAGAGGAUGACGACAAGGAGGAAAGCGACGAGUCGGAUGAUGACGAGGCAAUUGACUCAUCACCAUGCUCAGAGCGUCGAUCCAAGCAAUCCCAUGAUCCAGCGGGCGGGCGUGGCAAGGCUGCAGCUCCAAGCACUCAAGCACAGAAGCGCGAUCGGACUUCGACUCUAGAGCUAACAAAAAAGGUUGCCAACCAACCCAAGGUUGCACCCUCGAAGGCUCGGAAGACCUUUCCCAACAUCAAAAUGGAUGUGCCUGUCUCCUCUGGGUGAGUGCUCUAACUUCCCGUGUUUCCUUCUUCCGACUGAUACUUCUGUUUUUACCGAGUGGAUUAUGAACUUUUUCAGCCCUGCAACUUCUGCGACUGACAUGGAUGUUGGCAAGGCCCCAGGGGACGAGGAAGCCGAUGACGCGGCCACUUCCAAAGCUGGUAGGCCCUUUCCGACUUGAAUUUGUUCUGCCGAUUGAUUUGUUGGUCGAUUGAACUCUUGGGAUUGUUUUUGUUGCUGCUCCGCGAGACGUUAUUACCCUUCCAGACGAUGAAGAAGAAGAAGCGCCUCUGAGAGAGAGAAGAAGGAGGGGCAGGGCCUCAAGUGGGAAGGCGACUGAGGGGCAGGUGCCUGAGAUAGUGGUCGAGCGAUCCGAAGAUCUGGCUCGGACCAGUGUCACUUUCGCCAAUCCACUGUCGGCCGAUUGUCCAUCGGGGUCGACUACUCAGGCGCCUGCCGCUCUAGUACAACUGUUGGAGAUAUGCCCUAGAGGCAAUCAUGUAUGAUGAUAUUUCCUAUGUGUUUAUGAAUAAAGAUAGUCCUUGGACAUUAUCAAUGAUGUGUAUCAGCGAGUACGUGACUUGUUUGUGGGACUAUGCAUUGUAUGAUGACUGCCCUAAAUGGUCCCUAGUCAAAAGGGUUGUGUGGACGCGCAGCCGACUAGACUAGCAUAUGACACGGUCGAUGGCUUGGUCUCACUGCCAUGGAGCACUGGAUGCUAACCGGAUAAUAUGGACUCGGAAGGAUCUGGUCGGAUUCGACAUAGUCGGAUCCGACUCGAGAUAAGGUCCGAGUUGGACAUACCCAACUAUGAGACACAGCGAUAUGUCGUCUGUGAGUCUCUAGUACAACAUACAUUCUGUGUCCUAAGACCUGAGCUGAUCCGACUCGAGAUAAGGUCCGAGUUGGACAUACCCAACUAUGAGACGCAGCGAUAUGUCAUCUGUGAGUCUCUAGUACAACAUACGUUCUGUGUCCUAAGACCUGAGCUGACGCAUGUGCUCGGGAUGGUGACAGACCUGCUUUGGGCCGAUCAAACGCUACUCCAUAACUAGGUAGUUACAAAGGUAGGUUUCAGGCUUGUCCAGACCCAUGUUGCGAGACGUGGUCGAGCAAGAUGGUAUUUGCCCCUCCGACCAGGAGAGAUAUACUCUGGGCCCCUCGUGUGAUCCGACCAGGAUAAGCAUGGCCAUGCAACAAGGAUUUUGAGAUAAUCCAGAUAGUGGUCGGAAUCACUGGAACGAGAAAGAGGUCGGGCUAGCACAAGGAUGACAAUCUCGCCUUGAGACCGACAACAUAUAUCAUGUGGCAAAGGGAGCAGAAGUGUGACAUGUUGUACAUGUUUGCCUAACCAGCUUCAUAGUCUGCUUGGUGUUCGGCAUGCCUUGCUAGAGGCCGCUACCAACCGUGCAGUUCGGAGGUGAUCCGAACUGCGACCAAGCCGACUUGAACCUAAGGGGUUGCGUGCUUAAGGGAAGGAACCUAUGAGGUCGGAUCCGAGGACACUGGUCGGAUGUGAUCCGAGCUGUAUUCGGAUUGUGGCCGAGUAGACUUGUGGUCUUUAGGGUCCGUUCGAGGCCCAAGUGUUGAGCCCGCGAUGGACGCCUAUAUAAAGUGGAGGUGCGGCACACUCAUGGGUUGAUCGCUCCAGCGCUGUCACUAGGGUUUACAUGUGUUGCGAAUAGCCACCUUCACUGGCCGCCGAUUGUGUGAUCGGACCUAGCAGUCCGCCGCACGACAUUCCUCCUGCACGUGCGGAUACUGUUAGAGGCGGUGCACUUGCGCCACUCUGAACCUGUUCGCGGGAUCUGAUCGGCUACGUGGGAGAUCGGCAAGGAGGAGACGACUCUGGGAACGCGAGGCGACUCCGGGAACGCGCUGCCUCAACUCUACUUCCGCAGCACGGCAUUGUGCCUCUAGUGGUAACGAUGUGGGGUCUAUCUCCCAUAGCAUGUUCCUGGUUGUUCUGCGCAUAGGAAAAUUUUAAUUUGAAGUUGACGCACCCUACCGUAGAACCCAACAGUGGUAUCAGAGCCUCUGCUAUAAGAUUUGGGUUCAGAUCAUAUGCAUAUUAGAUAUGUGGAGACGACAAAUGAGAUCUGUUGUUGUUUGUGAAAUCGGCUACGUGCAUGGUUGAUGAGAUCAAUUGCACAUGGGGAUUGAAGUAGCUAUGUUUUCCGAUGAUCGGAGUCGAUGAGGUCGUGACACAACCUGCCCCUUCGAACCCCGCCCGCUAACCGGAUAGCGGGACCGCCGUCUGCGUAGCGCCUUGUAUUUCGUACAUGAUCACUCAAACCGGUAGAAUGCGAGUAACUCUAUUUUGAAGGUUUGAUGUGAAUAGUAUGGCUCAUGUGUGUGUGAUGCAUGUGUGUAAUUUAUACAUGGCUUGCGUGUCAUGUUUGUCAGCCGGCAGGAGCCAAAGUGCUAUCAUUAUAAUGAAUAACGACCUGCAUGUCAACAUGUGACUCUAUUAAAUUCAUUACUAGUUGUAGUAGUUGGAUAAUAGAGAUCAGGUUGGUGGCUUGGUGUCCCGGCGUGACAAACAAGAUGGAGUUCCUAGAUGGUCAUCGGAGUCGGAGCCGACCUGGAAGAACAUCCAUGAAGGAGCCAUACUAUUUCACAAUAUGUGUUAAUUUGUGAUUGUUAUGCUUCUUUGUUUCUAUGCAUGUUAUAAUGGUAGAAAGAUCCCUCACGAAUAUCAAGUAAAUUACCAUUCCCGAUGUUGCACCUUCGCAUGUCAAGUACGUCUAGUAGUGGGCUCAUAAAAUUGGGGUGCUGCUAGGUGUCCUUGAACUGAAGUGUUCCUGUCGGACACGGACAUGCACUGCAUCAGGUUAACUUGACAAGGCUAUCAAAACGGUUUUGGGCCUUGUGGCAAAGAAGGUUGGGAGCCAGGGUAUAAGAUACCUUCUCGGCCGAUAGGAGUCGUAUAGAGAUGCAAUUUGCAAGGAGUUGCUUACCGGAUAGGUAUGUUGGCUAGUAGUGAUGCUAAAGCUCACUAGUCGCAUGCGCUAGUCAGAUCCUGAAUCACCGAGAGUCUAUAGAGGGAUGCUGACUUUAGUGGGAGUAUUUCUGUUUAGGCUAGAAUUACUCUACAUAAACACAUUGCUUAGUGAUUGCAUAUUUUCUGUUGUAGAUCAAUGGCACCACCUGGUCAACCCAACUUUGCAUUGAAAACAAUUCUGGAAAAGGAUAAACUGAAUGGAACAAACUUUACCACCUGGUAUAGAAAUCUGAGAAUUGUUCUCAAGCAUGAUAAAAAGGAACAUGUUCUAGAGGAUCCACUUCUAGAGGAACCUGUCGAUAAUGCUAAUGCCACAACUAAGAAUGCCUACCAGAAACUCGUUGAUGAAUCAACGGAGAUCAGUUGUCUGAUGAUGGCUUGUAUGGAGCCCGAUUUGCAACGGCAUUUCAAAAAUGUUGAGGCUUACGAUAUGAUCGAGAGUCUCAAGAGCAUGUUUCAGACACGGGCUAGGACCAAAAGGUUCAACAUCUAGCGAUCCUUGAUGGAUUGCAAGCUGAAGGAAGGUGAUCCACUAAGCCCACAUGUGAUCAAGAUGAUCGGAUAUGUGCAAGCUUUGGAUCGGUUGGGCUUCCCGCUCUUGGAUGAGCUUGCUACAGAUGCAGUUCUGGGUUCUCUUCCGCCCAGCUAUGGGACGAUCAUCUCGAACUAUCAUAUGCAUGUCAUGGAUAAGAAGCUCACUGAAUUGCAUGCGAUGCUCAAAGUGGCAGAGCAGGAUAUUAAGAAAGGCACGCAUCAAGUGUUGAUGGUGCGGAAAUCGGAUAAGUUUAAGAAGAGUUGGUCCAAGAAGAAGGCUAAGGCAAAGGGCACGGAGAUGGUAACCUCUUCCGCUGUGCCGAAGUCUGGACCGGACUCAAAGACUGUUUGCUAUAAUUGCAAGGAGACCUAUCACUGGAAAAGGAAUUGUAGCAAGUGGCUUGCAGAUCAUGGCAAGAAGGCCGGAAAUGCUUCUUCAGGCAAAGGUACACUUGUUGCAUAUGUUAUAGACAUUUACCUUACUGACGUACCUAGUAGCUCUUGGGUAUUUUAUACCGGAUUGGUUGUUCAUAUUUGCAACUUGAUGCAGGGGCUGGUAAGAACUAGGCGGGUGGCACAAGGGGAGAUUGACAUCAGGGUCGGCAACAAAGCAAGAGUUGCUGCGUUGGAGGUCGGCAUGAUGCAGCUCCAGCUUCAUUCUGGAUUUAUUUUAGAAUUGAAUAAUUGUUAUUACAUUCCUGCACUUAGUCGAAAAAUUAUUUCUGCCUCAUGCUUGAUGACUCAGGGUUAUGAAUUCAAUUUAAAGGACAAUGGUUGUUUGAUAUUUUUAAUCGCAUGUUCCACGGCUAUGCGCCCAUUCUUGAUGGGAUAUUUAUAUUAAUCUAGAAACGGAACCGGUCUAUAACAUGAAUGUCAAGAGGCAUAAGCCUAAUGAGAUAAAUCCGACAUACUUUUGGCAUUGCCGGCUUGGACACAUUAGUCUGAAACGCAUGAAGAAACUCCAUGAUGAUGGGCUCCUGACGUUGUCCGGCUUCGGAUCGUUCGAGACAUGUGAAUCAUGCUUGCUAGGCAAGAUGACUAAGUCUCCUUUCGCAAAGAGUUGCGAGAAGGUGUCCUAGCUGUUGGAACUGAUACACAGUGAUGUGUGUGGACCAAUGAGCACAACUGCCAGAGGCGGCUAUCAGUACUUCGUGACUUUUACCGACUACUUGAGUAGAUAUGGAUAUAUAUAUUUGAUGAGGCACAUGUCGGAAACUUUUUAAAAGUUCAAAGAGUUUCAGAACAAGGUUGAGAAUCAGGUCGACAAGACUAUAAAACAUUUGCGAUCUGAUCGUGGAGGUGAGUACAUGAGCCAAGAGUUUGAUGAUCAUCUGAAAAGUCAAGGUAUAGUACCUCAGCUCACACCUCCAGGUACGCCACAGAGAAACGGCAUGUCAGAAUGGAGGAAUAGGACCUUGUUGGACAUGGUCCAGUCUAUGAUGAGUAAAUCGGAUUUACCCUUGUCAUUCUGGGGAUACGCUCUAGAAACUGCAGCUUUCACACUUAACAGGGUACCAUCAAAAUCCGUAGACAAGACACCACAUGAGAUGUGGACCGGGAAGAGUCCCAGUUUGUCUUUUCUAAAUAUUUGGGGUUGUGGAGCAUUUGUCAAGAGACUUAUGUCAGACAAGCUUACACCCAAGUCGGAUAAAUGCAUAUUCGUGGGAUAUCCGAGGGAAACCUUGGGAUAUAGCUUCUACAACCGAGAAGAGAACAAAGUGUUUGUUGCUUCAAACGGUGUUUUCCUUGAGAAAGAGUUUCUUAGUUGGGAAGCCAGUGGGAGGACAGUCUGACUCGAAGAAAUUCGAGGACCACUUGGGGACAGCUUGGCUGGUGAUGAGAUCAUACCGGAGUCAGUCAAGGAACCCGUAGUGGAAGCGGCAUCAGAACCAUAGAGGUCGGAAAGAUUGCGUAGAGUGCGUGAUGUAUUGUUGCUAGAAAGCAAUGAGCCGGCCACGUAUGCGAAAGCAAUGGUGAGCCCAGAUUCUGAGGCAUGGCUGGAGGCCAUGAGAUCCGAGUUAAAGUCCAUGGAUGAUAAUCAAGUCUGGGACUUGGUUGAUCCGCCGCCUGGCAUAACAGCCAUUGGUUGCAAAUGGGUCUUUAAGAAGAAAACCGAUAUGGAUGGAAAUGUUCAGAUCCACAAAGCUCGGCUUGUCGCUAAGGGUUAUGGACAAGUUCAAGGAAUUGACUACGAUGAGACUUACUCACCGGUUGUGAUGCUGAAGUCGGUGAGGAUCGUACUAGAUAUAGCUACAUAUUUCGAUUACGAGAGAUGGCAGAUGGAUGUGAAGACGGCUUUCCUUCAUGGAAAUUUAACCGAGGACAUGUAUAUGAUACAGCCCGAGGGUUUUGUUGAUCCGACUAGCGCUGGUAAGGUAUGCAAACUCAAGAGAUCCAUUUAUGGGUUGAGGCAAGCAUCUCGCAGCUGGAACAUUCGUUUUGAUUAGGUCGUCACUGGUCUCAGUUUCAUCAAAAGCAAAGAGGACGCUUGUUUAUACAAGAAGUUAAGUGGGAGCUCGAUAGUCUUUUUGAUCUUGUAUGUGGAUGACAUACUACUGAUCGGAAAUGAUGUUUCAAUGUUGAACUCGGUCAAGGAGUCAUUGAAUGGCAAGUUUUCAAUGAAGGACCUUGGUGAGGCAGUCUGUAUUUUAGGCAUUAAGAUCUAUAGAGGUAGAUCGAGGAGGCUGCUCGGCUUAAGCCAGAGCAUGUACAUAGAUAAAGUGUUGAAGCGGUUCAACAUGAGUGAGGCGAAGAAAGGGUUCUUGCCACUCUCACAUGGUAUAAGGCUAAGCGAGACUCAGAGUCCUUUGACAUCUGAUGAGCGAAGCAGGAUGAGUAGGAUUCUGUAUGCCUCGGCAAUCGGAUCCAUAAUGUAUGCCAUGAUAUGUACAAGGCCUGAUGUUGCUUUUGCAAUAAGCCUAACAAGAAAAUACCAGUCCAACCCAGGUGCGAGUCACUGGGCAGCGGUAAACACUAUUUUGAAGUCCCUGAAAAGGACUAAAGAGAUGUUCCUAGUUUAUGGAGGCAAGGAAGAGCUCGUCGUAAGGGGUUACGCCGAUGCUAGUUUCCAAACCGACAGAGAUGAUUGUCGAUCAUGAUCCGGAUUCGUGUAUGUCAUGAAUGGAGGGGCAGUGAGCUGGAUGAGUUCCAAGCAAGAUACGGCAGCCGAUUCUACCACAAAAGCCGAAUACAUUGUGGCUUGUGAAGCUGCAAAGGAAGGUGUUUGGAUCCGGCAUUUUCUGGAUGAUCUUGGUAUUUUCCCAGCCUCGGUAAAACUGUUGGACCUUUAUUGUGAUAAUUCUGGUGCCAUCGCACAAGCCAAGGAACCGAGGAAUCACCACAAGGUCAGACACAUAGAUCGGAAAUAUCACCUGAUACGAAAGAUCGUAAAGAAUGGUGAUGUAGACAUAUGCAAAAUUCACACGGAUGCAAAUGUUGCAGAUCCGUUGACUAAGACGCUUCCACAACCCAAGCAUGAGGGGCAUGUUAGAGCUAUGGGCAUUCGAUGUCUAUUUGAUUGACUCUAGUGCAAGUGGGAGACUGUUGGAGAUACGCCCUAGAGGCAAUCAUGUAUGAUGAUAUUUCCUAUGUGUUUAUGAAUAAAGAUAGUCCUUGGGCAUUAUCAAUGAUGUCUAUCAGCAAGUACGUGACUUGUUUGUGGGACUAUGCAUUGUAUGAUGACUGUCCUAAAUGGUCCCUAGUCGAAAGGGCUGUGUGGACGCGCAGCCGACUAGACUAGCAUAUGACACGGUCGAUGGCUUUGUCUCACUAACCAUGGAGCAUUGGAUGCUAACCGGAUAAUAUGGACUCGGAAGGAUCUGGUCGGAUUCGACAUAGUCGGAUCCGAGUCGAGAUAAGGUCCGAGUUGGACAGACCCAACUAUGAGACGCAACGAUAUGUCAUCUGUGAGUCUCUAGUACAACAUAGGUUCUAUGUCCUAAGACCUGAGCUGACACAUGUGCUCGAGAUGGUGACAGACCUGCUUUGGGCCGACCAAAUGCUACUCCGUAACUGGGUAGUUACAAAGGUAGGUUUCAGGCUUGUCCAGACCCAUGCUACGAGACGUGGUCGAGCAAGAUGGGAUUUGCCCCUCCGAUCAGGAGAGAUAUACUCUGGGGCCCUUGUGUGAUUCGACCAAGAUAAGUGAUACGUCUCCAAUGUAUCUACUUUUCCAAACACUUUUGCCCUUGUUUUGGACUCUAACUUGCAUGAUUUGAAUGAAACUAACCCGGACUCACGCUGUUUUCAGCAGAACUGUCAUGGUGUUAUUUUUGUGGAGAAACAAAAGUACUCGGAAUGACCUGAAAAUCCACGGAGAUAAGUUUUGGAAAAUAUAAAAAAUACUACCAAAAGAUGAAGGCCAAGGGGCCCACACCCUGUCCAUGAGGGUGGGGGCGCGCCCCCUCCCCCUGGACGCGCCCCCCUGUCUCGUGGGCCCCUGAUGCUCCACCGACCUCAACUCCAACUCCAUAUAUUCCGUUUCGCGGAGAAAAAAGGAGAGAGAAUGUUUCAUCGCGUUUUACAAUAUAGAGCCGCCGCCAGGCCCUAAAACCUCUCGGGAGGGCUGAUCUGGAGUCUGUUCGGGGCUCCGGAGAGGGGGAUUCGUCGUCGUCCUUAUCAUCAACCAUCCUCCAUCACCAAUUUCAUGAUGCUCACCGCCGUGUGUGAGUAAUUCCAUCGUAGGCUUGCUGGACGGUGAUGGGUUGGAUGAGAUUUACCAUGUAAUCAAGUUAGUUUUGUUUGGGUUUGAUCCCUAGUAUCCACUGUGUUCUAAGAUUGAUGUUGCUAUGACUUUGCUAUGCUUAAUGCUUAUCACUAGGGCCCGAGUGCCAUGAUUUCAGAUCUGAACCUAUUAUGUUUUCAUGAAUAUAUUUGAGUUCUUGAUCCUAUCUUGCAAGCCUAUAGUCACCUAUUAUGUGUUAUGGUCCGACAACCCCAAAGUGACAAUAAUCAGGAUGCUUCUCGGUGAUGACUAUAGUUUGAGGAGUUCAUGUAUUCACUAUGUGUUAAUGCUUUGGUCCAGUACUCUAUUAAAAGGAGGCCUUAAUAUCCCUUAGUUUCCACUAGGACCCCGCUGCCACGGGAGGGUAGGACAAAAGAUGUCAUGCAAGUUCUUUUCCAUAAGCACGUAUGACUAUAUUCAGAAUACAUGCCUACAUUACAUUGAUGAAUUGGAGCUAGUUCUGUGUCACCCUAUGUUAUAGCUAUUACAUGAGGAAUCGCAUCCGACAUAAUUAUCCAUCACUGAUCCAAUGCCUACGAGCUUUUCAUAUAUUGUGCUUUGCUUAUUUACUUUACCGUUGCUACUGUUACAAUCACUACAAUACUGCUAUCUUUACUUUUGCCACUAUUACCAUUACUAUAACACUACUUUGCUACUAAACACUUUGCUGCAGAUACUAAGUUAUCCAGGUGUGGUUGAAUAGACAACUCAACUACUAAUACUUAAGAAUAUUCUUUGGCUCCCCUUGCGUCGAAUCAAUAAAUUUGGGUUGAAUACUCUACCCUCGAAAGUUGUUGCGAUCCCCUACACUUGUGGGUUAUCAAGACUAAUUUCUGGCGCCGUUGCCGGGUAGCAUAGCUCUAUUCUUUGAGUCACUUGGGAUUUAUAUCUGCUGAUCACUGUGAAGAACUUGAAAGAUCAAAGAACUAAAUUUUAUCCCUCAACUACGAGGGGAGGUAAGGAACUGCCAUCUAGCUCUGCACUAGAUUCUCCUUCUGUUAUGAGUAAGCUUGCGACACCUAAACCUGCUACUGCUAAGAAUUCUGAUAUGUCGCAUGUUAUUGAUUAUGCCACUUCUGCUGUGCAUGAUACUUAUGAUGAAACUACUUCUAUGCUUGAUACUACUGUGCAUUAGGUGAAUUUCUUGAUGAACAAAUUGCUAGGGUUAGAGAGAAUGAAAUAAUUGAAAAUGAAAUCAUUGAUGAAAGCAAUGAUGAAGGUUCUCCCCCUAAUUAUGAAUUGCCUGUUGUUCCUGAGGGUUAUGUUAUGGAUGAAGAAACUGCUAGAGAUUUUCUUGCUUGCAAUGAUAGAUCAGAUCUUAAGAAACUACUAGCUAAGCUGAAACAAAAGACUCUGAAUGCUAGAAUGAAACAUGACCCUGCUUUCGCCACUUCACCUAUCCUUGUUACUGAUAAGGAUUAUGAAUUCUCUGUUGAUCCUGAGAUUAUUACUUUAGUUGAAUCCGAUCCUUUCUAUGGCACUGAAUCUGAAACUAUAGUGGCACAUCUUACUAAGUUAAAUGAUAUAGCCACCCUGUUUACUAAUGAUGAGAAGUCUCGCUAUUAUUAUAUCGUUAAGAUAUUUCCAUUCUCACUAAAGGGUGAUGCUAAGACAUGGUUUAAUUCGCUAGAUCCUGGUUGUGUGCGUAGUCCCCAGGAUAUAAUUUAUUACUUCUCUGCUAAAUAUUUCCCUGCUCAUAAGAAACAAGCUGCCUUGCGGGAAAUAUAUAAUUUUGUGCAAAUCGAAGAAGAGAGUCUCCCACAAGCUUGGGGGAGGCUUCUCCGAUUACUUAAUGCUUUGCCUAAUCACCCUCUUAAGAAAAAUUAAAUACUUGAUAUAUUUUAUAAUGGACUAGCUGAUGCUUCCAAGGACCACUUGGAUAGUUGUGUUUUCAGGGAAAGAACAGUCGACCAAGAUGAAUUGUUAUUGAAUAAUAUGUUGACAAAUGAAAAUAAUUGGAAUCUUCCUGAGCCAAUUCCUGAGGAAAUUCCUGAACCAAUUAAGCCAACUCCUGAGCCUAUUCCUAAACCUACUCCGAAGAAGAGAGGUGUUCUAUUUCUCAGUCCUGAAGAUAUGCAAGAGACAAAGAAAUCAAUGAAAGAAAGGUAUUAAAGCUGAAGACGUUAAGAAUUUACCUCCUGUUGAAGAGAUAUAUGGUCUUAACAUACCGCCUAUUGAAGAAACACAUCGUCUUGAUAACCAGACACAGGUAGUGAAGGUAAAUUCUCUCUAUAGAUAUGAUAAAGUUGAAAUUCCGUCUACUAAGUUUCAUUGCCAAUGCUUAGAUGAGUUUGAUGACUCUAUGGAUAGACAAGCAAGUUUCAAUGAUUAUGUUAGUAGACAGAUGAAAAAUAAUGCUUAUAUGAUUGGACGCUUGAGUGAUUAUAUGUCUAGAGUUAAGGGUGAACUUAAACUCACUAGUAAACAUGCUUCUAUAGUUACCACUCAAGCUGAACAAGUACUUAAGGCUCAAAACGAAUUGCUAGAUGAACUAAAUAAUAAACAUGACUUUGCUGUUAGAGUGGCUACUAGAACUGGUAAAAUGACUCAGGAACCUUUGUAUCCUGAAGGCCACCCUAAGAGGAUUGAACAAGAUUCUCAGAAUAAUAAUCUAGAUGCUCCUAGUUCUCUAAGAAGAGAAAGAAGGAUGAUAGGACUUUGCAGGCUUCUAGUGAACCUAUUGUUGAAACACCUGAGAAUCCUAAUGAUACUUCUAUCUCUGAUGCUGAAACACAACCCGGAGACGAACAUGAACCUGAUAAUAAUGCUAAUCGUGAUGUUCAUGUAGAUGCUCAACCUAGUAAUAACAAUAAUAUAAAAAUUGAACCUGAUGUUGAUCUUGAUAACCCACAAUCAAGAAAUCAAUGUUAUGAUAAGAGAGAUUUUGUUGCUAGGAAACAUGGUAGGGAAAGAGAACCAUGGGUUCAGAAACCCAUGCCUUUUCCUCCUAAACCAUCCAAGACAAAGGAUGAUGAGGACUUUGAGCACUUUGCUGAAAUGAUUAGACCUAUUUUCUUACGCAUGCGCUUAACUGAUAUGCUUAAAACAAACCCUUAUGCUAAAUACAUGAAAGAUAUCAUCACUAAUAAGAGGAAAAUACCUGAAGCUGAAAUUUCCACCAUGCUUGCUAACUAUACCUUUAAGGGUGGAAUACCUAAGAAACUUGGUGAUCCCAGAGUACCCACUAUACCAUGCUCCAUCAAAAUAAAUUAUAUUAAAACUGCCUUAUGUGAUUUAGGAGCCGGUGUUAGUGUUAUGCCUCUUUCCUUGUACCAUAGACUUGAAUUAAAUAAUUUGACACCUACUGAGAUAUCUUUGCAAAUGGCUGACAAAUCAACUGCUAUACCUAUCGGCAUUUGUGAGGACGUGCCUGUUAUUGUUGCGAAUGUAACUAUCUUAACAGACUUUGUCAUUCUUGAUAUUCCUGAGGACGAUAGUAUGUCGAUUAUCCUUGGUAGACUCUUUUUAAAUACUACAGGUGCUAUUAUUGAUUGCAACAAAGGCAAUGUCACCUUUCAUGUUAAUGGAAAUGAGCACACAGUACAUUUUCCGAGGAAACAACCUCAAGUUCAUAGCAUAAAUUCUAUUGGGAAAAUUCCAUCAAUUAUAUUUGGAGGUUUUGAAUUUCCUCUUCCUACUGCAAAGAAAAAGUAUGAUAUUCUUAUUAUUGGGGAUUUUCAUAUCCCCGUUGAGGUAACCUAGUGUCACUUUGAAAUUUCUCCGAUUUUACGUGAUUCGAAAUGAGUUUGUUAACUAGACUUGAUCAACCUUGUUAGUGGAUUCCUUUUGAUGAUCAUGAGAUGGAUGAAACUAGAAGGCACAACCUUCUGUACCCUCUCUUUACUUUAUGUUACUUGGAAUAAAUAAAGCAAAAUUAGUUUUAUCUGACUAUUUUCUGAAUUGUCCAUGCAAUAAAAAAUAUCCCAAAAAUAAAAGUGCUCCAAAUGCCCUGCAAAUUUAGUAUGAUUUUUUAUGGAAUAUUUGAGGAUUUUAGGCACUGAGAAUACUGCAGGGGGUCAAGCACCUGGCCACGAGGGUGGAGGGCGCGCCCCCUAUCUCGCGGGCCCAUGGUAGACCCCCUCCACUUAUUUCUGCAUCCACACACUCCAUCUUCCUACCAAAAAAAUCCCCAUCCAGCUCAAGCACAAGUUCUAGCUCAUUUUGCUGUGAUUUUCAAUCUCCUUGCUCAAAGCUCCAUUCGCAAAACUGCUUUGGGAGAUUGUUGCUUGGUAUGUGACUCCUCCAUUGGUCCAAUUAGUUUUUGUUCUAGUGCUUUAUUCAUUGCAAAUUCUUGCUGCCUUGGUGACCCUAUUCUUGAGCUUGCAUGUUAAAUUUAUGAGGUCCCAAGUAAUUCUAAUGCAUGAUAUAGGCUCUAGGCACUUGUAGGAGUAGUUGCUAUCAAUCUUGUUCGGUUUGAUUUACUUUUAUUUUGAAGUUACUAAAAAUUUCAGAAUUUUCAGAAAAAGAUGAAGAGGUGGCUCUUGAGGGGCUCUUCUAGCCAAGCCUCCAAGGAUAAGCAAGUUAAGGAGAAACAAAAGGCCAAGUAUAAUCUUCCUCGCAUAGCGGAAGUAAGGCCUUGUGAGUGGCCAUGUGAUAAUUUCUUGAGAGCAGCUGGAAUUUAUGAAGACUUUUAUUCUUUGGCUGAAAAUGUUGGCCUCAUCGACUUUCUCCACGACUGGAUCGAACAGUAUCUCUUACUUACCAAUACUUUCAUGUAAAACUUUUAUUAUCAUCCUAAGAAUUCACCUCCUUCAGUAUCUUUUCAUUUAUAUGAUGAAGCUAAGGAAAUGUCAUUACGUAAUUUUUGUGAUGUUUGUAGAAUACCCUUUGAGGGUAGCUUAGAUGAACCACAUCGUAAAGAUGUGGAGGGUUUCAUUGAUACUAUUACUGUAGGGGAACCGAAGAAGGGUUCCGAUGCAAGAAGCACUAGCAUACACUUUCCUGUUUUACGCUACUUUGCCAUAUUUGCUAGUCGAUGAUUAAUUGGUCGUGGAAAUAGUGGAAACUUCAAUGUUCCUGAUAUUGUUAUUCUGCUCCAUGCCUUAUUUGGUGAUAACACUUUUAGUAUGGGUGUCGUUAUUGCUAAAUGGUUAAGUCUAAACCGUACAAAGGGCCCCAUCUUUGGAGGCAUCUAUGCUGCACGCCUUGCUAAAUACUUCGAGAUGCCUAUCAGACAUGAUGAGGAAGAGGAGACAUCUUUGCCCCUUACCUUUUUAGAUUACAGGAGCAUGGUAGGACAUGAGUUUAUUGUUUGCAAUGAUGAUAAGAUGCUCCUGUAUAACCUGAGAUUUAAUAAGAAACACAAUGAGAUUAUUACCCUGCCUGCACCUUCUUUGUUUGAUUUAACUGCAGGUCAUUACCUUAUCUCGCCGGAAGCAGUGUACGCGUACUGAGGCCACACAUCAACUCCAGAACCUGAGCCGGAACCACCACUGGACCCAUAUCGUCGAUCAUCUUAUCAGUGGGAUCCGGAGGAGAUCUCCAACCGGUGGCAGUACGAUGACACUCCUCAAUACACCGGGGAGAGUAGCCGCUACCCAUGGGCAUAGACCAACUUAGGCCAAAAGCCUAAGCUUGGGGGAGUACCUAUUUCUCAUCGACUUUACAUUCAUGUUCACACACUAUUCUAGUUGUCGGUGCUCAUACUAUUUCAUUGUAUUAUCCAUGCUAGUUAAUCCUUUUUUCUAGCUUUCUUCUUGUGUGUUUGAUAAACUUUAAGAAAAACCAAAAAAAUUAGUUAGUUUAAUUUCCAUGCCUGUAGUAAUAAUUAAAAGAAAACCCCAAAAGAUUUCUCGUUCUUAUUUUACUUGUUGGGAGCUUUCCCGUGUAAAUAGUUUUGUUUUCUUUUGGGGCUUGAGAGUAGAAGACCAUAUUGAAAAUGUUUAGCGGCUCUCUUAUGCAUGAUUGUUGAUUUAAUUUAGAGCCAUAUUACUUUGUCUUCUCUCUUGAUUUGAAUGCUUGCAGAUUCCAGCUUAGUCCUUGUCGGUGUCAAAACCGGCGGAUCUCGGGUAGGGGGUCCCGAACUGUGCGUCUAGGUGGAUGGUAACAGGAGACAAGGGACACGAUGUUUUACCCAAGUUCAGGCCCUCUUGAUGGAGGUAAAACCCUACGUCCUGCUUGAUUGAUAUUGAUGAUGUGGGUAUUACAAGAGUAGAUCUACCACGAGAUCAAGGAGGCUAAACCCUAGAAGCUAGCCUAUAGUAUGAUUGUUGUUCGUCCUAUGGACUAAAUCCAUCCGGUUUAUAUAGACACCGGAGAGGGCUAGGGUUACACAGAGUCGGUUACAAUGGUAGGAGAUCUACAUAUCCGUAUUGCCAAACUUGCCUUCCACGCCAAGGAAAGUCCCAUCCGGACACGGGACGAAGUCUUCAAUCUUGUAUCUUUAUAGUCUUGGAGUCCGGCUGAUGAUGAUAGUUCGGCUAUCCGGACACCCCCUAGUCCAGGACUCCCUCAGUCCUACUCAUGCUUGAUCUUACUCAUGCUUGCACUCGGUGUUGAUUAAUUUUAAUGCAUGUUCAUGACUGUUGUCGCUCUCUCAGUUGGUCGCUUCCCAGUCUUUUGCUAGCCUUCACCUGUACUAAGCAGGAAUACUGCUUGUGCAUCCAAACUCCAUGAACCCCAAAGUUAUUCCAUAUGAGUCCACUAUACCUUCCUAUAUGCGGUAUUUACCUGCCGUUCCAAGUAAAUUUGUAUGUGCCAAACUCCAAACUUUCAAAUGAAAUUAUGUUUUGUAUGCUCAAGCAGCUCAUGUUUCAACUAGGGAUGUCUGUAUCUUCCAUGCUAGGUGGGUUAUUCUCAAGAGGAGUGGACUCCGCUCCUCAUUCACGAGAAAAUGGCUAGUAACCGGGAUGCCGAGUCCCAUGAUCAAAAAGAUCAAAGCAAAUCAAAAUAAUUAAAACAAAACUCCCCCUGGAAUGUUGUUAGUUGGAGGCACUCGUUGUUUCGAGCAAGGCAUGGAUUGAUGUUUGUUGGUGGUCGGGAGUAUAAACUUUACCAUUCUGUUUGGGAACCGCCUAUAAUGCAUGUAGUAUGGAAGAUAUCGCCAUCUCAUAGUUGUUGCGUUGACAGUGAAAGUAUGCCGCUCAAAAUGUUAUUUAUCUCUCUAUUUUAAAAUCGAGCUCUGGCACCUCUACAAAUCCCUGCUUCCCUCUGCAAAGGGCCUAUCUAUUUACUUUUAUGUUGAGUCAUCACCCUCUUAUUAAAAAGCACCCGCUAGAGAGCGCACUGUCAUUUGUAUGCAUUGCUAUUAGUUUAUAUCGGGUAUGACUUGACUGGAUCUCUUUUACCAUGAAUUACAAUGUUUAGUCAGUCCUUGGUCUUUAAAGGUGCUCUGCAUUUAUGUUUUGCGGUCUCAGAAAGGGCUAGCGAGAUACCACCUUGUUAUAUCAUAUUAUGGUUGUUUUGAGAAAGUGUUGUCAUCCGAGUUUUAUUGUUAUUGCUCGCUAGCUGAUUGUGUUAUUGAUAUGAGUAAACAUGAGACCUGAGUGUUAUUGUGAAUGUGGUUAGUUCAUAAUUUUUGCUGACACCUUGAAUACUGGCUUUACAUAUUUACAACAACAAGAGCAAACAGAGUUUGUAAAAGUUUGUCAUUAUCACUUUCAGUUUAUCAACUGAAUUGCUUGAGCACAAGCAAAGGUUUAAGCUUGGGGGAGUUGAUACAUCUCCAACGUAUCUACUUUUCCAAACACUUUUGCCCUUGUUUUGGACUCUAACUUGCAUGAUUUGAAUGAAACUAACCCGGACUCACGCUGUUUUCAGCAGAACUGCCAUGGUGUUAUUUUUGUGCAGAAACAAAAGUUCUCAGAAUGACCUGAAAAUCCACGGAGAUAAGUUUUGGAAAAUAUAAAAAAUACUGGCAAAAGAUGAAGGCCAGGGGGCCCACACCCUGUCCACGAGGGUGGGGGGUGCGCCACCUCCCCCUAGGGGCGCCCCCUGUCUCGUGGGCCCCCUGAUGCUCCACCGACCUCAACUCCAACUCCAUAUAUUCCGUUUCACGGAGAAAAAAAUUAGAGAGAAAGUUUCAUCGCGUUUUACGAUACGGAGACGCCGCCAAGCCCUAAAACCUAUCAGGAGGGCUGAUCUGGAGUCCGUUCGGGGCUCCGGAGAGGGGGAUUCUUCACCGUCGUCAUCAUCAACCAUCCUCCAUCACCAAUUUCAUGAUUCUCACCGCCGUGUGUGAGUAAUUCCAUCAUAGGCUUGCUGGACGAUGAUGGGUUGGAUGAGAUUUACCAUGUAAUCAAGUUAGUUUUGUUAGGGUUUGAUCCCUAGUAUCCAUUAUGUUCUCAGAUUGAUGUUGCUAUGACUUUGCUAUGCUGAAUGCUUGUAGCUAGGGCCCGAGUGCCAUGAUUUCAUAUCUGAACCUAUUAUGUUUUCAUGAAUAUAUGUGAGUUCUUGAUCCUAUCUUGCAAGUCUAUAGUCACCUAUUAUGUGUUAUGAUCCGACAACCCCGAAGUGACAAUAAUCAGGAUACUUCUCGGUGAUGACCGUAGUUUGAGGAGUUCAUGUAUUCACUAUGUGUUAAUGCUUUGGCCUGGUACUCUAUUAAAAGGAGGCCUUAAUAUCCCUUAGUUUCCACUAGGACCUCGCUGCCACGGGACGGUAGGACAAAAGAUGUCAUGCAAGUUCUUUUCCAUAAGCACGUAUGACUAUAUUCGGAAUACAUGCCUACAUUACAUUGAUGAAUUGGAGCUAGUUCUGUGUCACCCUAUGUUAUAGUUAUUACAUGAGGACUCGCAUCCGACAUAAUUAUCCAUCACUGAUCCAAUGGCUACGAGCUUUUCAUAUAUUGUGCUUUGCUUAUUUACUUUACCAUUGUACUAUUACAAUCACUACAAUACUGAUAUCUUUACUUUUGCCACUGUUACCAUUACUAUGACACUACUUUGCUACUAAAUACUUUGUUGCAGAUACUAAGUUAUCCAGGUGUGGUUGAAUUGACAACUCAACUGCUAAUACUUAAGAAUAUUCUUUGGCUCCCCUUGUGUCGAAUCAAUAAAUUUGGGUUGAAUACUCUACCCUCGAAAGUUGUUGCGAUCCCCUACACUUGUGGGUUAUCAAUAAGCAUGGCCAUGCAACAAGGAUUAUGAGAUUAUCCGGAUAGUGGUCGGAAUCACUGGAACGAGAAAUAGGUCGGGCUAGCACAAGGAUGACAAUCUCGCCUUGAGCCCGACAACAUAUAUCGUGUGGCAAAGGAAACAGAAGUGUGACAUGUUGUACAGGUUCGCCUAACCAGAUUCAUAAUCUGCUUGGUGUUCGGCAUGCCUUGCCAGAGGCUGCUACCAACCAUGUAGUUCGGGGGUGAUCCGAACUGCGACCAAGCAGACUUGAACCUAAGGGGUCGCGCGCUUAAGGGAAGGAACCUAUGAGGUCGGAUCUGAGGACACUGGUCGGAUGUGAUCCGAGUUGUAUUCAGAUUGUGACCGAGUAGACUUGUGGGCUUUAGGGUCCGUGCGAGGCCCAAGUGUUGAGCCCACGAUGGACGCCUAUAUAAAGUGGAGGUGCGACACACUCAUGGGUUGAUCGCUUCGGCGUUAUCACUAGGGUUUGCAUGUGUUGCGAAUAGCCCUCCACUGGCCGCCGGUUGUGUGAUCGGACCUAGCAGUCCGCCGCACGAUGUUCCUCCUGCACACGCGGAUACCGUUAGAGGUGGUGCACUUGCGCCGCUCCGGCGAACCUGUUCGCAGGAUCUGAUCGGCUACGUGGGAGACCGGCAAGGAGGAGACGACUCUGGGAACGCGAGGCGACUCCGGGAACGCGCUGCCUCAACUCUACUUCCGCUCCACGGCACUGCGCGUCUAGUGGUAAUGAUCUGUGGUCCAUCUCCCAUAGCAUGUUCCUGGUUGUUCUGCGCGUAGCAAAAUUUUAAUUUGCAGUCGACGCACCCUACCGUAGAACCCAACAACAACUUCACACAUUCGAUCCCAUGGCUGCUCUGACUGCGUUGUCGUCAUCGCUCUUCACUGCAUAUCAGACUCCAGACGAUCCACCGAGUGCUGCCAGAGAGGCUCUUCUCCAGGUGAACCUCGUGAUGGAGCAGAUGAAGGUGGUGCAUGAGGCCAGUCAGGUUGCCUACAACGCCACUACUGCUCUACAAGCGAACGUCAAGGUUAGUUGGUUUCCGACUGAUCUCUUGAGUAGUGAUAGUUGCAACUAUCGCUUCACUGCCCAUACGAUGUCCUUAGAUGAGCGUUUUGGAACCUAAUAUGUGCAUCUAUGAGUCUGCAUUUCUCAUCCAACCACCCACUGGGAUGUUUCUGUAGUCAAACUGAAUAGCCUUUCCACUUGAGUUGACUAGGUUGAGUCGAGUGUUUUUCUGAACUAGUGGGGGCAUGCAUAGUGCACCCACUGGGUGUAGUCCCCGAGACCGCGGUCGACUGCUGGUAGUGGGCUGGGGGGUCUUAGAAUCACUCCUUUUUUAUUCAUGUUGGGUAGACCAUGCCGAGUGUAAGAACCGGACCAGUGGGGGCACGCCAAGUGCACCCACUGGGUGUAGUCCUCGAGACUACUGUUGAAUGUUUGAUUCACCGGUAGCCUUAGAGCAACUUUUACUGAGACUGACUUUUGUUCCUGUCGACUUACAUAUCCCUUUUGUUGACUGUAGAAUUCUUGUGAUCUUGGGGCUCAACUUUCUGAGCUGGAUAAGAAGCAGAUCAGCAUCAACCUUGAUCUGGAAUUGGCUAAGAAGAACCUCAAAAAGGCCCAGGACGAAACAACUAUCAUGGGAGGUAACCACUCGUCAACCUUUCACCUUAUGAUUUUCCCUUUCUUUUUUCCAGUCUCUUUGAACCGAGAGAUUUCACUCGAACAGAUGUGCGUAGUGAAAACCAUCAACUUCAGGCUCGUCUAAAGAAUGUUAUUUCUUUAGAGAAAAUGAAGCAGGCUCUGGAGCAGAAGGAUCUGGAUCUUGCUGCAGCCCAGAUGGAGGCGCGAGAGAAAACAGCACUUGCGGACAAGAAGUUGGCUUCAGUCUGCAAGUUGGAAGAGGAGAUUGUGCAACUGAAGAAAGACAAGGAGAGCUUGACUGAUGAAGUGGGGAGCCUCAAAGCCAAGAAGGGCGAGCUGGAGUCUUAUCUGGGGCAGCUUGUUGCGAAGUUGGUCUUAAAACUUGAAGGUAUUUCCUCUUGUUUGACUGAUUUGUGACGUCGACUGACAUGCCUUGUUAAACUGUCGAUUCGCUAUUUUUUCGACUGCGCAGAACUUUGCCAAGACUUCGAAGCAGAAACUGAGCGGGUCCAGACAGGUCUCGAUCCCAUAAAUUGUCUUGUCAAAUAUGACAUUGCGAUGAAUGUGUUGCGGUUGGAGUCUCGCCUGGACAGCACCGUGGACUACCUUGCUCGACUGAAGGCCGCGAUGAUGCGGGUUGAUGCUGAACUCUGGCCUCAGGCGGAACUCUCGCAGGAUCUCGAGUCUCUGAUGGCUCGACUGAACCAAAUCCCUGGUCGAGUGCAGGAAUGGAAGAAGUCAUCUACUCGCUGUGGUGCUGACGUUGCUCUGUCGUUGGUCCGAGUGCACUGCAAGGACGUCAAAGAAGACAAGCUGGCGGCCCUCAAGGUUGCCAACACAAAAAAGCUCAUUUUCCAGUCUUUCAUGGACACCUUCCUUGAUGCCGCUACUCGCAUCACAGACAGCAUAGACCUUGACAGUUUCUGUGAUCCAACGAGUCCUUCUUCGGCCGAGUGAGCCAAACAUUAUGCCCCACCUUUUAUUUGCCUCGGGAUGCCGAGUGGUUAUGUAACCGUUAAACUCUUUCGGGCUUGAUGCCUGUGCACUUCUGCCCGUCGUGGUUCUGAACUUUUGCAAGAUUUAUCCGAAAUUUGUUUUCCUUGAAUAUCAUGGCUCUUGCUUUUGUUGCUUCCGAAUGUUUUUCGAUUCUGAACGAAUUUGUCCUUUUCACUCAACGACGAGUGGCUCUAACGAUGUGUUUAGUUGACACAUCGUCAUCCUUGCGGAUCGAGAUGGAGCACACAUUGUACUUGUGAUGCAGCUCAUACAUGGUGUUCAGUCGACACCUCGUCGUCCUUGCGGAUCGGGAUGGAGCGCACAUUUUAUCUAUGGUGUAGCUUAGACACGGUGUCCACUCGACACCUCGUCGUCCUUGCGGAUUAGGGUGGAGCGUAUGUUGUAUUUGUGGCAUAGCUCAGACGCGGUGUUCAGUCGACACCUCGUCGUCCUUGCAGAUUGGGAUGGAGCGUACGUUGUAUUUGUGACUUAGACGAUUACGGGGUCGCAACUAAGCCCCCGAGUGGGAGGAUUGCUCUCCACUCGGAACGUUUUUAACUUAGGCAAUUACGGGGUCGCAGCUAAGACCCCUAGUGGGAGGAUUGCUCUCCACUCGGAAUGUUUUUAACUUAGGCGAUUAUGGGGUCGCAGCUAAGCCCCCGAGUGAGAGGAUUGCUCUCCACUCAGAAAGUUUUUAUCUUAGGAGAUUACGGGGUCGCAGCUAAGCCCCCGAGUGGGAGGAUUGCUCUCCACUCGGAAAGUUUAUAACUUAGGCGAUUACGGGGUCGCAGCUAAGCCCCCGAGUGGGAGGAUUGCUCUCCACUCAGAAUGUUUUUCACUUAGGCGAUUACGGGGUCGCAGCUAAGCCCCCGAGUGAGAGGAUUGCUCUCCACUCGGAAUGUUUUUAACUUAGGCGAUUACAGGGUCGCAACUAAGCUCCGAGUGGGAAGAUUGCUCUCCACUCAGAAUGUUUUUAACUUAGGCAAAUCAGAUUCGCGACUAAGCCACCCACUGGGGGAUUUGGACACGGAUGAUUAUGGGGAACCGAUCAUUAAGAUACUCUAAAAAUCAUGUCUUUGGAAAGCAAACUGAGAUACUCUUAUUACAACUCGUCGAGUCGAGUGAUCUAUGUGUAGAAGUGGUGGAGUAGCUCUGCAUUCCACACACAUGGCUCGUCCAUCUUCUUGGCUAGGUUGUAGAUGUGGUAAGCUCUGUUGUGAAGCACUUUGGUGAUGAUGAAGGGACCUUCCCAGGCCGGAGCAAGCUUGUGAGGCCGUUUCUGAUCCACUCGAGCACCAGGUCUCCUUCCUGGAACGCUCGACCUCUGACAUUUUGGGCAUGGAAUCGACACAAAUCUUGCUAAUAGACGGUCGAUUGAAUCAAGGCCAUCUCAUGUUCCUCUUCUAGGAGAUCAACGGCGUCUUCACGUGCUUGUACUACUUCGGCUUCUGAGAAUAGUUCCACUCGGGGAGCAUUGUGCAAUAAGUCACUCGAAAGUACAGCCUCGGCGCCGUACACCAAGAAGAAUGGGGUUCGGCCAGUCGACCGAUUCAGUGUUGUUCUCAGCCCCCACAAGACAGAUGGUAACUUAGUCACCCAGGCUCCAGCAGCGUGCUUGAGGUCGCAAAUUAGUCGGGGCGUUAACCCUUGGAGGAUCAAACCAUUCUCCCUUUCUGCUUGUCAUUCGACUGCGGGUGUGCGACGGACGCAUAGUUCACCCGAGUGCCUUGGGACGCACAGAACGCCUUGAACUCAUUGGAAUCAAAGUUGGAGCCGUUAUCUAUGAUAAUGAUGUGGGGAACUCCAUAUCUGAAUAUCAACUCCUUGAUGAAACUGACGGCAGUGCCUGCGCCAAGGUUCUUGAUGGGCUUAGCUUCGAUCCACUUGGUGAACUUGUCGACUGCUACAAGCAAAUGGGUGAAACCUCUCGUGCCAGUCUUGAAGGGGCCAACCAUAUCCAAUCCCCAGACUACAAACAGCCACACGAGUGGAAUAGUCUUCAAGGCAGACUCGGGUUUGUGGGACAUGUUGGAGUAGAACUGGCAGCCUGCACACUUGUCGACUAUAUCUUUUGCCAUCUCGUUUACUCGAGGCCAGUAGAAUCCUGCUCGGUAUGCUUUGGCCACGAUGGUUCGAGAGGACGCAUGGUGACCACAGGUCCCCGAGUGGAUAUCGUUUAGGAUCAUUCGACCUUCUUCUGGGGUGAUGCAGCGCUUAGCCACUCCUGUGACACCUUUUCUGUAAAGUUGUCCUUUUAUUACAGUGAAGGCUUUGGAUCGACGGACUAUCUAGCGGGCUUCAUCCUCAUCCUCCAAGAGUUCCUUCCUGAGAAUGUACGCAAUGUACGGUACUGUCCAGUUGAAAGUGCUAGUUAUCGACUAGAGGGGGGGUGAAUAUGCGAUUUUUAUGAAAGUCUUCAAAACAUGAGAGUUUAGAAGACAAACACGAAAACUAUACCUAUAAACAUGCAGCGGAAGAUGAACUACACUAGACAUAUCAUGGUCAAACAAGUAUGAAGCUAAAGCAUGAUGACUGAUAGCAGCUAGGUAGUAGGAUCAGGAUGGAAGAUAGUAUGAAGCCAAUCAGAACAAGUAGUCACACAGUGAAGUCAAACAGGCAGAGCAAUCAGGCAAUGACUUCACAAAGACAAACUGUAAGUAAGGAGAGUAAGAGAUAGAACCAGUGUGUUGUGAAGACAAGGAUUUGUUCGACCAGUUCCAGUUGUUGUGAAAACUGUACGUCUGGUUAGGGAGGCUGAGAUUCAACUUAGAAGACCGCGUCUUCACCUUAUUCCCCUUGAGCUAAGGACACACAGUCCUCACCCAAUCACUCUGGUAAGUCUUCAAGGUAGACUUCCAAACCUUCAUAGACUUCGUUCACUGGCAAUCCACAAUGACUCUUGGAUGCUCAGAACGCGACGCCUAACUGGCUGGAGGAUUCACAGUCCUCAAGUGUAACAAGUCUUCAGAUCGCGCGGAUAGAAAGACUUCAGUGAUGCCAAACACUCUCUGGGCUCUGGGUGGUUUGGGCUUUGUCCUCGCAAGGAUUCUCUCUCUCAAAGGCUUCGGAGGUGGGUUGCUCUCAAAUGACAAAAGCUGUAUCUAACUCUGAGCAACCACCAAUUUAUGGUGUAGGGGUUGGGCUAUUUAUAGCCACUGGGUAACCCGACCUGAUUUGUCCGAAAUGACCCUGGGUCACUAAGAAACUGACACGGGUCACAACGGUCAGAUUUCAAACACACGUGACAGCUUGACUUGGGCUACAAGUAAAGCUGACUUAUCCGACUCUGGAUAAGAUUUGCUCUCAUUGUCUUCGCUCGAAGACAUAGGAUUUUGGUUGAGCAUCACUUCAGUCACUCUGACUUUGUUCACUUGGACCCCACUUAACAAUGCGGUGGUUCCUACGACUCAACAAAGAAGAAAAGAAACAACGAAACUAUUAAGUCUUCGCACUCCAUAGUCUUCACUCAAUGUCUUCUCCUGUCAUAGUCUUCAGUGUGAAUGUCUUCACGUACCACCAUUAUCUUCAAUGUCUUCAUACAUUUUUAGGGGUCAUCUCCGGUAGGUAAACCGAAUCAAGGAGGGACUACUACCUGUGUUAUCCUGCAAUUCUCACAAACACAUUAGUCCCUCAACCACGUUUCUUGUCAAUACUCCAAAACCAAACUAGGGGUGGCACUAGAUGCUCGUACAAUCUCCCCCUUUUUGGUGAUUGAUGACAAACUAGUUGAAGUUUUCAACGGGGAUAUAAAUAUGUGAAAUUGUAAAGGAUGUUGUAUUGUCUUCGUAAGUAGCAAAAGGCUCCCCCUGAAGAUGUGCAUAUAAAUAAUUUUCUUUUGGAAUGCAAAUGCACAUGGCAGGUUCUACUUGUGGAGAUCCUCUUCAACUUAUGAAGAUAAAUCAUCAUGCAUGAUUCGAUGUAACAAAGAUAAUGACAUGCAUAAUGAAAAAUGGACGUCUGCAAAAUGAUUUAAGUGCGGAAGUUAUCAUCGCAUCACAAAAUAGCAAAUAAGUAACAGACGACCAUCGAGUUUAAGUGUUACAACUCAGAGAACCAAAUGUAUCAAGAUCAAGAGUUGUAAACACUAGGCAAAAUAUAAUACAACCGCCCAUAUGAACCCGCUUGAAGACUAUCAACUCAUAGCUUCUCCCCCUUUUGUCAGUAAGGACCAAAAAGGGUUGAAGACAGUGAGCCUCUACUUGUUCCCAGAAGGAGUAGGAGAAGAUGCAGGGUUGGUGUCGAGGUUUGGCGGUGCAGACAAACUUGGAGCAGUGUCGAUACGCGUUGGAGGUGGCGAAGUAGCAUCAUCUUGAUCAUCGAUCACACGAGCAUUCACGGUUGCAGCAGAAGAGGAGUACUCUGAGUCUUAAAGAGAUGGAGUGCACCGUAGAACAGCAUUUCUGGGCGGAGUGGAAUCAAACUUGAAUCGUUCUGAGAAGCCAUCUUCCUGAAGAUCUUCCUCAGCACACAUAAGUGUUAGCCCUUUCCAUAUGCGUCGACAGGUUUCAUGCGCGACAAAGGCAUUCUUGGUUGCAAGGUUGCGAAUGCGAUUGACGUCAGUCAUGAUGCUCUGCAUCUAGUGCUUGAGCCAAUCAUGAUGCCUAUCCUGCUUUUGAUGCAGGCCAACGAGAAGCUCUCGGUCAUUGAGAACACGAGAUCGCUUUCGAGGCCGUUGAGCAAUUGUGCUGUCAGUGGCUUCGGUUUGGGCACGGUGAGGUGCACGUGUAGUACCAGCCAACGGAUAGACUCGAGUGGCAGCCAGCACACCUUCAAUGGGCUGAGUGAAGCUCUGACGAUCAACAUUAUGAAGAUACAGUGGCUCCUUGUCAGGCUCUGGAUAGAUGGCUUCAACAGACAUAUCGACAUCUGGCAAGAAAACAAUGUGGUUGCAUGCAGAUGGCUGAUAGUUGAAAGCAGUGUGAAGCUUGACCAGACGCAUGAUCCAUGGAGCAUAGAACUUCAAGCCAAAAAAUGUCAGAUCCUGAUGCAGCAAGUUGGCGGAUGAAUAAAUCUUGUGCAUUGAAGCAUUUGCCAUGAAGAAUAUGGAAGACCAAUGUCUUCAUUGCACCUUCUAGCUUAGCCUUUGGAGAAUGUCCUUUGAUGGGCCAGAGAGUUCGCCGUAUGAUGUGAUAGAUUGUGCGUGGCAGAUACUCAAGGUCUUCAACAAAGAACUUCAUAGGAUAUUCUGCAUCUGGAGGCAAUGGCUUCAUCAUACUGAGCAUCUAGCGGGUUCUGGCUUGUGAAAGAUGCUUUCCAUAACAGCAGUGUGAAGCUGACAACCAGGUUCAUAGAGAUCACCUAGAGUGGGUAGGCCUGUAAGCUCAAUGACAUCAAAUGCUUUGGCUUCAUGAUGGACAUUUCCUGUCAUCCACUCAAGGACCCAAGUCUUAGGAUCCCUGUUGUAGCCUCUGAUAUGAAGAGUGGCGUAGAAUUGAAGCAGCAACUCUUCAUUCCAGUGCUCCUUAUUAGUGACGAAAUGCAGUAAGCCAGCCUCUCUGAAGCAAUCUAGAGCUUCUUCUAAGCAGGGCAGGCCAGCUAUGGCUUCAGUAUCAAGGUGCACGUGCGGAAAUAUGCGGCCUUGGUUGUACAAAAUGCAUGAAUAAUAGCUGCGCUGCUGAUAACUCCAGAAUCGAUCAGAUGAAAUCUUGGGCCUGGUGUAGGGGUUCUUAUCGCUAUCGAAGAAGGUGUUGUGUGCAAUGAAGCCGUUGACAUUGAAAGAUCCUGGUGAAGUGGCAGUACCUGGAAAUCUGGGCAGUCUUGGCUUUGGCUUCUGAACCUGAGGCCUGUGCUCGACAUGGUAAUCAAAUUGAGGACUAGCAGCAGGUGGAGGAAUCAGGAUAGGUCGUCUGACAGUGACAAGUUGGCCAUAGUUGUAUGCUUGCUCGAUGGUAUGUGGCCUUGGAGGCGGAACAUGAGCAGUGUCAUUGACUUCAGGCUGCAGAUUUGUGUCAGGUGCGGCAUGGAAUUCAGUUGCUUCAUGGGCUUCAUUGCCUUCAUUGGCCACCGGUGCAUUGCCCACUGUAGGCUCCACAUUGGCUUCGGCCAUGACAACGUCAUUGGCUUCAGGAAUGUCAUUUGUGGCAGCCUCAGGAUUCUCACCCUCCACUUGAAUAGCUGGAGGUUCUAGCAUAAACUGGUUCUCUUCAUUAACUUCUUCUUGAGUUGCAGGGGGAGUAGCGACAGGCUCUUCUUCUUGUGUUGCUCCAGCUGAUGCAGCCGGAGGGUCUUCAGUAGCAUUGGCUUUAGACAUAGGGACCGUCACAGAAGGAUUGUCUUCAGAGAACACUUGACGUGCCACUGAACUUGACAAGUUGGAGCCCUCUUCUGUGAUGGUGGUCAUGGAGACAGAUGGCCUCAGGCCUUUGCGAAUCCGUUGGAAUACGGGCGACACCUUUGGUGACGGUGAUGUCUCCAUGUAGUUGUCAUCAUUGGACAUGGGGCUGAUGAUGGACACAGAUGACUGUUGGGGUGUACUUGGUGAGUCUUGAUGUGGGGUAAUUUGCUGGGGGCGAUCAGCCCACGAUGCAUCUUGUGAGAUUGGCGUCAAAGGACGACCAAUACUAAUAAGAUCAUUGUUCAUUUGAACAGGCGAUGAUACCGAUGGGCGCUCGAUUUGAGGAAGAACUGUAUCAUCUUGAACAAUGUCUUCAGUCGCGAUGGGGUCGACGACUGGAACUUCUUGAGCUUCAGGAGCCUCUGUGGAAGCAGGCUCAUGAACAAUCAUUCGACGCUCUUGGUUUGCAGACAGAGGGGGAAUAAAUGCAAGGGGUUCAACAACAAGGGGCUCUAUAGGAGCAGCCCGAUCUCUCUUCUUGGUUUUUCUCUUCUUAGGGGGUGGUGCUUCGUCAGUGGUGCGCUUGGUUUUCCGCUUCCUUGCUUCGGCUUCAGCUGCCUUGGUUUUCUUCUGUUCAAAAGCCACUGAAGGAGCCUUGGGCUUCGAGCCGUGCAUGCUGGCAGGGAAGACAAUGUGUGGUUCUUCCUGCCGUGGUGCUUUAGUGUUGGCUUCAGAUGACUUCUUUUUCUUGGCAGCCAUUGAGGGGUCAAUGCCAGGGCGGCCAAGUGCUUUGCACUUUUCAGCUUCAUUGUAGGCUUGAACGCAUUUGUCUGCGGGUGCUUUCAUGCGCUCUCUUGAGCCUUUGGCUUCCUCGCGUUUCUUCUGAAACGACUCCUUGAGGUCAUUAAGCAUCACCUUGAACUUUUGCACAUCAGCCACAUUCAGUUUGGCUACAUGCUUCUUGAACUGUUCCUUCUCAAAGUCUAUCUUUCGCUUCAGUUCAACUAUGCGCUGAGCCAGAGCAAGCUCAGAAGCAAUGGCGCCUUGGAAAGCAACGCUGACGCCAAUGGGGAGCUGAAGGUCAUCAAAGCUGAGAUCUUGAUUAUAAAACCACUCAUCAAUGAAGUUCCUCAGAAUGUUUACAUCAAAGAGGGGCAUAUCAUUGAAGAUCUCCGCCUCUUGCUUGCUCUUGAUCAGCUUCUCCAGAGCAUCUUCACAAAUUCUUCAUCUGAAGACAAGUCAAUGGGUUCAGAUUCAUUCCUCAGAAUGGAUGCAGGCGUUAGUGCAUGACUCAGUUGCUGAGCUGGUGUCUUCUGUGGCUCCUCACGUCUCAUGGAGAUGCGAGAGAGAUCUUCAGAGUUAUUGCUGGGAGCAGAAGGGGCAGUUACCAAUGGCUUCGCUCUCAAAGCCUUUGGAGCAGCAGAUGGUUUUGAAGCUUUAGUCUUCUUUUGCUUCUGAGGCUUUGGAGGAGGAGCUGGAGCAUCGUCGGUGUCAGAAUCUUCAUCAAAAGGAUCCACUUUGGCACCUUGAACAGUAAUGUGAGUGAUGAGGCCAGCAAGGUUGUAGAAGGGGCCAAUCCUGUUUUCAUUGGCUUCACGGGUGCCAUUGUCCCGAGGUGAGGAGGGACCAGGGUUGAAGUCAAGCCCCAGAUCCUUCUUGUUCCUUGCAGCUAAGUCUUUGGCGAACUGGUAGUUGCGCUUGAACAGACUGUCUUCACGACACCGGAGUAGUGAAGAUGGGUCACCAUUAUCAGGCUGUGGUCCGUGCACCAUGCAAGGAUAGAAACCUUGCUCAAUAGCUUCAGCCUGAGUCCUGGGUGGAAGAUUUUUGUACAAAAUAUCAUCCCAGGGUGCCUUGAUGGCAUUCUUCUCUGCAUAUUCUUUGGUGAUGAAGCGAUAUCUGAACCAUUCUUCUGCCCAAUAUUUUCGAAUCCAUUGGAUUCGAUUCUUGUGUUCAGUAUAGGUUUCUUUUGGAUCAGUUUGGUACAUCUUGUGCAAAUCUGGAGGUAAGUCCUUGGAGGUGUUACCACGACGCUGUCUGCCUCCCUUUCUUGCUGACUUUUCAGUUGCCAUGAAGUGUAAACUAAAAGUCUUCAGUACGUGCAAUGGCUUCAAAUGGCUAGACUGACAGGAACUCGCUUCAGGUGAGUUGAUGUGACUCUGCAAGAAUUCUGCAAAUGAAUGCAGACUAUGAGAACCAAGGGAUUCUCCCACGGACAUGUACCUAUGACAGCAUUAAAGGUGCGAGGGAAGGGGAAGAGGUCAUAUGCAUUCUCCAAAGAUUUUGAAGAUAAAUCAGUUUGAAGACAAUGACCUCAUAACGCGAAGACAUUCACUUAUAUGAUUAGAGUUGGUUCCAGAGUUGUACAAAUCCAAGAAUAAGUACAAGUGAGGAAUCUAACUUGUGAAGAAGCAUAAGUGAAUAUACUAGGCAGAAUAUGAGAUGCAGAAAGAGAUAGAUUCAUGUUUGAAGAUCUAGAAACCACUUUUGGUAGGAAGGGAUGAAUCUAUCAGAUCAAAAAGACGGUAAAAAGUAAACUUUUAUUACCACACGAAGAACUGCUAGACGGAGCGAAGAUGGAUGCCGAGCAGUUCGAUCUCCCGUGCCCUAACUUGGCGAUGGAAGACACCUACGGCAACAGCGGAGAAGAUGAGGUCCGCGGACGGCGUGAGGAUGGCGUCGAGGAGGUCGCGGCAGCUAAGCGCUUCGUCAGCGGCGGCGUUGAGAGCUAGCGGAGGUGCUAGGGUUUGCGAGAGAUGGCGAAGGAGGAAGAAGGAUUUUUGACCGAGACGAGAUGGGCAUUUAUAAGGACAGAGACAGCACAGUGCAAUUAUGCAGGUGCCCCUGGCGGUUCACAUAUGAUGGACACGUGGCAAACAUGCAACUCACUGAGAGUUGUUCCACGUUCCCACGCACGCCUGGAUUUUCUGGGUGGUCGUUCAGAAUUCUCCGGGUUUCAGGCACAAAGAUAUGUCAUUAAAGCUAGAUAUAAAUGUUUGUCUCUAUAUCUUCUGCUGACAAGGAUGCAGAGAAGACAUUCGACAGUUUCAACAGAAUGCAUAUGAUUUGGAUAGAUAGAGCUUGAGGUAGAAAGCAUAGAGAGGUCAGGGUCCGAUCACAUUCACUUAGUUCAAAAGAUUCAAACGAGAAGACAUAGCUAUAAGUGAAUGAUGUAGAGGACAGAAUACAGUGUAUAUAUAUAACAGAGUAAAGCCAAAUCAGUAAUCAUGAAAUCAAAUUAAUGUUGAAUUUAAAUCAAUUGUGAAGACUUUGCAAAUAUGGCGCCAUGAGGAAACACUUAGUAAGAUUUUGGUGGUGGCGUUACCCACCGUAUAGGAAGUAUUAGACCCAGACACGGUGCACAAUUAUCGUGGCGCUCUAAAGUCAAUUUCCACAUUAAUGUAUUCACACUUAGAGUGUAUGUCUUCAUUGAUUGAAGAUAUACAUUACUUCGUGUGUUGCACAUCUAAGUCAUCAAACUGCAUAGGUGUUAGGAUGUGUGCCUAAUCACAGGACAUUCGAGGAUUCCAAGAUAUUUAGCUCACACCGCAACUUGCAAAACCUUUUCUCAUCCAAGGGCUUAGUGAAGAUAUCAUCCAACUGCUCUUCUGUCUUGACGUGGAUGAUAUCAAUGUCUUCCUUCAUAACAUGACUCUGAGGAAGUGAUGACGAAUCUCAAUAUGCUUUGUCUUCGAGUGUUGAACUGGAUUGUUGGCAAUCUUGAUGGCACUCUCAUUGCGUAGUAGAGAGGCACAUUCUUCAGGUGUAUACCAUAGUCCUUGAGAGUUUGCUUCAUCCAAAGAAGCUGAGCACAGCAGGAUCCAGCAGCAAUGUAUUCAGAUUCAGUAGUGGAGAGAGAUACACAGUUCUGCUUCUUUGAAGACCAACAGACAGGUGAUCGUCCCAGAAAGUGACAUGUGCCUGAUGUGGACUUGCGAUGAACCUUGUCACCAGCAUAAUCAGCAUCUGAGAAUCCAAACUUCUUCAGGCAAUCUUCUUCAGGCAUUGGCAUCGUGUAUCCUUUGCAGUCUUGCAUUCCAAACUUCUUCAGGCAAUCUUUGAGAUAUUUUUCUUGAGAGAUGAAGAUGUCGUUGCGUUGCUGACGGAUUUGGAGACCCAGAAAGAACUUCAGUUCACCCAUCAUGGACAUCUGAUAUUGCUCUUGCAUCAUAUGACCAAACUCAUCACUGUAUUUCUUGUUGGUGCAGCCGAAGAUAAUGUCAUCCACAUAUAUUUGGCACACAAACAGUUCACUGUCAUAAGUCUUCGUGAAGAGAGUAGGGUCCAGUGAACCAGGUUUGAAGCCUUUGCUCUUCAAGAAGUCCUUGAGCGUAUCAUACCAAGCGCGAGGGGCUUGUUUAAGGCCAUACAGUGCCUUGUUGAGCUUGUACACCAUAUCAGGAUGUUUUGGAUCUUCAAAGCCAGGAGGUUGUGCAACAUAUACUUCUUCUUCUAUCUUUCCAUUGAGAAAAGCACUCUUCACAUCCAUUUGAUAUAGGAGAAUGUUGUGAUGAUUUGCAUAGGCAAGCAGUAUGCAAAUAGCUUCAAGCCUUGCCAUGGGAGCAAAAGUUUCAUCAAAGUCAACCCCUUCCACUUGAGUGUAGCCUUGAGCAACUAGACAAGCUUUGUUUCUGACCACUUGACCAUGUUCAUCUUGCUUGUUGCGAUAUAUCCAUUUGGUGCCAAUUAUAUUGUGCUUCUGAGGAUCAGGACGCUUGACCAGUUCCCACACAUUGUUCAACUCAAACUGUUGGAGCUCUUCUUGCAUGGCUUGAAUCCAUUCAGGUUCCAUGAAGGCUUCAGUCACUUUCGUGUGUUCUGAGAUUGAGACGAAUGCAAAGUGUCCACAGAAAUUGGUGAGUUGUGUUGCUCUUUGUGUGGCUCUUGAACGAGUGAGUGGACCAGGUGCAUUGAGGCUAUCAAUCAUCUUCUCAAUAUGUACUUCAUUUGCAACACGAGGAUGAGCAGGACGAAGAUUUUGCUCUUGCUGAUCAUUGUCAUCAUUUGGGGAUUUGUCUUCAGGCUGAGCAUUGUCUUCAGGUUGAUCAGGUGCAGAAAUGACAAGUUCCUCUUCAGACAGACUCUCAGAGGGUAUGAUUUCGCCAGUUCCAAUUUGCUUGAUUGACUCACUAGGGGAUAACUCAUCUAGCACAUUUGGCAGAUGCUCUGUUUGCGAGCCGUUAGUCUCAUCGAACCGCACAUCCACAGUUUCAACCACUUUAUAGUGAAAUAGGUUGAAAACUCUAUAGGAGUGCGAAUCCUUUCCGUAACCAAGCAUAAAACCUUCAUGUGCUUUCGGUGCAAAUUUUGAAGUGUGAUGAGGAUCCUUGAUCCAGCACCUAGCACCAAAUACUCUGAGGUAACUUACGUUUGGCUUCUUACCAGUUAGGAGCUCAUAGGAAGUUUUCUUCAGAAGCUUGUGAAGAUAAACACGGUUGAUGACGUGGCAUGCAGUGUCAAUGGCUUCAGGCCAGAACUUUCGUGGAGUCUUGUACUCACCAAGCAUCAUUCGAGCCAUCUCAAUAAGAGUUCUGUUCUUGCGCUCAGCGAUGCCAUUCUGUUGAGGAGUGUAAGGAGCAGAGAACUCAUGAGUGAUACCCAUGGUAUCCAGGCAGAGGUCGAGGCUGGUGUCCUUGAACUCAGUGCCGUUGUCACUUCUGAUGUGCUUGAUCUUGACACCGUAGUUCGUCAUGGCACGGUUGGCAAAGCGUCUGUAGACAUCCUGCACUUCAGUCUUGUAGAGGAUUAUAUGCACCCAAGUGUAUCGAGAGUAAUCAUCAACAAUGACGAAGCCAUAGAGGCAGGCAGUAGCAUUGAGAGUGGAAUAGUGAGAAGGGCCAAAUAAGUCCAUGUGCAGCAGCUCGAAGGGUUGAGACGUGGUCAUGAUAGUCUUCGAGGGAUGCUUGGCUCUUGUCAUCUUUCCAGCUUCGCAGGCGCCACACAAAUGAUCCUUCUUUAACUUGAUGCCUUCGAUGCCCACAACAUGCUUCUUCUUCGCGAGAGUGUGCAAGUUCCUCAUGCCAGCAUGCCCUAGCCUUCGAUGCCAAAGCCAGCAUUCUGAAGCUUUUGCAAGAAGACAUACGGCCAUCUGUGGACCUGCUGAGAAAUCUACCAUAUACAGAUCAUCUUUUCGAUAUCCUUCAAAGACUAGAGACUUGUCAGAUUCCAUCAGUACAAGGCAGCGAUAUUUUCCAAAUAGCACAAUCAUGUUUGAGUCACAAAGCAUUGAGACAGACAUUAAGUUGAAACCAAGGGAUUCAACAAGCAUCACUUUGUCCAUGUGCUGAUCCCUUGAGAUUGCAACUCUACCUAGGCCCAAUACCUUGCUUUUACCAGUGUCAGCAAAUGUGAUGUGGCUCUUGUCUGAUGGACGCAGCGUUGAAUCCAUCAGAAGACUUCGAUUGCCAGUCAUGUGAUGAGUGCAUCCACUGUCCAUAAUCCAUGCUGAAGCACGAGGUGUCGAGGCCUACAGUGCAGCUUGGGGGAUAGGCUUCACCAAGAGAGUUGUGAAGCAUAAAUAUUUGACGCACAAGAGGAUUAUCAAAGCUUAGAUCAAGGUUAGGACUGAUAGUAUGACUGGCAAGCGAUUCAGAUACGAAAUACAUAGUAAGACCAUUUGGGCAUUUUAUCUUGCGUCCCAUAAUGUGUUUUAGGUCUCUAGCAAUAGCAUCGGAUGCCUUUGAUUUCCGGCUGGAGACCUUUCCCUGCAAAAGAAAGUUAAUUCUUCUUAACCACCCACAUCUUCAAGGGUGGCUUAGAAGCAAUGAGUCUAAGUGCAGCAUCUGAGAAUUUUGGCUUUGGAGCCCUAGCAAAUAGCCUUGCAGGAGAAGAACGAUACUCAUAUGAAUAAGCAGAAAAGUUCUUAGUUCUAUGAACAUAGCGGUUUGAAGACACACGCUCAUAUUCAUAAGUCUGAGUAUGGUUUCCCUGCAAAACAUUGGCGUUAGGGUGACUCAGGUGAGCCCUGUAUCUGUAUGAAGCUUUAGGGCCAUAUGAAGCCAUAGGUCUGGGGUUUGUCUUCUUCCUUGGUGAUGUCAGGAUGACAUUCACAGGAAGAUUCUCAAUACACUAUUUAGGUACCCAGAUCUUCUUCAUAGGUGGUCCAUUCCUGCAGUUAGUCCCAAUAUACCUGGCAAACACUUCACCAUUCUGAUCCUUAAAUAGUUUAUAGUUUGCAUCAAAGGAUUCAUCAAUGAUAAUAGGGUUAGCGCAAGUGAAACCAGAUAAGGUGGAUGGAUCUACUGAAGGUUCCUUUGCAGCAACCCAUGUGGUUUUGGGGUACUGCUCAGGCUUCCAAUACGACCCAUCAACAUUCAUUUUCCUCUCGAACCCAAUACCCUCUUUUCUAGUGUUUCGGUUCAGAAUCUGCCUUCUGAGGACAUCACAUAAUGUCUGAUGCCCUUUGAGGCUUUUGUACACCCCUGUCUCAAUCAAUGUCUUCAACCUAGCAUUCUCAUCAGCAAUAGUAGUGGUAUCCUCAAUAGAGGGGUUAGUUACCACAUCAGCAGUUGAAGAUAUUGCAACAGGAACAGUAGAACAUCCAGCAACAGAAACAGCGUUAUCAUGCUCAAUGCAUUUUAAACAUGGUGGUUCAAAUCCUUCCUGAGCGGGACUAAUUUGUUGAGCGCGAAGUGACUCGUUCUCCUUUUGAAGAUCUUCAUGAUCCGAUCUCAAUUUCUCAAGUUCCGGCUUCCUUUGAAGAUAAUCGUAGGAAAGCUUUUCAUGAGAUGUUGAGAGGGUUUCAUGACGACCUUCAAGUUCUUGGUACUUAACAUGAAGAUUUUUUAUGUCUUCAGUUAAGGACUGAGUCUAGUCAUUUCCGCGUCCAACAGGUCAUCGCUUUUGUCUAACAGUUUUUGAAUAUGUUCCAUAGCUUUCUGUUGUUCAGUUGCAAUUUUAGCAAGUUUUUUGUAGCUGGGUUUGGAUUCACCAUCAGAGUCAUCUUCACUUGAUGUUUGAAAGUAAGCAUCGCGAGAGUUUACCUUGGCACCACGUGCCAUGAAGCAGUAGGUGGGAGCCGAGUCGUUCUCGUCAUUAGUGUUGGUGACGGAGUCAUUGUCUUCAGUGUUGAAGAUGGACUUGGCGACGCAGGCUGUAGCUAGAGCCAGACUUGCGAUACCAGAGUCAGACUCCUCCUUAGACUCCACCACUUCCUCCUCAGAAGCAGACUCCUCCUAUGAAUCCAUUUCCUUGCCAACAAAAGCAUGUGCCUUGCCUAAUGAGCUCUUCUUGUGUGAUGAAGACAUAGAGGAAGAUUUGGAAGAAGACUUUGAGGAUUUCUUCUUCUUCUUGUCAUCAGAAUCAUAUUCUUUGUUCUUCUUUUUCUUCUUCUCAUUGUCCCACUGUGGACAUUCAGAGAUGUAGUGGCCAGGUUUCUUGCACUUGUGACGGGUUCUUUUCUUGUUGUCAUAGGUGGAAGCUUCAUCGUCCCUUGAGCUGGAUCGUGAAGACUUUCUGAAGUUUUUCUUCCUAGUGAAUCUCUGGAACUUCUUCACAAUCAUAGCAGGCUCCUUUCCAAUGUCUUCGGGAUCAUCAGAAUUGUAGUCAGAUUCUUCUCUAGAUGAGGAAGCCGCAGCCUUUGCCUUCAAGGCACAAGUUCGGUCGUAGUUGGGGCCAUAGAUAUCUCGUUUCUCAGAUAGCUGGUACUCAUGUGUGUUGAGCCUCUCGAGUAUGUCAGACGGAUCGAGUGUCUUGAAAUCAGGGCGUUCUUGUAUCAUCAGGGCUAAGGUGUCAAAUGAGCUGUUGAGAGAUCUCAGCAGUGUCUUCGCAAUUUCAUGCUUCGUAAUGUCAGUUGCACUGAGUGCACGGAGCUCAUUGGUGAUAUCAGUGAGGCGAUGAAACAUGAGCUUGACGUUCUCGUUGUCGUGCCUUUUGAAGCGGUUGAAGAGGUUGCGAAGAGUAUUGAUUCGUUGAUCACGCUGUGUUGAGAUGCCUUCAUUGACCUUAGAGAGCCAGUCCCAUACUAGCUUCGAUGUUUCCAGAGCACUAACACGGCCAUACUGCCCUUUGGUCAGAUGACCACAGAUGAUGUUCUUGGCGGUAGAGUCCAGUUGAAUGAACUUCUUCACAUCAGCAGGGGUGACACCUUCACCAGUCUUGGGAACGCCAUUCUUGACGACAUACCACAGAUCGACAUCAAUGGCUUCAAGAUGCAUACGCAUCCUAUUCUUCCAGUAGGGAUAUUCAGUGCCAUCAAAGAUGGGACACGCAGCGGAGACCUUGAUUAUCCCUGCAGUCGACAUAGCUAAAACUCCAGGUGGUUAAACUGAAUCACACAGAACAAGGGAGUACCUUGCUCUGAUACCAAUUGAAACUACUAGUUAUCGACUAGAGGGGGGUGAAUAGGCGAUUUUUAUGAAAGUCUUCAAAACAUGAGAGUUUAGAACACAAACACGAAAACUGGACCUAUAAACAUGCAGCGGAAGAUGAACUACACUAGACACACCAUAGUCAAACAAGUAUGAAUCUAAAGCAUGAUGACUGAUAGCAGCUAGGUAGUAGGAUCAGGAUGGAAGAUAGUAUGGAGCCAAUCAGAACAAGUAGUCACGCAGUGAAGUCAAACAGGCAGAGCAAUCAGGCAAUGACUUCACAAAGACAAACUGUAAGUAAGGAGAGUAAGAGAUAGAACCAAUGUGUUGUGAAGACAAGGAUUUGUUCGACCAGUUCCAGUUGCUGUGACAAUUGUACGUCUGGUUAGGGAGGCUGAGAUUCAACUCAGAAGACCGCGUCUUCACCUUAUUCCCCUUGAGCUAAGGACACACAGUCCUCACCCAAUCACUCUGGUAAGUCUUCAAGGUAGACUUCCAAACCUUCACAGACUUCGUUCACCGGCAAUCCACAAUUACUCUUGGAUGCUCAGAACGUGAUGCCUAACCGGCUGGAGGAUUCACAGUCCUCAAGUGUAACAAGUCUUCAGAUCACGCGGACAGAAAGACUUCAGUGAUGCCAAACACUCUCUGGGCUCUGGGUGGUUUGGGCUUUGUCCUUGCAAGGAUUCUCUCUCUCAAAGGCUUCAGAGGUGGGUUGCUCUCAAACGACAAAAGCCAUAUCUAACUCUGAGCAACCACCAAUUUAUGGUGUAGGGGGUGGGCUAUUUAUAGCCACUGGGAACCCGACCUGAUUUGUCCGAAAUGACCCUGGGUCACUAAGGAACUGACACGUGUCACAACGGUCAGAUUUCAAACACACGCGACAGCUUGACUUGGGCUACAAGUAAAGCUGACAUAUCCGACUCUGGAUAAGAUUUGCUCUCAUUGUCUUCGCUCGAAGACAUAGGAUUUUGGUUGAGCAUCACUUCAGUCACUCUGACUUUGUUCACUUGGACCCCACUUAACAGUGCGGUGGUUCCUAUGAGUCAACAAAGAAGAAAAGAAACAACGAAACUAUUAAGUCUUCGCGCUCCAUAGUCUUCACUCAAUGUCUUCUCCUGCCAUAGACUUCAGUGUGAAUGUGUUCAUGUACCACCAUUAUAUUCAAUGUCUUCAUACAUUUUUAGGGGUCAUCUCCGGUAGGUAAACCGAAUCAAGGAGGGACUACUACAUGUGUUAUCCUGCAAUUCUCACAAACACAUUAGUCCCUCAACCACAUUUGUCGUCAAUACUCCAAAACCAAACUAGGGGUGGCACUAGAUGCACUUACACCAGUCGGGUGUGAUCACCAAGACAUCCAUGAUCAAGUCGACCGCAGCUGGAAUCUCAAUCUCUGUCAGGUUGGUUGAACUUAUCGGUUGCGGGAUCUCUUCUUUAAAGGGAUCCUCUUGUACUGAUGGGGUGUGGAGAUGCUCCAAGAACACAUUGCUGGGGACAGGCUUCCGAGUGGAACCUAUCUUGGCCAGAUCAUCAACAGCUUGAUUCUUGAUUCGUGGUAUGUGGUGGAGCUCUAACCCCUCAAACUUCUUCUCUAGCUUUCUCACUGCGUUGCAAUAACCAGUCAUUGCGGGACUCCUGACAUCCCAUUCCUUCAUUACCUGAUUAACCACUAAGUCUGAGUCGCCGUAGACCAUCAAGCGCCGGACGCCGAGUGAAAUGGCCAUUUGCAACCCAUACAAUAGUGCCUCAUAUUCAGCUUCGUUGUUAGAAGAAUCAAAGUGAAUCUGGAGGACAUAACUGAGCUUAUCUCCUCGUGGGGAUACUAAGACCACUCCUGCGUUAGAGCCAUUUAACAUCUUGGAUCCAUCAAAGAACAUGGUCCAAUGUUCUGAUUGGAUUUGAGUCGGCUGUUGUUGUUCUGUCCACUCUACGAGGAAAUCUGCAAUUGCUUGAGACUUGAUGGCCUUCUUUGCCUCAAACUUGAUAUCUAAUGGAAGAAGUUAAAUCGCCGACUUUGCCACUCGGCCAGUUGCAUCUCUGUUAUUCAGAAUCUCUGACAAUGGAGUGUCGCUGACGACUGAAACUGAGUGAUCAGAGAAAUAAUGUGCAACCUUCUUCAUGGUUAGGUAAAUCCCAUAAACAAACUUCUGAUAAUGAGGGUAUCUCUGCUUGGAUGGGGUCAAAACCUCUGAAAUGUAAUAGACUAGGUGCUGAACUUUGAAGGCAUUGCCUUUCUCUUCCCGCUCGACCGUGAGCACUGUGCUGACAACUUGUCCAGUGGUUGCGAUGUAAAGCAAUAGAGGCUCUUUACUGACUAGAGCAGCAAGCACCAGUUGGGUGGAAAGCAGGCUUUGAGCUCUUCGGCUUCGUCAUUCCACUUGAACUUGUCAGACUUCUUCAUUAGUCGGUAAAGGGGCAGUGCCUUUGCACCGAGGCGUGAAAUGAAUCGACUCAAUGCAGCCAAACAACCAGUAAGCUUCUGAACAUCAUGCACACGCACUGGGCGCUUCAUUCGGAGGAUAGUGCCAAUCUUCUCUGGAUUCGCGUCGAUUCCUCGUUCGGAAAUGAGAAAAUCGAGUAACUUUCCGCUGGGGACUCCGAAUGUGCAUUUCGAUGGAUUGAACUUGAUAUCAUACCUUCUUAGAUUGGCAAAGGUUUCAGCGAGGUCAAUCAGCAGGUCAGAACCUUUGCGUGACUUAACCACUAUGUCGUCCAUGUAUGCUUCCACAUUUUGACUGAUUUGAGUGAGCAGGCACCUUUGAAUCAGGCGCAUCAAUGUGGCACCAGCAUUCUUGAGGCCAAAAGGGAUAGUAACAUAACAAAAACACCUGAACGGGGUGAUGAAAGUUGUCUUGAUCUCAUCGGGUCCAAACAAUCGGAUCUGAUGGUACCCGGAAUAAGCGUCCAUGAAGGACAGUCGAUCGCACCCCGCAGUUGAGUCGACUAUCUGGUUGAUGCGGGGCAGAGGAAAAUGAUCUUUUGGGCAGGCCCGAUUGAUGUGCUUGAAGUCAAUACACAUUCAAAGUGAUUUGUCUUUCUUUGGAACCAUAACGACAUUGGCGAGCAACUCGGAGUGGUAAAUCUCGCCGAUGAACUCAGCGGCCAGAAGCCGAGCCACCUCCUCGCCAAUUGCCUUUCUCUUCUCCGUGGUGGACCGACGAAGAUGCUCUUUGACAGGUUUUUCCUUUGGGUCGACUCACAAACUGUGCUCAGCCAGUCCCAUGGGUACACCUGGCAUGUCAGAUGGCUUCCAUGUGAAGAUGUCCCAGUUCUCACGGAGGAACUAGAUGAGCACGUCUUCCUAUUUGCUGCCGAGUGUCGUUGAGAUAUGGGUCAGAGCAGCGUUGGGAUCGGUCAGAUGGAUGUGAACUGGCUUGGUCUCUCUAGCCUACUGAAAUGCGGAAUCCGAGGCAGGUCUCUUGGCGCGCAACAAAUCACUCGGAUCUGUAGUCUUCUGAUACUCUUGAAACUCCACAGCUGCCAUCUGCUCAUCUACUAUCUUUGCACCGUCCUGAAGACAAUCCUCUGCUUUUUUCCGGUUACCCGGAGAUGGUUAUCACGCCUUUGGGGCCAGGCAUCUUCAUCUUGAGGUACACAUAACACGGUCGAGCCAUGAAGCUAGCAUAGGCAGGUCUACCCAAAAUGGCAUGAUAAGCACUCUGGAAACCAGAACCUCAAACGUCAACUUUUCUUUGUGGUAAUUCUUCUCAUCACUAAAAACCACAUCAAAAGCGAUCUGGCCGAGUGAAUCGGCUUUCUUCCCUGGGAUGACUCCAUGGAACCUCAUAUUGCUCUCGCUUAGUUUGGACAUCGGAAUGCCCAUUCCUUUGAGGGCCUCAGCGUACAUGAUAUUGAGGACACUGCCACCAUCCAUUAGAACUUUGGUCAGUCGAGUGCCCCCAACGACUGGUUCGACCACCAGCGCCUGCCGCCCAGGGGUAGCAACUCGUGGUGGGUGAUUCGACUGGUCGAAUGUAAUGGGGGUUUUCGACCACUUCAAAUACUUCGGUGUUGCCGGAGCAACCAUGUUCACCUCUCUGUUAGUGACUUUCAGUCGACUUCUGCUCUCGACAUCAGGAAAAAUCACCAAGGUGGCAUUAACAUGGGGAUAUCCAUCUUCCUCUUCUUCCUUGUCUUCCUCCUUAUCAGAAUCUUUAUCCUUCUCGCUAGGCUGACUUUUCUUCUGGAAGCUCUGAAUGAGGAGUCGACACUGUUGAGUCGUAUGCUUGGGAAGGAUCAGAUUCCCCUCUUCAUCUUUCUUAGUAUUAAUAUUACACAGUAGAUCCAUCACAUCAUUUCCAUCUUGAUCUUUUACCUUCUUGGGAUUCCAGGGCCCUUUGGCCUUCCCUUUGAACUUUCCUUGAUUCAACACUGCUGCCUCAGCAGGACCUGUUACCUCAGCCUUUCGCUUCGGCAUCCGACUGGAAUUUCCUCCUUCGAUGUCCUAGGCGACUGUUUUGUGCUUACCACUCCGGAGUCAGUCUUCCUCUUUGAUGUUAGUGCACUUGGUGGCAAUCUCCAUCAUCUGAGUCAGAGUCAUAUCUCCUGUCCGACCGAACUUCAGAUUGAGCUCUCUGUAGCAAACACCUUCCUUGAAGGCACAGACUGCUUGGUGAUCUGACAUAUUCUCCACUGUGUGGUGCAGAGUGGUCCAUCUCUAGAUAUAGUCUUGCAAGGUUUCACUCGGCUUCUGCAUGCAAUGCUGCAACUCUGGUAGACCAUCAGGUCUUUUGCAGGUGCCCUCGAAUGUUCUGGUAAACACUCGGGCUAUUUCAUCCCAACUCAAAAUGCUCCAAGGGGCCAACUGAUUCAGCCAAGCUCUGGCAGAACCUUCAAGCAUCAGGGGGAGGUGCUUCAUGGCCACCUCAUCGCUGCCGCCACCGAUAUGCACAGCCACUCGAUAGUCCUCAAGCCAAGUGUCGGGCUUCGACUCUCCCGUGAACUUACUGACGCCAGUUGCCAAUCUGAAGUUAUGGGGGAUCUUUGCGGCCCUGAUGGCUCUUCCGAAACACUCGGGACCAGACACGUGGACCGUGCUUCUGCUAGGCCUGUCUCUGUCUAGCCCUUCUCUGUGUGCUCUGUUCUGGUUGACCAAGCCCUGAACAAGGACUGACCUUGCAUCGAAUCCAGGGUCUCUUGGGUCGACUGGAACUCUGUGGUCAUUACCGUAUGGAUGCCUAUCAUCAUAUCACUGGGGCACGUAUGACCCGCCCCUCGAAAGGGGCAAAGGCACUCGAUGGUAGUUGUCGCGGGCGAACUCACGAUCAUCAUCUCCAUGAGCUCUUCCUAGGUGCCGAUCCUAGCGGUGCUCACAAGCUCCUCGACUCAAAGGUGACCUAGGACUGUGUGCUGACUGAACGGUGUCCGCUCUUACCGAUCAACUGUGAAUUCUGUUCCGCGACUGGGACACGGUGGAGUUCUGGUCUCCUGCUGCCCGGAGCAGUGCCAUGAUCUGUUCCAAGCACCUUCCAGCCUCCGAGCGAGACGGCUGAAUGGACUCUGCAAUAUGCGCAGCAGCUGUGAGAUUCUGAAUCAGCGUAUGGAAUACCUGAGUUUCUGGUGGAAACAAUUAUCAUGAACGCCGACUAGAUCCGGGUAUCAGUCGAUGGGUACGCUUGUCGAGAGAAUGUUGGAGAUUCUCCAAACGAGUGCUUGCAGCCAGCGCGGCCAGGCGCACUUCCACAAAGCCCGAGCCUCGGCCGUUUCCCCUAUGAUGGGGGUAUGCAGAGCCUCCUCGCUGUGGCGGUGCAGCCCCUCCCUAUGUUGCGGACUAAGAGGUUGAGGCUGAUACUCCUCGUGGCCGAAUGACGUACCGUCGCCGUCCAUGUUCUUGCCGCUGCGACGGAAACCAAGCGGGCCGCGAUGGGAAUCGACCAUGAGGACCUCCGCCGCGGGGUUACAACUCCCGCUCUCAGAAAGUGUGUCUGCUAAGUCAGUCGACGGGUCGACUGGACUGCAGUGAUAUACAUCAGGCUCGAUUGUCGCAGCUUGGGGGUGAACGUCUGCCGAGCCACCGCGUGCUUCACCCAUAACUGGAGUCGUGAUCGACCCGACCGCUUGCGGCGGCGUCCAGCGGAGCGAGAGAACGACACGGGGGUCGACUGGUACGGGGUCGACGGCUGUGGAAGGAGGACGCCACGAGCACUCGCACGGAAGUGCGAUGAACCUCGGAUUGGCAGUGCCUCGACAUCAAGGGGGCCUCCUGAAGCCAGGCCGAGUCAUCGGCGACGAAAGUGAGCGCGCCGAGUCGAAACUCGCGGCCCAUGAUCAAACUGCUGCCGGAAACCAUGUUGACGAAGACUGAAGAAAAUGCAACCUCGCCGGAAGUCGCUAAGACGCUUCGCCCCACGGUGGGCGCCAACUGUCAUGGUACUAAUUCUGACAGUAAGAUUAGGGGGUACAUAUGAGGAGGCAAGGUCCUAGCUACGGUGAGAUUGUACGCAAGUGUUUACGAGUUCAGGCCCCUCUCGGAGGAGGUAAAAGCCCUACGUCUUGGUGCCCUAAGGCGGUCGACUAGAUUAUGGUGUGUGUUACAGGGGUGCGAACCCUUGUGCCGGAGGAGGGGUGGCUUAUAUAGAGUAUGCCAGGACCCCGGCCAUCCCCCGUUACAAGGAGUUCAAUGUACAUAAAGAUAGGUUGUUACUCAUAACGCCAGCUAUAAAGUGCUAUUAAUGCCCUUGAAGACUACAGAGGGAGUGCUUGACCAUUGUUGUCCUGGCCGACUCCUGGUCUUCAGUAGGUCGAGUGGUUUCUUAUAUGGUCGAGUGAUCACGGGAAGGAGGGGUAUCCGAGUGAUAUGACUGGUCGAGUGGACUGCAGUCGACGUCUUUAAUUGGUACUCCAUGUUGUCUCUAGGGUGCCUUUGCUUCUAGGGUAGUGACCUUGGGUAGGAUGUAUAGGUCAGGCCUAUGACCCUACCCUAGGUCUAUAUCCUCAUCAUUAGCCCCCGAAUGGAUUGAGGUCCGAGUGAAAAGAAGGUGGACAUUAAUCUUGCCUCGACUGUUGUGCUCCAUUAAUACUCGAGUUGGAAUGGAGGCCCAUGUUGAAACUGCAGCUUCGUUUCAGGUGCCAUGAUCAGUUCAGUAGGUCGUCGAGUGGGUUUGCAAUUCCACCCCAUCGAGUGUUACUUUGGUCGCAAAAUCUUCGACGCGAUUGGUAACGACGUGUCCCGGAUCUCGCGGGAUUCAAAAUUUUGGGGAGGCGCGCGAGGCGGGGCACGCCGUAGUGAGCGGGAUGGAUAGACAAGGGUGCCUCGAUCUCUGCACCACCUUUUUCGCCACGUACCGAGCGCACGACUGUUGCGGGAUUUGACAGGAUCGCUCGGGCCCACGCGUUAGCCACUCGGAAGCGGCUCUUUAUAAGGCGUCGGGGUUGAGGCGUUCGCACUGUGCGCACCCAUCCUCCCCUAAUCUCCUCUACUUUUCCGCUGCUCCCUUCUCCUUCGCUCUCGACACUGCCGUGCCGCCACCAUGGUGAAGGACAAGAUGAUGGCGCUGGAACGUGCGAAGAAGGCGACGGGGGCGGCGAAGGGCAAGAAGACGGCUCGGGGGUCGUCGUCGAGGUCCGGGCUACCGGCGGGUUGGAUCCAGGGCGAUUGGAUCCGAUCUUCGCUCUGGCCAGAGGACUUGGAGGAGCUGGCCGACUCUGGUCUGAUUGUCGAGGGAGCUGCGAGGCUGCCAAAGGGGGAGACGGAGCCUCAGCCGCAGCUGGGUGAGUGCGUUUUGCUCGCCACCCAUGUCGACCGAGGUUUUUCCCUUCCUCUGCAUCCUUUCUUUAGGGGUUUCUUGAACUUUUUCGGAGCUCAGCUCCAUCACUUCUUCCGCAACACCAUUACAUAUCUCGCCGCAUUUGUGUCCAUGUGCGAAAAUUUCCUGGGCUGUCGACCGCACUAGGGUCUUUUCAAGCACAUCUUUACAAUCCUCUCCCAAUCGGUAAAGAAAGCCAAUUCGAGUGACGAGAGGAUGCGCGUGAUCCGAAUGUGCGGGGGUUUGGGGAUCCAGAUGAGAAAACGGAGUGCUUUCCCUUCCAUGACACUUCCUGAGUCGAUCAGGGGCUCGCGGUCAACCUCGUUCUACUGCCAGGACAUUGUGACUCCCGGUCACUCGACCGGUCUUCCUCCCUUCUCUUUACAUCGCACCCAGCAACCUUCUUCGUUGAAAGUGACAGCCGCCGAGAGGGUGGAAAAGGACAUGUUGGUGGAGAGAGUGGUCCAGUUGAUCAAUCAAGGUGUAACCGGCAUAGACUUGCUGGAGGUGUUUCUCAGUCGACGGAUCCAGCCGCUCCAGGCUCGUGACCAUCCGAUGUGGAUGUACUCUAGAGCCAACAACACUGCUCGGGUCCACCCAGAGGAGGUUACAGCCGAGAUGGUGGCCUAGUGGCUGAAGGGCAUUACAGGGAACAAGGAUAACCCCAGAGGGGCCAGGAGAGUUGACCCAUUCAGCGCCAACAACCAUCCAGACAAGGUUCGAUCUUUUGCUACCGACUAUACUCUUGUAUGCCUUGCAUCUAUUUCUGAAUCCGAGUAACGUUUGUUUGACUCUUUGUCUUGUAGAUUACACUGAGAUGUACUCUAUGCCCAACGGUGCACAAGCUCUGGAGCAGGACCUGGAGGGAGAGGACAGCGCGGAAGAAAGUGGUGAUUGGCAUUCUCCAGAGGAUGACGACGACGACGAAAGCGACGAUUCGGAUGACGACGAAGCGGUCGACUCACCACCAUGCUCAGAGCGUCGAUCCAAGCAAUCCCACGAUCCAGUGGGCGGGCGUGGCAAGGCUGCAGCUCCAAGCACUCAAGCACAGAAGCGUGCUCGGACUUCGACUCUGGAGCUGACGGAAAAGGUUGCCAAGCAACCCAAGGUUGCGCCCUCGAAGGCUCGGAAGACCUUGCCCAAGAUCAAAAUGGAUGUGCCUGUUGCCUCUGUGUGAGUGCCCUAACUUCCCGUGUUUCCUUCUUCCAACUGAUACUUCUGUUUUUACCAAGUGGAUUAUGAACUUUUUCAGCCCUGCAACUUCUGCGACUGACAUGGAUGUUGGCAAGGCCCCAGGGGGCGAGGAAGCCGAUGACGCGGCCACUUCCAGAGCUGGUAGGCCCUUUCCAACUUGAAUUUGUUCUGCCGAUUGAUUCGUUGGUCGAUUGAACUCUUGGGAUUGUUUUUGUUGCUGCUCCGCGUGACGUUAUUACCCUUCCAUACGACGAAGAAGAAGAAGCGCCUCUGUGAGAGAGAGAAGAAGGAGGGGCAGGGCCUCAAGCGGGAAGGCGACCGAGGGGCAGUUGCUUGAGACAGGGGUCAAGCGAUCCAGAGAUCUGGCUCGGACCAGUGUCACUUUCGCCAAUCCACUGUCGACUGACCGUCCAUCGGGGUCGACUGCUCAGGCGCCUACUGCUCCAAUACAACUGUUGGAGAUAUGCCCUAGAGGCAAUCAUGCAUAAUGAUAUUUCCUAUGUGUUUAUGAAUAAAGAUAGUCCUUCGACAUUAUCAAUGAUGUGUAUCAGCGAGUAAAUAACUUGUUUGUGGGACUAUGCAUUGUAUGAUGACUGUCCUAAAUGGUCCCUAGUCGAAAGGGUUGUGUGGAUGCGUAGCCGACUAGACUGGCAUAUGACACGGUCGAUGGCUUGGUCUCACUAGCCAUGGAGCAUUCGAUUCUAACCGGAUAAUAUGGACUCGGAAGGAUCUGGUCGGAUUCGACAUAGUCGGAUCCGAGUCGAGAUAAGGUCCGAGUUGGACAGACCCAACUAUGAGAUGCAGCGAUAUGUCAUAUGUCAGUCUCUAGUACAACAUACGUUCUAUGUCCUAAGACCUGAGCUGACGCAUGUGCUCGGGAUGGUGACAAACCUACUUUGGGAUGACCAAACGCUACUCCGUAACUGGGUAGUUACAAAAAUAGGUUUCAGGCUUGUCCAGACCCAUGCUAUGAACGUGGUCGAGCAAGAUGGUAUUUGCCCCUCCGGUCACAGGAGAGAUAUACUCUGGGCCCCUCGUGUGAUCCGACUAGGAUAAGCAUGGCCAUGCGAUAAGGAUUGUGAGAUAAUCCGGAUAGUGGUCGGAAUCACUGGAACGAGAAAGAGGUCGGGCUAGCACAAGGAUGACAAUCUCGCCUUGAGCCCGACAACAUAUAUCAUGUGGCAAAGGGAACAAAAGUGUGACAUGUUGUACAGGUUCGCCUAACCAGCUUCAUAGUCUGCUUGGUGUUCGACAUGCCUUGCUAGAGGUCGCUACCAACCGUGCAGUUCGGGGGUGAUCCAAACUUCGACCAAGCCAACUGGAACCUAAGGGGUCGCGCACUUAAGGGAAGGAACCUAUGAGGUCGGAUUCGAGGACACUGGUCGGAUGUGAUCCGAGCUGUAUUCGGAUUAGGGUCCAUGCAAGGCCCAAGUGUUGAGCCCGCGAUGGACGCCUAUAUAAACUGGAGGUGCGGCACACUCAUGGGUUGAUCGCUUCGGCGCUGUCACUAGGGUUUGCAUGUGUUGCGAAUAGCCACCUCCACUGGCCGCCGGUUGUGUGACCGGACCUAGCAGUCCGCCGCACGAUGUUCCUCCUGCACGCGCGGAUACCAUUAGAGGCGGUGCACUUGUGCCACUCCGGCGAACCUAUUCGCGGGAUCCGAUCGGCUACGUGGGAGACCGGCAAGGAGGAGAUGACUCCGGGAUCGCGAGGUGACUCCGGGAACGCGCUGCCUCAACUCUACUUCCGCUGCACAGCACUGCGGGUCUAGUGGUAACGAUCUGUGGUCCAUCUCCCAUAGCAUGUUCCUGGUUGUUCUGCGCGUAGGAAAAUUUUAAUUUGCAGUCGACGCACCCUACCGUAGAACCCAACAACAACUUCAUGCAUCCUAUCUCGUGGCUUCUCCGACUGCGUUGCCGUCAUCGCUCUUCGCUGCAUAUCAGACACCAGACGAUCCGCCGAGUGCUGCCAGGGAGGCUCUUCUCCAGGUGAACCUUGUGAUGGACCAGAUGAAGAUGGUGCAUGAGGCCAGUCAGGUCGCCUACAACGCCACUACUGCUCUGCAAGCGAAUGUCAAGGUUAGUUGGUUUCCGAAUGAUCUCUUGAGUAGUGAUAGUUGCAACUGUCGCUUCACUGCCCGUACGAUGUCCUUAGAUGAGCGUUUUGGAACCUAUUAUGUGCAUCUAUGAGUCUGCAUUUCUCAUCCAACCACCCACUAGGGUGUUUUUGUAGUCAAACUGAAUAGCCUUUCCACUUGAGUCGACUAGGUUGAGUUGAGUGUUUUUCUGAACCAGUGGGGGCACGCAUAGUGCACCCACUGGGUGUAGUCCCCGAGACCGCGGUCGACUGCUGGUAGUGGGCUGGGGUCUGAGAAUCGCUCCUUUUUUUACUCAUGUUGGGCAGACCAUGCCGAGUGUAAGAACCAGACCAGUGGGGGCAUGCCAAGUGCACCCACUGAGUGUAGUCCCCGAGACUACUGUUGAAUGUUUGAUUUGGCGGUAGUACUCUUAGAGCAACUUUUACUGAGACUGACUUUUGUUCCUGUCGACUGACAUAUCCCUUUUGCUAACUGUAGAAGUCUUGUGAUCUUGGGGCUCAACUUUCUGAGCUAGAUAAGAAGCAGAUCAGCAUGAACCUUGAUCUGGAAUUGGCUAAGAAGAACCUCAAAAAGGCCCACGACGAAACAACUAUCAUGGGAGGUAACCACUCGUCAACCUUUCACCUUAUGAUUUUCCCUUUCUUUUUUCCAGUCUCUUUGAACCGAGUGAUUUCACUCGAACAGAUGUGCGUAGUGAAAACCGUCAACUUUAGUCUCGUCUGAAGAAUGUUAUUUCUUUAGAGAAAAUGAAGCAGGCUCUGGAGCAGAAGGAUCUGGAUCUUGCUGCGGCCCGGAAGGAGGUGCAAGAGAAAACAGCACUUGCGGACAAGAAGUUGGCUUCAGUCGGCAAGUUGGAAGAGGAGAUUGCGCAACUGAAGAAAUACAAGGAGAUCUUGCCUAAUGAAGUGGGGAGCCUCAAAGCCAAGAAGGGAGAGCUGGAGUCUUAUCUGGGGCAGCUUGCUGCGAAGUUGGUCUUAAAACUUGAAGGUAUUUCCUCUUGUUCGACUGAUUUGUGAUGUCGACUGACAUGCCUUGUUAAACUGUCGAUUCACUAUUUUUCCGACUGCGCAGAACUUUGCCAAGACUUUGAAGCAGAAACUAGGCGGGUCGAGACAGGUCUCGAUCCCAUAAGCUGUCUUGUCAAAGACGACGUUGCGAUGAAUGUGUUGCGGUUGGAGUCUCGCCUGGACAGCGCCGUGGAGUACCUUGCUUGACUGAAGGUCGCGAUGACACGGGUUGAUGCUGAACUCUGGCCUCAGGCGGAACUCUCGCAGGAUCUUGAGUCUCUGAUGGCUCGACUGAACCAAAUCCCUGGUCGAUUGCAGGAAUGGAAGAAGUCAUCUGCUCGCUGUGGUGCUGACGUUGCUCUGUCGUUGGUCCGAGUGCACUGCAAGGACAUCAAAGAAGACAAGCUUGCGGCCCUCAAGGUUGCCAACACAAAAAAGCUCACUUUCCGGUCUUUCAUGGACACCUUCCUUGACGCUGCUACUUGCAUCGCAGACAGCAUCGACCUUGACAGUUUCUGUGAUCCAAUGAGUCCUUCUCCAGCUGAGUGAACGAAACAUUAUGCCGCACCUUUUAUUUGCCUCGGGAUGCCGAGUGGUUAUGUAACCGUUAAACUCUUUCGGGAUUGAUGCCUGUGCACUUCUGCCCAUUGCGGUUCUGAACUUUUGCGGUGUUCAGUCGACACCUCGUCGUCCUUGCGGAUUGGGAUGGAGCGUACAUUGUAUUUGUGACUUAGACGAUUACGGGGUCGCAACUAAGCCCCCGAGUGGGAGGAUUGCUCUCCACUUGGAACGUUUUUAACUUAGGCGAUUAUGGGGUUGCAGCUAAGCCCCCGAGUGGGAGGAUUGCUCUCCACAUGGAAUGUUUUUAACUUAGGCGAUUACGGGGUCGCAGCUAAGCCCUCGAGUGAGAGGAUUGCUCUCCACUCGGAAAGUCUUUAACUUAGGCGAUUACGGCGUCGCAGCUAAGCCCCCGAGUGGGAGGAUUGCUCUCCACUCGGAAAGUUUAUAACUUACGCGAUUACGGGGUCGCAGCUAAGCCCCCGAGUGGGAGGAUUGCUCUCCACUCGGAAUGUUUUUAACUUAGGCAAUUACGGGGUCGCAGCUAAGCCCCGGGGUGAGAGGAUUGCUCUCCACUCGGAAUGUUUUUAACUUAGGCGAUUACGGGGUCGGAGCUAAACUCUGAGUGGGAAGAUUGCUCUCCACUCAGAAUGUUUUUAACUUAGGCAAAUCAGAUUCACGACUAAGCCACCCACUGGGGGAUUUGGACACGGAUGAUUAUGGGGAACCGAUCAUUAAGAUAUUGUAAAAGUCAUGUCCUUGGAAAGCAAACUGAAAUACUCUUAUUACAGCUCGUCGGGUCGAGUGAUCUAUGUGUAGAAGUGGCGGACCAGCUCUGCCUUCCACGCACAUGGCUCGUCCAUCUUCUUGGCUAGGUUGUAGAUGUGGUAAGCUCCGUUGUGAAGCACUUUGGUGAUGAUGAAGGGACCUUCCCAGGCCGGAGCAAGCUUGUGAGGCCGUUUCUGAUCCACUCGGAGCACCAGGUCUCCUUCCUGGAACGCACGACCUCUGACAUUUCGGGCAUGGAAUCGACGCAGAUCUUGCUGAUAGAUGGUCGAUCGAAUCAAGGCCAUCUUGCGUUCCUCUUCUAGGAGAUCAACGGCGUCUUCUCGUGCUUGUUCUGCUUCGACUUCUGAGAAUAGUUUCACUCGGGGAGCAUUGUGCAAUAAGCCACUCGAAAGUAUAGCCUCGGCGCCGUACACCAAGAAGAAUGGGGUUCGGCCAGUCGACCGAUUCGGUGUUGUUCUCAGCCCCAACAAGACAGAUGGGAACUUAGUCACCCUGGCUUCAGCAGCGUGCUUGAGGUCACGCAUUAGUCGGUGCUUUAACCCUUGGAGGAUCAAACCAUUCGCCCUUUCUGCUUGUCAUUCGACUGCGGGUGUGCGACAGACGCAUAGUUCACCCGUGUGCCUUGGGACGCACAGAACGCCUUGAACUCAUUGGAAUCAAAGUUGGAGCCGUUAUCUGUGAUAAUGUUGUGGGGAACUCCAUAUCUGAAUAUCAACUCCUUGAUUAAAUUGACGGCAGUGCCUGCGCCAAUGUUCUUGAUGGGCUUAGCUUCAAUCCACUUGGUGAACUUGUCGACUGCUACAAGAAAAUGGGUGAAACCACUCAUGCCGGUCUUGAAGGGGCCAACCAUAUCCAAUCCCCAGACUGCAAACUGCAUGACGUGUGGAAUAGUCUUCACACUUGUCGACUAUAUCUUUUGCCAUCUCAUUUGCUCGAGGCCAGUAGAAUCUUGCUCGGUAUGCUUUGGCCAUGAUGGUCCGAGAGGACGCAUCGUGACCACAGGUCCCCAAGUGGAUAUCGUUUAGGAUCAUUCGACCUUCUUCUGGGGUGAUGCAGCGCUGAGCCACUCUUGUGACACUUUUUCUGUAAAGCUGUCCUUUUAUUACUGUGAAGGCUUUGGAUCAACGGACUAUCUGGCGGGCUUCAUCCUCAUCCUCCGGGAGUUCCUUCCAGAGAAUGUACGCAAUCUACGGUACUGUCCAGCCGGGUGUGAUCACCAAGACAACCAUGAUCAAGUCGACCACAGCUGGAAUCUCAAUGUCUGUCGGGUUGGUUGAACUUAUCGGUUGCGGGGGCUCUUCUUUGAAGGGAUCCUCUUGUACUGACGGGGUGUGGAGAUGCUCCAAGAACACAUUGCUGGGGACAGGCUUCCGAGUGGAACUUAUCUUUGCCAGAUCAUCAACAGCUAGAUUCUUGAUUCGUGGUAUGUGGUGGAGCUCUAACCCCUCAAACUUCUUCUCUAGCUUUCUCACUGCGUUGCAAUAACCAGUCAUUGCGGGACUCCUGACAUCCCAUUCCUUCAUUACCUGAUUAACCACUAAGUCCGAGUUGCCAUAGACCAUCAAGCGUCGGACGCCGAGUGAAAUGGCCAUAUGCAACCCAUACAAUAGUGCCUCAUAUUCAGCUUCGUUGUUAGAAGAAUCAAAGUGAAUCUGGAGGACAUAACUGAGCUUAUCUCCUCGUGGGGAUACUAAGACCACUCAUGUGCUAGAGCCAUUUAACAUCUUGGAUCCAUCAAAGAACAUGGUCCAAUGUUCCGACUGGAUUUGAGUCGGCUGAUGUUGUUCUAUCCACUCUGCGAGGAAAUCUACAAUUGCUUGAGACUUGAUGGCCUUCUUUGCCUCAAAUUUGAUAUCUAAUGGAAGAAGUUCAAUCGCCGACUUUGCCACUCAUCCAGUUGCAUCUCUGUUAUUCAGAAUCUCUGACAAUGGAGUGUCGCUGACGACUGAAACUGGGUGAUCAGAGAAAUAAUGUGCAACCUUCUUCAUGGUUAGGUAAAUCCCAUAAACAAGCUUCUGAUAAUGAGGGUAUCUCUGCUUGGACAGGGUCAAGACCUCUGAAAUGUAAUAGACUGGGUGCUGAACUUUGAAGGCGUUGCCUUCCUCUUCCCGCUCGACCGUGAGCACUAUGCUGACAACUUGUCCAGUGGUUGCGAUGUAAAGCAAUAGAGGCUCUUUAUUGACUAGAGCAGCAAGCACCGGCUGGGUGGAAAGCAGGGCUUUGAGCUCUUCAAAGGCUGCUUCGGCUUCGUCAUUCCACUCGAACUUGUCAGACUUCUUCAUCAGCCGGUAAAGGGGCAGUGCCUUUGCACCGAGGCAUGAGAUGAAUCGACUCAAUGCAGCCAAACAACCAGUAAGCUUCUGAACAUCAUGCACACGCACUAGGCGCUUCAUUCGGAGGAUAGUGCCAAUCUUCUCUGGAUUCGCGUUGACUCCUCGUUUGGAAACGAGAAAACCGAGUAACUUUCCGCCGGGGACUCCAAAUGUGCAUUUCGAUGGAUUGAGCUUGAUAUCGUACCUUCUUAGAUUGGCAAAUGUUUCAGCGAGGUCAAUCAGCAGGUCGGAACCUUUGCGUGACUUAACCACUAUGUCGUCCAUGUAUGCUUCCACAUUCCGACUGAUUUGAGUGAGCAGGCACUUCUGAAUCAUGCGCAUCAAUGUGGCACCAGCAUUCUUGAGGCCAAAGGGCAUAGUAACAUAACAAAAACACCCAAACGGGGUGAUGAAAGCUGUCUUGAUCUCAUCGGGUCCAAACAGUCGGAUCUGAUGGUACUCGGAAUAAGCGUCCAGGAAGGACAGUCGCUCGCACCCCGCAGUUGAGUCGACUAUCUGGUCGAUGCGGGGCAGAGGAAAAUGAUCUUUCGGGCAGGCCCGAUUGAUGUGCUUGAAGUCAAUACACAUUCGAAGUGAUUUGUCUUUCUUUGGAACCAUAACGACAUUGGCGAGCCACUCGGAGUGGUAAAUCUCGCGGGUGAACUCAGCGGCCAGAAGCUGAGCCACCUCCUCGCCAAUUGCCUUUCUCUUCUCUGUGGCAGACCGACAAAGAUGCUCUUUGACAGGUUUUGCCUUUGGGUCGACACGCAAAUGGUGCUCAGCCAGUCCCCUGGGUACACCUGGCAUGUCAGAUGGCCUCCAUGCGAAGAUGUCCCAGUUCUCACGGAGGAACUGGAUGAGCACGUCUUCCUAUUUGUUGUCGAGUGUCAUUGAGAUAUGGGUCGGAGCAGCGUUGGGAUCGGUCAGGUGGAUGUGAAGUGGCUGGGUCUCUCCAGCCUACUGAAAUGCGGACUCCGAGGCAGGUCUCUUGGCGUGCAGCAAAUCACUCGGAUCUGCAGUCUUCUGAUACUCUUGAAGCUCCACAGUUGUCAUCUGCUCAUCUGCUAUCUUUGCACCAUCCUGAAGACAAUCCUCUUCUUUUUUCGGUUACCGGAGACUGUUAUCAUGCCUUUGGGGCCAGGCAUCUUCAUCUUGAGGUACACAUAACACGGUCGAGCCAUGAAGCUAGCAUAGGCAGGUCUGCCCAAAAUGGCAUGAUAAGCACUCUGGAAACCACAACCUCAAACGUCAACUUUUCUUUGUGGUAAUUCUUCUCAUUGCCGAAAACCACAUCAAGAGCGAUCUGGCCAAGUGAAUCGGCUUUCUUUCCUGGGAUGACUCCGUGGAACCUCAUAUUGCUCUUGCUUAGUUUGGACAUCGGAAUGCCCAUUCCUUUGAGGGCCUCGGCGUAUAGGAUAUUGAGGCCACUGCCACCAUCCAUCAGAACUUUGGUCAGUCGAGUGCCCCCAAUGACUGAGUCGACCACCAGCGCCUGCCGCCCAGGGGUAGCAACUCAUGGUGGGUGAUCCGAUUGGUCGAAUGUAAUAGGGGUUUUCGACCACAUCAAAUACUUCGGGGUUGCCGGAGCAACCAUGUUCACCUCUCUGUUAGUGACUUUCAGUCGACUUUUUCUCUCGACAUCAGCAAAAAUCAUCAAGGUGGCAUUAAUAUGGGGAUAUCCAUCUUCCUCUUCUUCCUUGUCUUCCUCCUUAUCAGAAUCUUUAUCCUUCUCGCUGGGCUGACUUUUCUUCUAGAAGCUCUGAAUUAGGAGUCGACACUGUCGAGUGGUAUGCUUGGGGAGGAUCAGAUUCCCCUCUUCAUCUUUCUUAGUAUGAAUAUGACACGGCAGAUCCAUCACAUUAUUUCCAUCUUGAUCUUUUACCUUCUUGGGAUUCCAGGGCCCUUUGGGCUUCCCUUCUUGAUUCAACACUGCUGCCUCGGCAGGACCUGCUGCCUUAGCCUUUCGCUUCGGCUUCCGACUGGAAUUUCCUCCUCCGAUGUCCUGGGCGACUGUUUUGUGCUUACCACUCCGGAGUCGGUCUUCCUCUUCGCCGUUAGAGUACUUGGUGGCAAUCUCCAUCAUCCAAGUCAGAGUCAUAUCUACUGUCCGACCGAACUUCAGAUUGAGCUCUCUAUAGCAAACACCUUCCUUGAAGGCACAGAUUGCUUGGUGAUCUGACACAUUCUCCACUGUGUGGUGCAGAUUGAUCCAUCUCUGGAUAUAGUCUCGCAAGGUUUCAUAAAGUUUCUGCACGCAAUGCUGCAACUCUGGUAGACCAGCAGGUCUUUUACAGGUGCCCUUGAAUGUUCUGGUAAACACUCGGGCUAACUCAUCCCAACUCAAAAUGCUCCCAGGGGCCAACUGAUUCAGCCAAGUUCUGGAAGAACCUUCAAGCAUCAGGGGGAGGUGCUUCAUGGCCACCUCAUCGCUGCCGCCACCGAUAUGCACAGCCACUCAGUAGUCCUCAAGCCAAGUGUCGGGCUUCGACUCUCCCAUGAACUUACUGACGCCAGUUGCCAAUCUAAAGUUAUGGGGGAUCUCAGCGGCCCUGAUGGCUCUUCCGAAACACUCGGAACCAGACACGUGGACCGUGCUUCCGAUGGGUCUGUCUCUGUCUAGCCCUUCUCUGUGUGCUCUGUUCCGGUCGACCAAGCCCUGAACAAGGACUAACCUUGCAUCAAACCCAGGGUCUCUUGGGUCGACUGGAACUCUGCGGUCAUUACCGUAUGGACGCCUAUCAUCAUACCGACGGGGGGCGCAUGAUCCGCCCCUCAGAAGGGGUGAAGGCACUCGACGGUAGUUGUCGCGGGCGAACUCACAAUCAUCAUCUCCAUGAGCUCUUCCUAGGUGCCGAUCCUGGCGGUGCUCACGAGCUCCUCGCCUCAAACGUGACCUAGGACUGUGUGCUGACUGAACGGUGUCCUCCCUUACCGAUCGACUAUGAAUUAUGUUCCAUGACUGGGACACGGCGGAGUUCUCAUCUCCUGCUGCCCGGAACAGCGCCCUGAUCUGUUCCAAGCCCCUUCCAGCCUCCGAGCGAGACAGCUGAAUGGACUCUGCAAUAUGUGCAACAGCCGUGAGAUUCUGAAUCGGCGUACGGAAUACCUGAGUUUCUGGUGGAAACAAUUGUUGUGAACGCCGACUAGAUCCGAGGAUUAGUCGACAGGCACGCUCAUCGAGAGAAUGUUGGAGAUUCUCCAAACGAGUGCGUGCAACCAUCGUGGCCAGGCGCACUUCCUCCAAAGCCCGAGCCUCGGCAAUUUCCCCUAUGAUGGGGGUAUGGAGAGCCUCCUCGUUGUGGCGGUGCAGUCCCUCCCUCUGUUGCGGACUGAGAGGUUGAGGCUGAUACUCCUCGUGGGCGAAUGACGUACCGUCGCCGUCCCCGUUCUCGCCGCUGCGACGGAAACCAGGCGGGCCGCGAUGGGAAUCGACCAUGAGGACCUCCACCACGGGGUCACAACUCCCGCUCUCGGAAAGUGUGUCUGCUAAGUCAGUCGACGGGUCGACUGGACCGUAGUGAUAUACGUCGGGCUCGAUUGCCGCGACUUGGGUGUGAACGUCUGCCGAGCCACCGCGUGCUUCACCCAUCACUGGAGCCGUGAUCGACCCGACCGCUUGCAGCGGCGGCCAGCGGAGCGAAAGAACGACACCGGGGUCGACUGGUACGGGGUCGACGGCUGCCGAAGAAGGACGCCGCGGGCACUCGCACGGAAGUGCGACGAACCUCGGAUCGGCAGCGCCUCGACAUCGAGGGGGGCCUCCUGAAGCCAGGCCAAGUCGUCGGUGACGAAAGUGAGCGCGCCGAGUCGGAACUCGCGGCCCAUGAUCAAACUGCCGCCGGAAACCAUGUUGAUGAAGACUGAAGAAAAUGCAUCCUCGCCGGAAGUCGCUAAGACGCUUCGCCCCAUGGUGGGCGCCAACUGUCGUGGUACUAAGACUGACAGUAAGAUUAGGGGGUACGUAUGAGGAGGCAAGGUCCUAGCUACGGUGAGAUUGUACGCAAGUGUUUACGAGUUCAGGCCCCUCUCAGAGGAGGUAAAAGCCCUACGUCUCGGUGCCCUGAGGCGGUCGGCUGGAUUAUGGUGUGUGUUACAGGGGGUGCGAACCCUUUUGCCAGAGGAGGGGGUGGCUUAUGUAAAGUACGCCAGGACCCCGGCCAUCCCCCGUUACGAGUUCAAUGUACAUAAAGAUGGGGCGUUACUGAUAACGCUAGCUAUAAAAUGAUAUUAAUGCCCUUGAAGACUACGGAGUGAAUGCUUGACCGUUGUUGUCCUGGCCGGCUCCUGGUCUUCAGUAGGUCGAAUGGUUUCUUGUAUGGUCGAGUGAUCUCGGGCAAGAGGGGUAUCCGAGUGAUAUGAUUGGUCGAGUGGACUGCACUCGAAGUCUUUAAUUGGUACUCCCUGUUGUCUCUGGGGUGCCUUUGCUUCUAGGGUAGUGACCUUGGGUAGGACGUAUAAGUCAGGCCUAUGACCCUACCCUAGGUCUAUAUCCUCAUUAACCGGCACUAUGCAGAUCUAACAACCUCCGCAUAAUAUCGAUCCCAAGACUCCACCUUCACAAAACAUACAUGCGAAAAUGUGCACGCUAUGUGGUGAAGUGUUAGUAUCACACCACGGAUUACAAAUACUUCGCACACAAACAACAAUAAUACAAAUAUACAAAAACUCAUAAAAUCAGGGUUUUUUAAUCAAAAUCCAACUCAUACAAUGGAAGUGAAUAAACCUUAUAUAGGUAAGAUUGCAAAUUCCCUUAAGAAGGCUCAAAGUAAAGCAAAUGGUGUCCAUGACCCUGCCCAGACCGAGUGCAGCCAAGCUAACAUCGUCCACACCAUACUUGCUCGGACGAAGCUGCAAUGUUGGUUGUGGAAGGGUGAAUACAGGGGUACUCAACAAUUUUCAAGAAGGGAGACGACACACAUGACAUGAGCCAUCAUCGCUGAACUUUCGCUUGAAACCAAGAGUCCCCGACAGUCGUAGCCUGCUCAAGAGAAAACUCUACGACGACGCCUUCAACAAGGAAGUAUUGUCAUGGAGACCACCAUCGCUAGACUUGGAAAACCAAAUUAGGAUUCUCGAGGAAACAAGCCAUGGGUAGGCUAAUGUAGAGCGCCCAUGGCCAGAGCACAGGAGCUUCCCCACCGGCGCAACACCGCCGAUCGUGGGGCCUGAAAGCAAAUCACUGCAUCGAGGGACCAUCCCUGAAGGCGACGACGAGCAACAACCUUUGUUGAGGGAGCCAAGAGCUAUUACAGCCGUCGUGCAUCGGCCCGGAGCAGAGGAGGGGCGAUGUAGUGGAGGGGGGUGGCCGAGAGAGGAGUUUGGGGUGCGUCCUCGCUACCGCCGUCCGUCGACGGGGCCUAGAAGGCCUCCUCCGGCAACAGUGAGGUGAGGAUGGGUGGCAACGGUGCUUUGCUGGGUGGUGGCAGGGAUGGCCACAAGAGUGGAGAGAGCGACCCGGCGGGUAGGCUAGGGUUUUCGGUCCUGAUUAACAAAAUGUAAGAAACAACAUCAGACACUUUCAGAUCUUAGUACAAGAACUACUAUAUUAUUUUUCGGGGUUGAUCAAACAAUACUUGAGGGAUUUGAUUAAGAUAUAGGAGCAUGGACAUUUUUUUUUCAACAUUUCGAUGAACACAACUAUUAUUUCAGGAUAUUUUAGGUUUGAUCAGGCAUAUUUUUGUAAGGAUUUGAUUAAGAUAUAGAAAGAAGCAUGACAUGAUUUUUCAUUCCAGCAUUUCCACAAAGAAGCAUAAAAAUAAGCAAGAAAUGGAACAUUUCUGCAUCUCGGUAGCAACAAGGACAGAUAAGGAAUUGCACUUGAAUUCACUUUGCAAUUCACAUCAUAGCAUUAACUGAGCUUGAUAAACAAAACGCAAGAAACAUCAUCAAACAUUUUUAGAUCACAGUACAUGAACUACUUUUUCGGUAAAAAUAAUAUAUUAAAAUUCACGAACAUACCAAUUACACGCAACCUCUGCAUCAAUAAGAUGUCCGAAGACAUCAAGAAUGUAGCAGCAGUACAGGAACUACUAAAUCAUUUGAGUGUUUCUACUAAAGAUCACAGUACAGGAAGAUUCAGAUAUAGAAAGAAACAUGGGCAUUGGAUUUUCAUAUCUCAGUAAUCACAUAUCCAGACCAUGCCUCAACAAAUCAAUUGUUAUUUUAGGAAGACUUUCAGAUCUCACUACAAGAACUAUUAUUUCAAGAUAAUUCAGAGUUAACCAGAGACAUUUGAGAAAUUUGAUUCAUAUACAGAAAUAAGCAUGACACUGAUUCCAUUCGAGCAUUUCGACAAACACACAGCAGACUGCAUCUCCGAUAUCACACCUGAACCGCUACAGCGACAGAACUGACAAAAAGAACAGAAAUCCAUCAGUGCUUGGACCUCGGCGAGGUCCUCCUUGCCGCCGGCGCCUCCGCAGCCUUCCUCUUCGGUGAGGUCCUCGCCGCUGUCACAGCCGCCGGUGCCACUGCCUUCCUCUUCAGCGACUUCUUCGCCGGCGCCUCAGCGGCCGGAGCAGGAACCGCCGCAGCA